rnacentral:lncRNA from 1 species
UUAAGUUGAGCUGUUAUGCCGAAAAAUAACUUGGGCAGUGAUUAGAAAGAGAGAGGCUUGAGUGGGAACCCUAAUUCCAUUAUUGAAGAAGGUGCCGCCAUCUCCUUGCUUCAAAGGUUUCGGCUUUGGUAUCUCAUCUUCACAAAUUGAAUUUGGUUUUCCUCAGUGACGGCUUUCAAAAUUUACACUUGAUAUGAGCCCUUUUCUUUCUUCCUUUCUUUUUUUACUCUCUCCUUCCCCCAUUAUUAUUUUUUUCUGUAAAUCUAUUUUAUUUUUUUACUUUAAUCAACAUUUGCAUUCAAUAUUUUUCAUUUAACCAGAUUCUGUUCUUCUGUUCUUCUUUUAGGUCUGAAUAUUAAAGGUAUUGAAGUUUUGUUUUGUUUUUCUUUUAAGAUUUUUUUAUUGUCUUUGAAGUUCCUUUAUUUCGUCUUUAAAGCUCAUUUUCUGUGUGUUUGAAAAUUUUAAUUGCAUUCAAGUUUUGCCUUUUUCUUCAGUAAAAUUUGUGUUUCAGAAGAUUUUUCUCCUUCAUUCACACUAAAUAUAGACUCUUCUUUUAUCUAAACAGCUUUUUCGUUCAUUUUUUUGUUCUUUUAAUUAACAUUUCUUCAAUUCUUAAACAUCUUUUUGUCUAUUUUUGUAGAUUUUGUUUGAUGCGAACCAUUAUUUCCUAUAUGUUUAAUAUCUUAUUUAUUUUAGUAAAUUAGGUUUAAUUUUGUCUUUUUGUCAUCUAAGUUCUUAUGGAAGAUAAAUCAGUCUAUAUAAGGUGUCGAGUUAGCACUGAGUGUCAGCAGCAUAACUCAAAUCAUUGUAAAAUAUUUAAUUUAAUUUCAAAUUUUGUUAUUUUGUUUUUAAUUUUAGAUACAAAUUAUAUCACUAUUUUUAAAAUUAAAAGAAAAUUCAUCAUUAUUUUUAAAAUUAAAAAAAAAUCAUAAUUAUUUUUAAAAUUAGAAGACAAAUCAUCAUUAUUUUUAAAAUUAGAAUUAAAAUCAUUAUUAUUUUUAAAAUUAUAAGAAAAAUUCAAAAAUUAGAAGGAAAGUUUUAAUUUAUUUUUAAAAUUAAAAGUAAAAUUCUAAUUUAUUUUUAAAAUUAAAAAGAAAAUUCUUUAUUAAUUUUAAAAUUAGAAGAAUUUUUUUCAUUAUUUUUAAAUCAACUUUAACUCUAUUUUUUACUAAUAAAAAUUUAAACAUAAAUAUAAUAAUUAUAUUCCAAUAAUAUAAUUAGAAUUAAUUUAAAAAUAAUUAAAUAAAUAUUUAAUAAAAUUUAAAUUUGGUUUCAAUUUAAAAAGAUAUACAAUUGAGACUAAAUUGAUUAAAAUUAACAAAAAUUGAGAUUAAAUUAAAUAAAAUUAAUGAAAAUUAAAAUUGAAUGACAUAUUUAUACGUGGUAUUGACAUGUGACAUUAACACAUGGUAUAAAGAAGCCUUACAUCCGAACCCCCAACACGUGAGAGCUCUAGUACCAUCGUUUCUCGGUGUAAGGAAGUCGCAUUCCCCCAUAGAAGCCUUUUCCUAAUCUAAAAUCCUACUUUUGGGUGGGGAAGGGGUUGCCAUGUGGCAGUCCCUAAUUGACUGAUUUUAUCUGAUAAAAUAACCAAAUUCUGGUCAACUAAGGAACUAAAUUACAAUUAGAAAAAAAAAGAAAUUAAGGGAACUUUUAGGAGCUUUUAUGUAAUUUUGAAAACUUAAGAAGGACAUUAAUGAAAUAGAUAAUUCAGUUGAUAUUUUUAAGAUAAUUAAUUUAAUAUGAAAAUAUACCAACAGAAAAUGUCUUAUCAACAUAAUACUUAGAGUCCAAGUCCAAUAAAGUUUAUAUAAAGAGACUUAGGGGAGGAAGAAAUCAUAACUCAUUCAUUCACUCAGACUCUUCCAAUGGAAGCCAUCAUUCACCACUCCUCUCACUUUUAUUUUAUCAUGUAUUAUACUCCAUUCAUGGAGGGCUAAGCUUUUAAGGCUACUCCAUUGUAAUUUCAUUAUGGAUUCCGAGGUUAAGUUGAAUUAAUGAAUUUGUUUCUUAUGAUUAUUGAUUUUAGUUAUUCUUCUUCUAUGUCUUUCAUCUCUCAAUAAUGUUAAAAGUAAUUAUUUUUGCAUCAUAAGGUGUUUGAAUCUACAUGCAUGUUAAUCAUAUGAGUUCAAGGUUUUCUAUGUUUUAAUGAUAAUUUACUUUGAUUGAGUUUAGGAACCUUCAUAUGAUUAAACGUGUUCUUACUACUAAUUAAUAAUGUACUUUGAUUGGUGGUAAGAUUUUCAACUGUAAUUAAUUGAGAAUUUACUUUGAUUAAAUAUAUUUUAAUUUGGUCAAGGGAUAUAAGAAUAGACAUGAUUAAAUACAAUAGGAUUUGACUGAGAAUGUAUUUUGAUUGAAUUCAUUGUGAAUAAUAUAGGAAGGUCUUACAUUUGAUUGAGAAUCUACUUUGGUUAAUUGUAUGAUCGCCCUCAAGUGAGAAUAUACUUUAAUUAAUUUGAAACUCAAACAAUAAUCAAUUGAACAAUGAUUUGUGGAUAAUCGAUGAUGAAUCUAUCUUGGAAAAAUAGUGGAAUUAGUCUAUUUUAUUAUAGUUGCUUCAAAGUUUCUCAUUUGUUCUUCACUUAAACUCACAACAUUCUUGAACAUCAAGUUCAUUAGGCUAUAUUUUCAUUCUUAUUUUUAAGCAUUGCAUAGCAUUCACUAACUUUUUCAAAGCCUUCGUAAGAGUCAAAUAUUGAAAAGCAAUUACGUGUUCGUUGGGAAACGACUUAGGGUUACUUUAACCCUAUCCACUUUCUUGAUUACUAACAUGGCAAUACUGAAGUUACCGUGUAAAGUAGUUGUUAGAAGUGGACUUUAAGCCUAACCCAACCUCACAAACCAAUUUGUAAGGUGAGGUUUGCACCCACUUAUAUGCUAUGAAUUGGCCUUAUCUCUAGUCGAUGUGAGACUUCUAACACACCCCCUUCACAUCGAGGUAUAUACAUCUCAAGCGUGGGACUAGACAUUAAUGGGUGGUCCAAUAACGGCCCGAUAGCGGGUGGAACAAUAUGCCUAACAAACAACAAAUAUCGCUAGGAUAGGCUUUAACGACGACUCUGAUACCAUGUUAGAAGUGGACUUUAAGCCUUACUCAACCACACAAAACCAGCUUGUAAGGUGGGGUUUACACCCACUUAUAUAUUAUGAACUGACCUUAUCUCUAUUCGAUGUGGGACUUCCAACAAUAGUAUUAAUUUGGUAGCUUCAACAACAGCGUAUACUCUCUUGCUCAGUUAACGACGGGCUGACACCUAAAACAUCCUCUGCUCACACUAAACGAUGAUGAUUGCCAAAGAGAUUAUAGCACAAAGAGGCAUACAACACAAAAGUAAGGGUAAACUAGUAUACAAAUAAAUCAACAUAUUACAAUUUGAUAUGGGAAAUCAUAUCUCAACAUUCACAACAACUCAUCACACACUUAAUCAUAUCACAACUUAACUAAGGAUGACAACGGGUCGGGUCAGGCACGGAUAAUGCCUACCUGCAACCCGACCCGCUACUCGCACAGAUACCCGUAAAAAAUAUCCGCGGGUAUUUUAAAAUUCACGGAUACCCGCGGAUAUUCGUGAAUACCCGCAAAUAUUAAAAAAAAAUAUUUGUUUAUAAGUUAUUAAAAUAAAAUUUAAAUAGAAUUAUAAAAAAUAUAUAAAAUAUAAUAUAAAUAAUAUUAAAUAUAAAUUAAAUUCAAUUUUAAUUAAAUUUAACCUUGUAAAAUAUAAAUUAAUGUUAAUUUUAAUUAAAUUUAACUUAAUAAAAUAUAAAUUAAAUCUUUAUUUUUAUUUUUUGCGGGUAGCGGAUAUCUCGGGUACGAAUAGCAUAAUACACACCCGACCCGUUUAUAAGCAAGUAUUAAAAUAUCCGCUACCCACAGGUUGCGGGUAGUAAAUAUCCAUGGGUAUCAACUAUCCGUCGCAGAUUUUAUCUGCGGAUAUCAACGAGUGCAGAUUUUUUUGCACCCAUGCUAGUAUUUAUACUCUGUAGAGUCAUAAAUGAGGGUCAAAUGACCUACUUCCCCAUGAGUUUAGUCUUCCCUUACACGACAAAGGGCUAGGGUAAAAACCUCCUAUCAUUUUCUCCAUCACCCCAUUCACUCUACAUGAGUUGAAUGAUUAGUAGAAUAUCAGGAUAUUUUCUCUUCAAAGUCUCACUAUUAAGCAGUCACCACAACUCUCAUAUAAUCAUUCCUUAAGAUUCCUCUCACAUCACCCAUCUAUCAUUCUCACAACAUACUCAUCAUCAUCAUAUUCAUCAACCAUAAACAUACCCAUAAACAGGUUCACAAAUCAUAAAUAUAUGUAUACACAUCUCCAUUAAUCACCUCAUAAUCAUCAUCAUUAUCAUCACAUACUCAAGGUGUUCCAAGUAUAAAAUCAUUUAUAAAAAUUUGGAAAUAAUAAUUACACAAUAGUACAUUUUUCUUCAUGGUAGCUUGAGUCCCACACUAGACAUGAAAAAUAGCCUUAAAACCCUCACCAAAAGCUCUGGAAGGGUCUAAAACCCCCAAAACGACCUAAAGAACGUCCAAAACGAAUGUCUGAAACCCUAAAUUCGAGAUUCCCCACAACAUAGUUUCUGUUAGACAACUCCGCACCAGACUACUUACUAGUCAAUCUUUUACCAGAUGACCCCUUAUUAGACGAUCUCUUACCAGACUACUCCUUGCUAAACGAUCUCUUACCAGACGACUCCUUAUUAGACGACUCUUACCAAUACGAUCUCUUACUAGACGACCCCUUACUAGAUGCUCUCUUACCCAGACAAUCUACCAUAUUUUUGUACAAUAAAAGACCAAAUAGGCGCUAAAUGAGCCCAAGACAAUUCCAAAAACUGUAAACUUCCCCUUAAACCAUGAUCUCAUAUUCUUACUUGUUAAAAACUCAAUUUUUUUGUCCAAAACUCACCCUUUUACUACUUUAUUUCUUACCCAAGUUCUGUAAAAACAUAUCAGCUCAAACUCACUAAAUCCACAUUCACAAAUCCAUCAAUAAACAAAUUUUAACAACAAUAAACCAAACACCCCAACAUACAUUAGUUCUCAAUUUAAUUAAACCCUAAACCCUAAACCCAACAUACCAAAUUUCACGAUUUAAUUAAAGUUCAUAAAUCAAUCAUCACAUCAUCAUACAAACAUCAAAUAUCACAUGCAUAACAAAUCCAAAACCAAACAAACUAGCUUCCCUUAUAUAGUUGAUGCUUUGAUAGUUUCAAGAACUCUAAAAUUUCUCCUACGACUUCAAUAUCUAUAUUUGCCCCUACAAUUCAUGGCAAUUUGAUCAAAGUAUACCCUUAAUAACACUAAUCAACAAAGAGUCUUGAAGAAGACUUAGACAUAAAAAAAGUAAAGAAAACCCCUACACGCAAAGACAUCAAACUUUAAAGAAAAAGGUAGAAAUCGACUUACUUUAUAGUUGAAAUCAAUUGGCUAGACAUGAAGAUCUCGUCUAAAUGAACCCUCAAGCGGUCCUUAAUCUUUCCAUAAAUGGAUAGAGAAUUAGGAUUUCUAGAAAGAAAACAAAAAAAAUUUAAAGAAAGAAGUUUUUAAAGAAAUAAAGUUUCUUAAAUAACGAAACUCUAAGAUAAAAAAUUUAUUUAUACUUUCAAUAUUUUUGAAAUAAAAUAAUAGAAUAUCAUUAUUUAAAACAACGUACCACGUUUAAUACAAAAUUUUUGAGGAUCUUACAAUUAUAUAGAAUAUUUUUAUAAAUAUAAAAAUAAUUAAAUACAUUAUUGUCAAAAAAAUAAUCAAAAUAUUAUCAUUUAAAUUUUUAAAAUGAUAUAAUUAUAUUAUUACAACAUCAAAUUAAUAUAAUAAAUAAAUAUAUUUUUAAACAUCCAUUGCACGAGUACAGUUCGUAGUUAUUUAUGGUUUGGUAGUUCUUUUAUAAAUAAUAAAAUAAAUAAUACGAGCUAUGUUAUAAUAGAAAAACAGGUAAUACUGUAUAUACUAAAAUAAUGAAAAAAAAUUUAAAAAUUAAACAUUAUAAUAGUUAUUACAAAAUAUUAGUAAGAUUUUUAUAUAUAAAAAGCAUUUCCUAUAUAGAAUGUGUCACAAACGAUAUCAUCAACAGUUAUAUUUACAAUAAUAAAAUAUAAAAAUACAAAAUUUAAAACAAUAUUAUAAUAAUUACUAAAAUAAAAAAGAUUAGCCAAAUUUAUAGUAAAAUAAUAAAUUCAAUAAAGAAAAGCAUAAUUAAUUACAAAAUAUAUAUACUAAAGAAGAUAUACAUAGAAGAAAUUAUUUUUUUAUGUCUACAUUAAUUUUUUGAUUUUUUUUAAAUGAAAUUAAUAAUUUUAUAAAUAUUAUCAUUUAGGUGUUUGUUUAUUUAAAUUUAAUUAUUAUAUUUAUUUAAUUAUUUUUCUAAACUUAAUUAUUUUUUUAAUUAAAAAAUUGUCUACAAAGUAAAUAAAAACUACUCAGAUUAAAAUUACAAAAAUUAUUUGUAAUUAAUUUUAUAAUAAUAAUAAAAAUUUUAUUACUUUUAAUUAUCAUAAAAAAAUAAAUAUAUAUUUCAUUAUAAAUGUUAAAAUGUUAAUCAGAUUAAAAAUGAUUUACUCACAUUGUUUAAAUAAGUCCGACAAAUAAGAAGUGUAUUCCCUUCCCACUUCCGGGUCACCAAGUAACACCGUUAGGGUAGAAAGUUGAAGUCCUUGCAGUUCAGGCCUCAGACCCAAAACCCUCAUAAAAACCCAACUCUCCUUCCUUUUAGUUCCUCUGUUGGUUUCUCACUCUUCCGUGUGGUAGUAGUGUGGCAAACAAUGAGCAGUUGGAAAAACCUUCUUCUACGAAUCGGUGACAAGAGUCCCGAAUACGGAGUCUCCUCUGACUAUAAAGAUCACAUUGUAGUUUUCUCUUCUUUGUUUUUCUCUUCGCCGCGAAACUGGUUGAUGUCUAAUCUUUCUUUUUGCUUUUGAUUUCUUAGGAUACGUGCUUUGGCGCCCUUCGUCGCGAACUUGACCACUCCCAUACCGAUGUUUUGGAGGUAAACUCUGAUUCUUCUCGUUCGCAUUUUGGUCGUGUUUUGUAUAGUUAGGUCAAUUGAUUUAUCGGUUGAGUAAUUGAAUUGUUUCGAUUCGCUUCUUGAGAGUUUUGAGGCUUGUACUUGUUUUGAGGCUUGUACUUGUAGCUUCGAUAGUGGACUAAUUCGUGAUAUGCUAUAUUAUGUUGUACGAAGUAGUUGUGAAUCAAUUUUCGUUCUUAAUUGUAGGGCCAUCAAUGUGGAACACACAUGUUUGAGGAGGAUGUUGAUAUUGCUUGUUUUAAUGCUAGUUAUACUUUAUUUUGACCUUUUUAGCUUGUUGCUUGCCAGUGGUUUUCUUCAGAAAAGAGCGCAAUAUGCUUCAGAAAUCUUAAACAUUUAAAGUAGAUUGGAAUCUAUAACCUUGUAAUUAUAUUAGAAGCGUGUUAUCUGGACCUGUUAGUUGCUUCGUUGCAUUUUCUUUACAUGUUUUAAAAUGUUAUACCUUUUAUGUUGCUUUCUUAUUUAAAUAUUCUAGCAUGUGUGAUUUUGUGAGUUGUGCAGUAUUUGUACAUGUCUCUUUCUGUAUCGUAAUGCCUUGCAUGAUAUCACAUCAGAUUUACUUUAUUGGAUUUGUUUGUGCAGUUCCUUCUCACGUGUGCUGAGCAUUUGCCUCACAAGAUUCCUCUGUAUGGAACCCUGGUAGAGAUUUCUUUUCUCUUGAACUGUAAUGACAUCUGUUAUUUUAUUCCCUGCAUGUUGCAAUAUCUUACUGCGGAUGUGCAUGCACGAAUGUCAUGUAUAUAUAAAGUCUUCUUCUUCUCAUCAGCAUUAUUAUUGUUAUUAUUGUUACUUUUGGGAGUGUGUAUAUAUGUGUUCCAUUUUUAGAGGUAGCUUUAUUUAGUGAACGCUAAUGAUAUCAAUAUUGGGAUGUUGGUGGACUUAAUUUGUUAUUGUCGUGGUUGUGCAACUGGAAGUUCUACUGAAUAUUUUGACCUAUUUGCACAGAACUUCUAGUUAUUAAUAAUGACAUGAUAAUGUAUCUGAUCUUUAAUUUUUAAAAUGUUUUCUUGUUUCCAUUUUAUAAAAAGACUUAACAUUCUUUUUGGCUUUGGAAUUAACAUUUUUGUUAAAUGCAUUUGGAAAACAUGUUUUUUAGUGAGCAAUGGUAUGAUUUUAACAUCAUGAUGACAAUAAUGUUCAUAGAAGGUUUAUACUUGACGUGCUUUUCAAGAAUGAAAUGUAUGUAACCAGCAAAAUUUGGGUGAAAACUAGAUACUUAAAUAAUAAAAGAAGCAUUGUAAUUAACCUAGUCUAACACCUCCACUCUUUUAUGCUGUUACAUUAUUCAGUUAUUAAUUUAUUUGCUGUAUUUUACAUUGAAUGUGAAUUAGGUGUAUUACUGUGCUAUAGUUGUCUUGCUUGUAUAGUUCCAAUUGAAGUUUCUGAGCAUUCUGUUUCUCCAUGAAUGAUUUCAUUGCAGAUUGGCUUGAUUAACUUGGAAAAUGAGGACUUUGGGAAGCAACUAGUGGAGAAAACUAAAACCAUGUUUCAAGUAAGCUAUUAAGCCACUGAAACUUCUAGGUUGGUUUAUGGGUGUUGUAUUUUCAUUGUCUUUAUUCCUUUAAUUAGCUGAAUGUUCAGUUAAGGGUAUUAGUACUAUUUUCAUUUAACUAAGCUGUCUAUAAUUAAUUGAGUAUUGAUUAGGAAUUCUAAAAUCUAAUGGUGUAAAUUAGAAUGUGAAAGUUUAUGUAAUUAGUUUUCACAGCAAUGUUGACUGCUUGCUAUAUAUAAUUAUUAUCAGGUAUUUGGAUCUGAAACUAGGAACUUUUUCCUAUAGAAAUUCAAAUUGAGUUUCAUGUAUGUGGAUGCUUGAUUAGAAAAAAAGAAGCGAAACUAUUAUUUUAGAUGGAAGCAUCAUUAUCUCUGUUAAAUCUUGCAUUAUCAAAGCUGGCCAUUUUGGAAUGACAUGGAAAGUUUAAUGCUUCUUUCCAUAGAAUUAUCUAGGUUUAGGAAUGGAUGGCCUUGUUCCUAACCAAUGAACUUGUGAUUUUUUGGAAUGUAUACUUUGGCCAUGUUUGAUAUAAAAUAGUUUAAUCCCUCCAAAAAGACUAUCAAAAUAGUUUGAUAUUGAGGUUCAAAAUAUUGGAAUGUUAGUAAGAAAAAAAAGUUAUUGGUAUUAGACCAAGGUCACAAGUUCAAUUUCCAACAAGACAAUUGUCGAAGAAGAGAUUGUUGUGGAUUGCAUCAAAUGUCACAUAGUGGAGACUAGAUAUGCCAAGGCUUCGAUGGGGGCAUUGUUAUAAGCUACAUCAAUUGUCCUAUAGUAAAGGUCAAGUGAAUUAAGUCACAAUUGAAUCAUGGUGCUUGAGUUCUUAUGCUUUUAAAUAUCAAGAGUUGCAUCUUGAUUAUAAACUAUAACUUUUAACCUAGUUAUAUGUCCUCGAUCCAACAACAAUAAAGUAGGUUCCCAACUCCAUCAAGCUUUAACUUUCAAAAUAGAACUGGAAGAGUACUUACUGAUAAUAAAAAACGUACAAAUAUGAGGAUUGAACUGGAAAAAGAAUAAAUAAAAAAGGAGUUAAUUUUUGGUUGAAAAUACUAGUUUCUUUAUAUUUGUUGGUGUCGAUUAUUAAAAUUUUCUAUCUUCUUUCUAUAAAUGUGUUCAUUAUAGUUUUUUUUGUUUUGAUUCUUUUUUUCUUUAGUGUGUCUUUCAACUGGCUUUGGCUUCUAGACCACUUGUCGUAAAACUGGUGCUUUUUUCGCCUGCUUCCACUAACUGAUAAAUGAAAACAGUUUUGUGAAUAAUAUUUUCAUCUUGAAUUUUUCUUAUGAUAAUUGCUUACAUUAAAGUGCAUAUAACAUAAGAAACCAUCGGUUUAACCUUCACCAUAGUGGGAUGAAUGACAUGGCCAUUUUGUGUCUGUUGCAAUCAUUUAAACCAGAUUGAAAUAUUAAAUUUUUGGUUAAACAUCUUUCUGCUUGAUUUUUAUAAACAAAAAAUUGACAAUUAUUUUUAUUGGGUAAGGCUUGUUUGAUUUAAUGCAAGGUAUGGUUCUUACCAACGGUUUUUCAGUACACAUUCAUUUUCAAUUUGUUUUGUUCACCCAAAAUAAUGCCAUUAUAUACUUCUCUAAUCUGCUGCAAUGUUUUUGAAUCUAAGAACUUAUUGAAUUGAUCUUUUAGUGCUUCUGUCCUGACUCCCUUUAAUUUAUUCCCUAUAAUAUUGCUUUUGUGCAUUUCUCAUUUAUUAUAUUUUUAAUUCAGGAUGCCUUGGAUACUGGAAACUGCAAUGGGGUUCGAGUUCUAAUGCGGCUUUUGACUGUUAUGGUAUGUAUUGGCACUGUUUUUAUGCAUAAAAAUUGUGUAGCAUUAUUGACAUUCAACUCUCAGACUGAAAUAUUGUUAUUAUUGGAAUUUUGAGGAAGAUAAGAAAUCCUUCUAGUUUUCACUUAUUCUACAUUUAUGAGUAAUUUGUGUUUGAGCAUGUCUUGUUUUUUUGCCUAAAAUAUUGUAUAGUUAGCUUGUAAUUGUUGAAUAUAGUAAAACUAUGUAUGAGAUUAAUCUCUCUUAUGUUGAAUAUACACAUAAGGUAUUCUAUUUAUAAUAAAAGAAAAAUGAACUAAGUCCAAAAUACAAAUAAGAAAUAAUAACAAACUAACUAAAGAUAAAAGAUAAAAAUAAGAUAACUCUCUAGGAUAUCUGACAAUAUAAUUAAUCUAAUACUCCCUCUCAAGCAACUGCAUAUGAAUCAUAUGUACCAAGCUUGUUACUAAUAUAAUCAAUGAAAACUAAGUGAAAAUAUCUGUUUUUGCACUCGAGUAAUACCAAAUUGUUAAUGAUUUACAAAGACAACAUAAAAGACAAAAUACCAACCUAGUCUCCCUCUGAACAACAAAUUUGAGAGGUUGUUCUAUAUAAAUCUCUUCUUGCAAAUCAUCAUUGAAGAAUGCAUUGCUGACAUCUAAUGGAUAAAGUGGCCAUUAUUGAAGAGCCAUCAUGGCUAUAAAUAAACUAACAAAAGUCAUCUUUGCCAUUAGAGAAAAAGCAUAUAUAUAUGAGUCCAAUGCACUAGUGACAGAAGAGAGGUCAAAAGAGACAACAGAAGAAGUCAUGGAAGAAUAGGAGAGAGAAAAACCGGAAAAAUCCAAGAUUCUACUAUCAACGCACUUGAAAGAGGAAAAGAGUAAUCUUGACCCUUUGAAUAGCUGCUUGAGAAGAGACGGGACAUGCGACUACGCACAAUGGAUCUGAAAGAGGAAAAAAGAGCAACUUUUACGCUUUGAAUCGUUGUCUGAGAGGAGACGGGAUGUGCCUCCACACACGAAGAAAAGGGAGCAUAUCUACACUUCAAAAGACAUUGAGAACAAAUGUACAACAUAUAGGGCAUGCUUGUUACAAAUUGUAAUUUUUAAAUGACGUUUCCAUAAAAGAAGCUAAUUAAGAUCCUGUUCCCUACUGUAUUUUACAUGUACAACUUAUAGAGCAUGUUUCUUACUGACUGAAAUGUGCAAAAGAAGGCUGUUUCCAUAAAAAGAGCUGAUUAGAAAAACCUUUCUGCUCUUUUGUAUUAAACUAUUAUUGGUGAAAAUCAUUUUAUAAGGUUGGGUUACAUAUAUUGCAAAGGAAAAAGUUGUAUUUAGAUAACCACAAAUUUGGAGUUUAUGAUGGAAAGUUAACUUAUUUUCGAUAAUUAACUAUUUUCAAUGCAAGGCAAAUUACUACACUAACUCCAUACUUUUUUUUUGUAAUUUUACUAUAAAAAAGAAAAUACUUUGUACAAUCCAAAUAGAAUAUAUUAUCUUGUAAAUAAAACUUAUUCCUUAUAGUUGCUUAUAAAGAUAUAAUUGAUUGUUCAAAUAAGUUCUUUCCCUUAGCUAAUGCAGACACCCUUGUUUAUUUUUUCCUACCCUUUUGAUUUCUAAAUAUGAUCACAUUUUAUCUUUGUAUUCAUGUUGUUUGUUCAUGUGAUGUAUUUGUGUAACUGAAUGAAUUUUUUUUUGCAUGUUGCUUUCUUGUAAAUUCUUUAGAUGUGCAGUAAGGUUCUUCAACCGAGCUCCUUGGUGGCUGUCUUUGAAACAUUUUUAUCCUCAGCUGCCACAACAGUAGAUGAGGAAAAAGGCAAUCCCUUAUGGCAGCCUUGUGCAGACUUUUACAUCACUUGUAUUUUAUCAUGCCUUCCAUGGGGCGGAGCAGAACUUACUGAGGUAAUUAUUUGAUGCUUUUAAUUACAAGUGUGGUUAAUUUUUCAACUUUAUAUUAGCAGUCUACGUCAGUUCUUGUAAUUUAAAAUGUUCCUUUGCUUGUAUUCCAAUCGUUUCUCUAUCUGAUUAUUAAAUUUAUAAAUUAUUUUUUAAUUCUUAUAUAUUAACUUAUUUUCAUCUUUCUUUGAUAUAUCACUUGUUUUUUAUAUUUAAUUUCUUAAAGUAAUAUGAGCUAUUAUAGAAUAAACUGUUUAAUUGCUUAUUCAAGAACAGCUGUAUUUUUUGUUUUUCAUAUCUAAACAAAAGACUGAUUUCAGUUAUUUAUCCAUUCUUCAGUUGGAGUUAUCUGUGUUUAAAUAUAGAUGUUGUCUGUGAGCAGAAAGUCGCUGUAUCUCUUCCAUUUGUGGGUGUGUAUUAGUUGGUAGCAUUGGUAAAUAGUGAAAUAGCAGUUAAGUUGUGUGCUGUUCAUAUUAUGGCAACAAUGAGUAAAUAAACAUUGCAAAAAAUGAUAGAACUGCUAUGCUAUCUGUUCUUGGUUGGUACUUCCUUUUUUGUUAAAAUAUAUUCAUGUAUGUUCAAGUUACACUUUUGAAAAUGUUUUCCCCCAUAGAAUCUCAAUUAUAAAUGGAAUGAUUGGAAAAGGGCCUUUUACUUAUGUUUGAUUUUUAGGAAGUAUUUGUAUGCUGAUUAGCAUCUUCAUUUAUUAGAAUUUUCCUUCUUUCUUUUAUGUAUUUCUAUUGUACUUUAAAUAGGAACCAACCCCUGACCUGUACGGUCUCAUACGUUAAAUGCAGAAUUCAUUCUCUUUCUACAAAUAUGGAUUUCUUUGAAUUCUUUUCCUUUUAACUGCAUGUCAUGUCUGCUAACAGCAAGUUCCUGAAGAUAUUGAUAGAGUGAUGGUCGGUGUAGAAGCUUACUUGAGCAUCAGAAAGCAUACAUCUGAUACUGGCUUAUCCUUUUUUGAGAAUGAUGAUGAAAAUGGGGAAGGUAUUAGUGACAAGGUUAGCUCCUUUUUGGCUAAUACUUAUGGUGGUGCAUUUGAUGAAGGAUGAACAGUGCUUUAGGAUUUUACCAUACUAUUAUAUAAUUGCCCAUGGUUUCAAACUUAUAAUUGUCUGACACAUGUUGGACACUUGUGUUAAAUUCAUUGAAAUCCUAAUGAAUCAUAUCAAAUUUUGUUGCAUGUUGAAAGGAAGCUCUCCUAGUGGGAUAAAGACUCGAUUUUUGUUGAUCAUGUCUCAUUUCUGUGCUUAAUAAAUUCCAAAAUUUAUGAAGGGUUAUUUCUUUAGUUAGUUGGUAAUAGACUUAAUGUAUUGGCAACUUAAAGCAUUUUUCUUGUAACUUAAAUAUUUUUUAUCUUGGUAUGUUUCUGUAUUUUUACUCCCUUUCAAUACUCGUUUAGAGGGUGGUUGAAAGUGAUUAUAUUUGUAACAUUUCAUUUUCACAUUGCAGGAUUUUUUAGAAGAUUUAUGGGAUAGAAUACAGGUUUUAUCAAUGAGGGGAUGGAAAGUUGAAAGUGGUAGUAUUCUCUUCUGUGUGGAAUGGUUUAUGCUACUAUACCUUUCUCUCAAAAAUUGAAAUCCUUUGCACUGUUUGUUGUUCACCCCUUUUUCUUUCUGUAGCUUUAGGGAAUUUUGUCUUAACAUUACUUGUUCUUGUUUUGUGGUUAUUUCUCUACAUAUUGAUGUUAAGUUUACAAAUAAUGUCUUAAAGUUAAACUUAAUCUUGUGUUUGGAAAAUAAUUUUUUAGAGGGUAAUUCAUUUUUAUAAACCAUUAAAAAUGCUUAAUGACAAAAUAUGUUGUUUAGAUAGAUAAUUUAAAAAGAAAGUUAAAUUUUCACAAAUUGUUUCAGUAUUUUGAUUUCUUAAAAUCUGUAGAAUUUAAAAUUUCAACUAAAAAACUAGGAAUUUGAAAUUCUUGACACGCUUAUCAUAAAAUUUCAAUUACACACACAUAUACACACACACAUAUGAUAUAGUAGAAAUUAAAUUACAGUAUUAAAACUAAAUGCUUGAAUUUAGAUCGAUUUAUCCAAAUAAUUCAAGUUUCAAGUUUUUUAAAUUCUUUGAAAUUUUAAAACUACUUAGAUUUGUUUUGAAGAAGUUGGAUUUGACUGUACAUUCUACUUAGUGCACCCCUUUUUACUUUCCUUAAACAUUUACUUUUGUGUUUUUAAUUGUUUGUCGUUGGGCCAUUUUAUUUUAUGCACCACACUGUGUACUAUCUUGCAGCCCCUUAUUUGUUUGUUUUUGUUGUUGUCUUUGCCGUUUGCACCUCUGUGCUUUACUAACUUGGACCACCAAUUUUCUAUUAAAUUUGUUUUGUUCUUGUUUAAUUUCAUAUUGUUGAAAUAAUUUUUAAUUUUACGUAGUAAUUACGUCUAAGAUAGGAGGUUGAGUGUUAGAUAACCUUUAUACCUAGUUCUCUGACCAAGUAGUAUAGGACAGUGCUUCUGAUAUUUCAUCUCCUUAUUGUAUAAUCCUUCAAAUAUAUAAAUAAAGAACCAUGAGAUGGAUUUUUCAAGCCCUUUAUAAAUAUAUUUCUUUGUUUUAAUCUCGAGUUGGUAAUAUAGCUGGUCAAUCCUACUUUGGUUACUGUCUCGUCUUAUUCAUUGACACUAGUCUUUGCUGUCCUCAAAUUUUUGAUGCCGUUUGCGAUUGUUUGAUGUCGUUUCGCUGCUGUCCACCUGUAUUUGAAGCUGUCCAAUGCAGUUUGAAACUAUCCAACACUGUCAACCAUUGUUCUCUGCGGUUUCAUCAUUGUGUGCUGCCUUCCGUCAUCGCAGUUUCGUCCAGUGACCAUAGGAUUUUGAUCGCCUCUCCACGCUAUAACCAACCCCGUUGGUGCUGAAGGCUAGUUGUCUUCCAUGCACUUCAUAUUUGUAACCUACGAAUAGGCGCAUGUUGUCCAAUGUGCUCAUCCGAACAACAUCUCGUCACCUCCAUAAUUGUCGCCAGACCCCCUUUUCUCUGUUCUGACCCUCAAUACUUAACUUUAAUUUUAGUGAAGUCCAAAAGCUACCCUCGUGGAAGUUACCUAGGGUUUUCUUUUUCCCUUACUAUUAUUGCAUCCCUUCAUUGUUUUUUUGUUCCUGAUCAAUGAUGAUGACUAGAAGUGUUAUUUGAUUCUCUAAAAGUCCCUCAAUUACUUUCGAGAAUCUAAAUGGGAAAAUUUAUCUAUCUUGGAUUGCUGCCAUCGAAAUGUGAUUUCUUGGCCAAGGGCAUCAUGACCACCUUGAGCAAGUUGGAAGCCAUGUGUCUGCUGAAAAAGCUAAACAAUGGAAACAAACAAAUUUUCAAUUAUGUGCCCUGUUGCGGCAAUUCGUGGAGCCAGGACUUCUUAUGUCUUGUAGAGCUUUUAAAACAUGUACUCCUUUUGGAAGAAAGCUCAAAGCAUCUAUGCCAACUAUAUUCAACAUACAACAAACAAGCUUGCAUCUCCCAAAAUGGCAAACCAUGAUAUGGUAUCCUUCAUGACUGAAGUCCAUUCAGUUAUGGAAGAACUGAGGAUAUUCUUGGAAGUCGAGUCUUUGAAGGAAAUCAAGAAGAAACUUAACAAAUAUUAUAUGGUGUUGAUCCUUUGUACUUUACAUCUAGACUUUGAUCAUAUCAGAGAUCAACUUCUAAUUAGUCAUGAGGUCCCUUCCUUAGAGACCUUGACCACACAACAUGCCUUCUUUGUGUCCCGGUGCCUCAAUCUCAUGAAGCUUAUGAACUAGUGGAAUCAUCUGUCAUGGUUGCCACACAAGGAAAAGAAGGAUUGGCACUAGAGGAGGAGGAUGUGGAGGCUGGGGGCGUCCCUAGUGCACAUAGAAGGAUGGGUCACAAGCAAGAAAUCUGCUACUCCUUGCAUGGUUUUCCUUCCAAAAUAGCCAAUAUCUCUAAAGCUAAAACUACCAACUUCAAGUUCAUUGAGGAUGAAUAUCAAAAGUAUCUAUGGCUGAAGUCUAACAACUUGGCACAAAGAUCUCAAUCUCUAAGUAAAUCAACAACUUGCAUUUCUCAAUCCAUGGAAGGUCAAAAUUCAUGGGUAAUUGACUCAAGUGCUUCUGAUCACAUCUUUGCUAAUACCUGUUUGACCUCUUUGAUCUCAACCAUUUUCUUUCAAGGAAAACCUCAUUUCAUAACCCUUGCAAAUGGUUCUAAAGCUUCCUCAAAGGGAGGCAGUCAAGUUUCCCUGUCUCCUUCCCUAAAUUUGAAGUUUGUCCUUUUUGUCCCUAAUUGGUUUUUCAAUUUAAUUUUCUUAAGCUAGUUAACCAAAAUGUUUAAUUGUUCAAUACUAAGAUGACUUUUCAAAUCUUAUGUUGUCUUUUCAAAUUAUAUAGAAGCUUAUGUUGUCUUUUCAAAUCUUUUAAUGAAUAAUUAAUUCGUUUGAUUUAUCUUUUUCAUUUCUUAUUGUUCUAUUUUUUCUUGUCCUUAACAUCAAUUUGUGUAUCUUUAUUUAAAUUUUCUUGUGUUUUAUUCCCUUUUUGAUUAUUUUCGGUUUCAAUUGGUAGUUCCAAGACCUCAUCUUUCAUUUGAAGCUCAAUUGGUUGCUGGGAAGUCUCAUGAAUUUGGGCCAAUAAGCUGCCCCAGCCUACCAGAACCACCUUCAGUCCCUUCUGGCGUCUCUACGGGUAAACAGAAGCAUGAAGCAGAAUUAAAAUAUCCUCAAAGGAUACACCGGUUAAAUAUAUUUCCUCUCAGUAAACAUGAGGUAAUUUGCGUGUCAACAUUUCCAUUCUUUUAAUCAAUUUUUAUGGAAAGUUCUUUUUGGUAUUUUUACCUUGUAAAUGGAAUUACAGUUAUUUGUAUCCAGCUCUGCGCUUUAUUAAUUUAGGCUUUUAUUUUCAAAACUGAAUUUUGUUUUGACAGUUUUCAAGCUAACCAAUGUAUUAAUUGCAGACAACGUCUGCAUCAUUCCUCUGUAUGCAGACAAUGUCAGUGGGUUAAACUGCAUAUUCUCCAAACAAUAUUUCUAAUGUUCUUCCUAAUAGAUUUCAGUCAGCAUCUAUGGUACAACUGCAUUUGUAAAACCAUUGAAAUCCUUAGUCAGGCAUUUUUUUAAUUAUGUGUCUUUAUAUUUUGAACGGAGAGAAGUCUUUCAUACAUUCAUUGCAAAUUAAUCUACCAUUACUGAAUUGUUAGUUUCAAUGAAGUGGUUGGUUUUGUUAUUUGAUGGCUAAGAUGGCGAUUUCAUGGUUGAACAGCCAAGAAAUCUGUUUUUUUUUUCCUUGUAUGUUGAGUUUCCUUGCACAAUAUCUUGUCUGCUAGUGCUUCUGUAUUUCUCUUUAAUAAAUCUUCUCUUAAAUUAAAUCUUUUCUUAAUAGCUUUCAAAAUCUUUUUGUUUGAGGAUCAAAGUGCUUUCUGCCUGAUGGUCUGCUUUUUAUAGCAUGUUAUGAUGUUCAUUUCGUGUGUUAUAGCUGUAGUUCUAGGUUCAGUAAUUUCAAUUUAAUACUUGUCAAUCAUAUAUGCGGGUUGAAUGAAAUAAUCUUUUGGAUGCAGGAUAUACAACCUAUAGACAGAUUUGUUAUGGAAGAGUAUCUCCUAGAUGUGCUUCUGUUCUUCAAUGGCUGGUUUGUAUACACCAUUCAUUUUCUCUAGUACUGAAAGUGUUGUGAUGAACCUCUGAUGGAGUUUGAAUACCAAAAAGAUAUUGUAGAACACAUCAUGACUUGCGGUUUUGUGUUAUUAAUUUAACUUUUUUUGUUAUAUUGAGUGUCAAUGAAGAAUUCUAAGUUCUAUUCUACAUUAUUUUGUUUAGAAUUUUCCUGUAGUGAUAUAUAUUGCAUCUCUGCCUUAGCGCUUUAUCCUAUAAAAAUGUUUUGAUGUGAAUAUAACUAUUAUCAUUUCUGGUUUAUUGCAAAGCUAGUCGAAAGGAGUGUGCAUCUUUCAUGGUUGGUUUGCCUGUUUCCUUCAGAUAUGAGUACCUCAUGGCCGAGACAAUAUUCUCUCAGGUACUACUUGUGAAUUUGCAAUAAAUAUCUCACCUCUUUUAUAACAAUAUAGUAUAAAGCUUAAGCAAUUAGCAUUAUUGAGACCUGAGCAAGAUGUUUCUAGACGUCACUUGAGAAAAAUAAAUAGAAUAUAUUUUAGAAAGCAUGUUCUAGUCCCUCUCAGGUUCAAAUAUUUAUACAUAAACUGUUGAUUAAUCUGCAGAAAAAGAAGUAGAAAACAAGUAAAGGCACCUCUAGGACCCUGGGUAUAGAUAGGUACAACUUUUUAAUAAAGCCUAUUCUGACAAAGCUGAAGAACAAUAUUAUUUUCCACUGACAUGUUAAGUAACUUUUAUUGUCGAUUGAAUGUUAAGCAAAUUCAGUGAUAUGGGAAAAAGAAAAAGAAGCUCAUCUCUUAACAUUUGAUGUCAUAUUCAGCCUGUGAAUGUUGUAUGUUCCAAUUUCUAUGUUUUGUUCUCUCAUAAAACACUAGAUUGAAGACAAUUGAAGGGUUGUUUGGUUGGUGCAGUAAACUUCAUCUGCUCAUUUUCAUAAAAUUUCAACUCUUGAAGGAGUUGUUUAAUCCACACAAACAUGGUUAUCAAACUUGCCAGUUAACUCGUUAACUCGUCUGAGUUUACAUUCCCAAUCAUGGUUGCCGAGUUAACUCGGUACCAAACUCGUUUUUGGACUCAACUUAGUAGAAUCGGACAUGCACUCGGUGGAAUCUUUUGGAAUCGUGAUUGCACAACGAUUUAGAGAGUUCGAAAAAAAGGCAAAAACGAAGAAAAGAGGGAUCGUUUUGUUUAGGGUUUAAAACUUGAUUAAUGUUCUUUUCUUUUUUUUUCACUCCACCGUUGAUCUUCGUUGCUCGUGGUCAAGUUUCGCUCUAUUUGAUCGUCAUUCGUGGUCGUGCUUGGUCCGGUUGCCGAUUGUGGGCGUCAUCGCUCGUUCAGUCGCUGUGCGUGGUUUCCUUUCGUCCCCGUCGCUGUUCACCUGGUUUGUGAUCACUGUCACAGUGGCCGCUGUCGUCACUGCCAUCCUCACCACCUUCCUCGCUUUGCAGCUUCUGGUCUGCCCUUCUUCUUUGAGCCGCAAGUGGUGUUGGGUGAAGUUUUGUUAUUCUAAAAGUAUAAACCGUGCCACUGUAUGAUUUUAUUAGGAAAUGAAAUUUUUAUUCUUUUAUUACAGAAACGUAAUAUACUUAUGUUUUUAUUUUUAUGUAAAUGGUUUUUUAUUGAAAUUGAAAUUUAUAUUGUUUUAUUAAAUUUUUUUACUUUAGUAUAUAAAUGAUUUAUUAAAAAAUUAUAUUCUCAUAGUUUUAUUAGAGGAAUGAAAGCUUUUGUUUUUGUUUUUUCAAAUCCUAAGUCUUGCCAUUCUUUUAGUGAAAAAAUUUAAAACAUAUCAAAUUCAAUGGAAACUAAUGCAAGUGUAUCUUCAUUCCAUACAUUUGGAGACAACGAUGUCCAACAUUCAUGAGAGGAAGACUUGGAUGAAGAUAAUGACAAAGAUAAUGAUGCCAUUAUUAGAAGAUUAGAGGAAUAGACAUAAAGACUUUGACAUUUCUAUUUAUGUUUAGAAUAUUUCUAUGAAUUUAUGUAUUUCAAUUAAUAUAUUUGUAUGAAAAAUAUUUCUAUGAACUUAUAUUUUUUUUUCAUACAAAAGUAAACUCUUACGAGUUUACGAGUUGAGUUUACUGGACUCUCACGAGUUUACGUAAACUCUCGAGUUUGACAACCUUGCACACAAGUUCACAUGUAGUUGGAGCCAUAGAUCGAUAUUAUGCAUCUGCACUAGAUCGAGUAACAACAUUAUGUUUUUUACUUUUCCAAGAUACAAGGUUCCCUCCAAGUAAUACACAAUAUCCUAUGGUACAUCUUCUGUCAAUUGGACAACCGGUCCAAUCUGCAUCACAAUAUCCUUCUCCUCAAGUACUUCCCUUGUUCAAAUAUAACAAUCCGUGUCCUAGGUUCCCUUUUACAUAUUUGAGAAUGCAAAUCACAACAUUCCAAUGAUCAACAUGUGGAUUUUGCAUAAAUUGGCUCACAACUCCCUUCGGAUAAGAAAAAUUAGGUCUUGUUAUGGUAAGAUAGAUGUGUUUUGCUAUCAACCUUUUGUAUCUCUUUGUGUCAAGAAAGACUAGGUCUUGUUAUGGUAAGAUAGAUGAGUUUUCUAACCAACCUUUUGUAUUUGUCUGGGUCAGAGAAAAGCUCACCUUGGUCUAUCAUUAACUUUUGAUUUGAGUCCAUAGGGCUAUCAAUGAACUUGCAAUUUGUCAGGCCUGUUUCUUCCAAAAUAUCAAAAGCAUAUUUUCUAUGUGAAAUGAGGACACCUUCUUUUGAUUGUGCCACUUCAAUACUAAGAAAAUAUUCUUUAAUGGAGCAAUUCUAGUGACAUCAUUUCCUGUAAUAACAAUAUCAUCAUCAUCAUAAACUAUAAGAUAAAUACAUUUGUUUGGAGAAUAAUGACCAUAAACACUGAAUGAUCUGCCUCACAACGUUUCAAUCCAAAAUUUUACACAACUUGACUAAAUUUACCAAACCAAGCUCAAGGUGAUUGCUUCAAGCCAUAGAGUAAACAAUGUGAUUUACAAACUAACUCAAACUCCUCCUGAGCAAUAAACCCAAGAGGUUGCUCCAUGUAUAUCUUCUAUUCGAGAUCAGCGUGAAGAAAGGCAUUCUUAAUGUUCAAUUAGUAAAGGGCCUAUUGAUGAAUGACAGUCAUAGCAAGAAAAAGACAAACAUUUCUGUUUGAGAAAAAGUAUCACAAUAGUCGAAGUCAUAAACCUAAGUACAUCCCUUAGCUAUUAGACGAGCUUUGAGACUAUCUAUUGCAUCAAUAGGACCAACCUCAAUACAAUAGACCCAUCUACAACCCACAUGCUUCUUACCAGGAGGAAGAUGGACAAGUUCCCAAGUGUCUGCAGGAUGACAAAGUGCGUCAUGAACAUUAUUAGGAACCUUAAUGGUAGAUAAGGAGGAAACAAAGGAGAAAUAUGGAGGAGACACACAAUGUUAAUUUAAAAAUACUUGUAUUAAGUAAACCAGUGUAUUUUUUUUUUCUUAUUCCACUCUUACAAUUUACUGCUGUAUUUAUACAAAAGGUUAGGCACCUCCUAAAACCCUAACCUAAGAGUUGGGUUCCCAUACAUAAUAAUAGUAAUAUAGAAACAUUACAUUUCAACAAUUCUAAUAAUAUAUGUGAUGGCAAAUGAUAGAUAUAUCUUGGGGUGUCAACAUAGCUGAUAUGUCAAGGAGCAUAGUGAUGUCUACCAUGAGUUUCAUAAAGAAAAAGAUCUUGAGCCGUACAAGAUAUCUUACAACCUCUUGUGAAACCCUAUUUCUAGAAAACCUCAUGACAACCCCAUUCAAGAACAAUACACCUCAAAGAAAGAAAUCUUUUAUAGAAGAAAAUUAACUAUAAGAUAAACUUUUCAACACAUUCAUUAUCAAAUCCAAGUGCAUCAGAUCAAUUCAAUCAAGAUUGCUUGCAUCUUCAAUCUCAAACAGUGACAAAUGUAUCAUUUAUGUAGGCUUUUUUGUCAUAUAUUUAAUCUAACAUUCUACGAAGUGCAGUAUUGAUAACCAUUGAUUUAAACUCAAUGGUUUUGAAUGUUCUAAAUUUCAUGCAAGUGGAUAGCAACUUGGGAUUUUUAAGAACUGGAAAAUGUUACAGUGAAUCCACCUACUAUUUUUAUUUGCAAGUGUUUGUUUAAUGAAAUUGUCUUAUUCUUUUUCAUUAUUUUUGUAAAUAACAAGCUACGUAAAUUAAAUACACUGAAAUGUUUAAUUUUCUAAUUUGAUGUAACUGACAUUUGUGAAUCUGUACUUUUAAUUAGUGGCUUCUUAUAUUGGCUGAUUUGUGUAACGUGAUGUCUAUUUCUGUUGCAGCUGCUGAUGCUACCUCAACCACCUUUCAGACCAGUAUAUUACACACUUAUAAUUAUUGACCUUUGCAAGGUAUUGUGUUUCAGUCACUGGGGAAUUAUUGUUGCUUCAAAACAAUACAGAUUUGAAAUUUAAGCUCAUGUUUAAUGCUUUUGUAUACAUGUGGCUACCAAUAGGCUCUUCCUGGAGCUUUUCCUGCUGUUGUUGCUGGAGCAGUUCGUACUCUCUUUGAGAGGAUAGCUGAUUUGGACAUGGAAUGUCGAACACGUCUAAUCCUUUGGUUCUCCCACCAUUUGUAUGUUCAAAAUUUUAGUAAAUUCUUUUUGACAUGCAUUACUUAAGAUAAUUCGUACGUGGUUGUGCUGCUUGAUAUGUUGUCUGUCCAACUUUACCUUUUUUUUCAUUUAUUUCACUUUGUAGAUAGAAAAAUAAAAAACCACGGGUAACCUUGUGUGGCGUCUAGGCACUAGAGUUGAACGAUAUAUUAUUCAUGAAUUAGACACGAAAUUUCUCUGGUGUGGUUAUAUUCAAUGGUGAGAAAAUCAUUGAAGUGAAACUGUUGUUUUUGGGUCACAUUUCUUAACACUUUAAAGCAAACUUUAUAUUUCCCAAAUUAUAAACGAUUUAAUGGAUGUAUUUACNAUCCUUCUGAUCAUGACUAAGUUACUAAUUUAUAUAGGACAACUGUGCAAUACUCACUUUAUCAACUGCAAAUUAUCAGUUAAGUGUUAGAUAUUUUGUGCACACCCAAGCCCUACCAACCUUUCUUAAAUGUUAGCCAUUGAUACUACCAUUCAACUACAUGGCCCAAAUAAAUGGAUAAAAUUUAAUUGCCAAUUACCAUUAAUUGAUUGCUAAUGGGUGACCAAACAUAAUUAAUAACAUAAUAUAUUAUUUUUAUCAUGCAAUUAUAUUUUCUAUUUUAGUUUGAUAAUAUCUGGUGUUGCCUCUGUUCCUGGUCUGGUCUGGUCUUUUACUCCUAGUGAAUAUUUUCGAAUAGAAGGUAACUGUAAAAAAGUGAAGUAUUGGUUGACGUAUGUUGGAAGUCCCACAUCGACUAGAGAUGAGGCCAUUUAAGUGUAUAUAAGUGGGUGCAAACCUCACCCUACAAGCCGGUUUUGUGGGGUUGAGUUAGGCUUAAAGUCCACUUCUAACAACGUAUAUCUAGUUUAGGAAUGAUCAGCUACUCAAUUGGCUGAAGUGAAUAUGUUGUUACUUCUUAACCACUUUUUAAAAGUCAUAAACUGGUUCAUUGUUUAAUCCUCUGUCCUGCCAAAGUUCAAAGUUCAACUAACAGAAAAGGUGGAAACUCAAGCUGCAUUUCUGACAUCUGUAGCCUCUGAUCCUGGCUACAAUAUUUCCCUGAAUUUCCUUUUAAUGGAAUGCUGGAAUUGGCAUGUUAAAGGAUUGAUCUAAUAGAAGGUUAUAAUGACUUCAAAUAAAGAUUGCAGUGUCAUUUAUGACUCUGCAAUGUGGGAGUUAUUUUGGUCAAAAGGAAACGGAGUCUUGUCUCUCUAAGCAUAGUAGUGAAUGAUUCCAACUAGUAAGGAUUAAAGAAUUUGAGAAAGUGACUUGGUGAUAUUGAUGAGGCAGUUGAUGUUUAUGAUGAAGUUGGUGUUAGCCUUAAAUUGUGGUUUUAACUGGUUCUCCGAUUGUGGUCUAAUUUGUUACUGGAAACAGUGGUGUGAUGUUUGAUAAUUAUGCGUAAAGUUGUUGGAUGAGUGUAUUAAACAAUUAGAUGCUCAUUUAUAGCUCUCACAAUUUGGUGCGUUGUGAUGAUAAACUGAUAAUUUGUUUCAAUCAUCACUUUCAGAUGAAUGUUAGUAGUUGAAAGCACAUUCUGUGUUUGUGUCCUAAGUCGUGUAUUAAGUGUUUUCAUAUUCAAUUUGGUUUAUGGUCUAUAUUAUGCAGAUCAAACUUCCAGUUUAUCUGGCCAUGGGAAGAGUGGGCUUAUGUCCUAGACCUCCCAAAGUGGGCUCCACAACGUGUCUUUGUCCAAGAGGUUUUGGAGAGGGAAGUUCGCUUGUCAUACUGGGACAAAGUUAAGCAGGUAAUUUAUCAAAGCUAGAACCACAGUAAAUUUUACAUUUGUUGCACAUUGCCUUAUGAUGAGACAAUUAGACUGCAUUGCCACUCAUGAUCUUUUCAUGGUUAUGGACCAUAUAGGGAAAUCAUAAAAGGGUUAGAUAUUUUGUUUCUGUUUUUGUUAUGUAGAGGAAUGUAUGCUUUGUUAAAUAGAAGGAUUUUUUAUUUUUCAGUUUUCUUGUGAGGUAACUCACUCCAGGAUCAUGUCAGGGGAAUUUUGGUGGAAUCUUCUUAGAUAACUUGAACAGAGAAAAAAGAGGGAAAAUUGAAUAAGAACAUAAUAUUUUUAUUUACUGUUUUCACACAUUGUAUGUUAUGUACAAUAGUUAUUUAUGGACACAAAUGUCUAAGAAGCUGUUAUAAACUGACAGCUGUACAGAGAAAAAAAUAUAAAAUGAAAGAAACCUACCGCUGAACAGGUUUGACUAAUUAUACAAGUUGACCAUAGUUGACUAUAGUAUAUACACUAACAGCCCUCCUCAAACUCAAGGAGAAGACUUUUUUAGAUGCAAAAGUCUUCACAUUGAGGUUGCUGCGAAGAAGCACCAACCAAGUGUUGGACAAUGAAUAUGAUAAAUUAAGAGUUGCUUUGCCAAAAUAUUUUCUCGUACAAAGAAGACAUCAAUCUCCAUAUGUUUAGAUCGAUUGUGAAAAAACAGGAUUAUUAAGAAUAGCCACUGCACUUUGCUUAUCACAAAGAAGAACUGGAGUAUGGAAAGAAACUUGCAACUCUGUUAGUAGUUUGGAAAUCCAUGACAAUUCUGCUGCUGUUUCAGCUAGACUUUAUUGAAAUGUACAACAACUUGUUUUCUAGACCUCCAAUUAGGACCAUGAAAAAUGACUGCCCCUGAAAUAGAUCUUCGAUCAUCUAUAUUUGAUACCCAGUCAACGUCACAACAGGUUUUUGAGCAUAAAGAGCAGUUAAGUGAUGCAGGUUGAAAAUUCUCAAGUUUAGAAUAGAUACUCUCUCUUAUGAUAUUCUGAGGUUACUAACCUCUAUAUUUAUACACAAGUCAUCAACAUAUUAUGGGCUGCUAAAUCUGCUGGACAAAUCCCUAUAAUUAUGGGAUCAAUCAAACAUAAAUAACCUAAUAAAGGCAGCAUUCAACAGUUACAGAAAUACAACAUAUUUAAAUAAAAAACUUCCUAAACUACUCCAUGCCAAUUAAUACCACGCCAAUCACGGUUUUGACACUCCUUCUCAAGCUGGUGAAUAGGUGUUUUCCAUUCCCAGCUUGGAGACAAUUCCUUCAAAGUUUAUGCAGUUCAGUCCCUUGGUGAGUAUAUCUGCAAGUUGGUUCUGUGUAGAUACAUAUGGUGUGCAAAUCAUGCCACUAUCUAGUUUUUCCAUUAUAAAGUGUCUAUCAACUUCAAUAUGUUUAGUUGUACCAUGCUGUACCGGGUUAUGAACUAUGCUAAUUGCAGAUUUAUUGUCACAAUAUAGCCUCAUAGGUUCAUCCCACUUUAUCUUCAAGUCUUCCAAUAUAAUUUUCAGCCAUAGAAGUUCACAUAUUCCGUGGGCCAUUGCUCGAAAUUCUGCUUCAGCACUUGAUCUAGCCACUACACUCUGUUUUUUACUCUUCCAAGUCACCAAGUUUCCACCAAGGAAGGUACAAUAUCCUGUGGUUGAUCUCCUAUCUACCACUGACCCAACAUAGUCUGCAUCCGUAUAUGCUUCAAGGCAUAAAUUCUUGUUCCGUUUGAACAAAAUCCCUCUUCCGGCGGUCCCUUUCAAGUAUUGUACAAUUCUAAGAGGAGCUUGUAGAUGUGUUUCCUUUGGUUGGUGCAUAAACUGGCUAACUAGACUUACAGCAAAUGCAAUGUCUGGUCUAGUGUGAGAUAAGUAAAUAAGCCUGCCCACAAGUCUUUGAUACAUUUCCUUGUCCACAGCAAUAUGCUCCAUACUUCCCAAUUUUAUAUUUGGAUCAACUGGAGUACUUGCUGGUUUGCAGCCUGUCUUCCCUGUUUCUCUAACAAGUCGGUAAUAUAUUUUUGUUGAGAUAUGAAGAUUCCUUUCUUGGAAUGGGCCACUUCAAUUCUCAAAAAAUAUUUAAGCCUUCCCAGUGUCUUGAUCUCAAAUUUCGUGGCAAGACAUUUGCUUAAUACUUGUUCGCUUUUGUCGUCCCCACUCACUAUAAUAUCAUCUACAUACACUAAUAGAAUUGUUACUUCCCUUGAAGCUGAAUGUUUGAUAAAUAAUGUGUGAUCCCCUUGGCUCUGUUUGUAGCCUAGACCUGUCAUAACUUUGGUAAAUCUUCCAAACCAUGCUCUUGGGGAUUGUUUCAACCCAUAUAGAGCCUUUCUUAAUUUGUAAACAGUUCCAGCAGCAACCUGUUCCUUGUAACCCGGGGGCAACUCCAUGUAUAUUUCUUCUUCAAGGUCUUCAUGUAGAAAUGCAUUCUUCACAUCAAACUGCUGUAGAUCCCAACCAUUAUUUGUUGCUAGUGACAAUAAUACUCUGACCGUGUUCAUCUUAGCAACCGGGGCAAAUGUCUCCAAGUAAUCAACUCCAUAGGUUUGAGUGAAGCCUUUGGCCACCAACCUUGCCUUGUAACGUUCGAUUGUCCCAUCAAUCCUAUACUUUAUUGUAUAUACCCACUUACAUCCCACUGGUUUUUUUCCAGAAGGUAGGGUGACAAGUUCCCAGGUCCUAUUCUUGUUUAAUGCCUCCAUUUCCACAUCCAUGGCAUUUUUCCAUUUCCUGUUAGACAAUGCUUCAGAUACAGAGGAAGGUGUGUGUGUGGAGUUGAGGUUAGUGAGAAAGGUUUUAUGGGUAGGUGAGAAUUUUUCAAAGGAUAAGAAAUUUNAUAGUGGGUAAAGUGGCUUUUGGGUGCAAGCUCNAGUUCCUUUUCUAAGGGCAAUGGGUAGGUCAAGGGUUUGGUCCACCUAUGCUUCUAGAUUAUCAGAAACAAACUCAUUAGAAUCAUUGGAAUUUAUAGGAUUUGAAGGUGUUACNUCAUGUAGUGCUGGUGGGUUGGAUUCUUGGACAUUGCCAGAUUCUAGAAUGGCCUUUUCUCUUCUUGAGUAUACCUUUCCAAAUUUGUCGCCAUCAUCAGGUGCAGGUCUUGCGGAUUGAGUAGGUUGAAUUCUUUCCUCAAUUUCAAGGACAACAGGUUGAAUUCUUUCCUCAAUUUCAGGGACACCAAUGCCGCCACCAUUUGUCCCAGUUUCAGGCCCAAACGUCGUAUUUGGGGACAUGAGAGUCUCAUCUUCCUCUCUUAUAUUCUCCCCUUGAAGAUGAGGCUGUUUGAAGUAGCUCUCUUGUUCGUUGAAGGUGACAUCUCUUAACACAUAGAAUCUUUUUGAAAGGGGUUGAAAACAUUUGUACCCUUUUUGUGUGGUAGAGUACCCUAAGAAAACACAUUUGACAGCUCUCGGAUCCAAUUUCCCCCUUUCAUUACUAUGAACAUGUACAAAGGACACACACCUAAACAUUCUAGGUUGGAGUUUAUUUGUAGGGUCUAGGUGUGGGUAGAAUGAGGAUAGAACUUCCAUGGGACUUCUUGAGUUUAAAACUUUAGUGGGUAAUCUAUUGAUUGGAUAGCUGGCGGUAAGGAGAUCUUCCCCCCAAAAUCUUUUAGGAACAUGAUUUUGAAAAAGUAGAGCUCUAGUUUGAUCUAAAGUUUAGAAUAGAAUCUCUCUCUUAUGAUAUUCUGAGGUUACUAACCUCUAUAUUUAUACACAAGUCAGCAGCAUAUUAUGGGCUGCUAAAUCUACUGGACAAAUCCCUAUAAUUAUGGGAUCAAUCAAACAUAAAUAACCUAAUAAAGGCAGCCUUCAACAGUUACGGAAAUACAGCAUAUUUAAAUAAAAAUCUUCCUAAACUACUCCAUGCCAAUUAAUACCACGCCAAUCACGGUUUUCACAAAAAUGCAAGCCAUUAAAUAUUGUAUCCUUAAGAUACCUCAGUAUACAUCUUAGGUACCCAGGUUUGCAACCUAACAAGAACACACUCAAAAGAUAGGAAGAGGAAUGGAAGAAUUGUUUUCUCAUAGCUUCUGUUUCCCUAUCCUAAUCACUCAUCUCUGUUUUUUGGCUUUGUAUUUAUAUUUUAUCCGAAAGAAACAACUUUAAUUGACUAAAACAGAUUAUUUUUUUAAUCAACCUUUAUUUAGUGAAAAACUUGUGUUAUGUGGCUGUUUAUCACUCCUACAUUUUAUUGAAUGACAUGCUUAAGAAUUCAGUUCUAACUUGAUUUAUUAUGUGAUUGAGAGGUUAUUUUCAUUAUCUGUUAUGAUUUUGCAUUUUUUUGUAGGAUCUUAUGCUUCGUGUUGUGAAACUAUGGUUUAUGAUAUUUUAUUCCCAUCCUACUAAUCUUAUCUAAAGUUUUGAUAUUGACUACAUUGGAUGCUUUUCUAUUAGCAGCAGAAUUAAUUGAAAGGUAUUUUUUUAUAUAGUUGGCAUAUUGAUGUUUUUAUGGUAUAUUUUCAUGAUAUUUUGUAGAGUAUUGAAAAUGCACCUCGUUUGGAAGAAUUGCUUCCUCCUAAAAGCGGGCCAAAUUUUAGUUUUGGUUCAGAAGAUGGUAAAGAAAGCAAUGAGCAUGGACUGUCUGGAAAGCUCAACAGUAUGGUUAAAGGGAAGUCACCUGUCCGUGAAAUAAUCUCUUGGAUUGAUGAAAGUGUGCUUCCAAAUAAUGGUCUAGAAGUUACCCUCAGAGUGAUUGUACAAACACUUCUCAAUAUUGGAUCCAAGAGUUUCACUCAUUUGAUAACUGUCUUGGAGAGAUAUGCACAAGUCUUUGUGAAAGUAUGUCCGGANGAGGAUNGACAAGUCAUGCUGAUAGCUGAAGUGAGUUCUUUCUGGAAGAGUAACACCCAAAUGACAGCAAUAGCUAUUGACAGGAUGAUGGGUUAUCGACUUGUAUCAAAUCUGGCUAUUGUGAGAUGGGUCUUCUCAGCAGAAAAUAUUGAGCAAUUUCAUACAUCGGAUCGGCCAUGGGAGGUACAUAAUUGAGGUUUUUACGGAUAGAUUGUUGUUAACUCUUUCCUCCUCGGCUAUAGGUCUAAGGGGUCAGAAACCAUCUGCCUUUUGCUUUUUAUUGUAUUUGAUGUGAUCUGCUUUUUAAUUUUUAAAUUUAAGUGCUCAAAAUUUACACCCUUUUUGUUUUUUGUUUGAUUGGCAUGGAUUAUGAAUUUUAGCAUGUAUGGAAUUUUCAGUUGAUCAUCAUGAUAAUUACUUUUGCUUUCAUAUAGUAAUUCGACCCUGAUUUCUAUUGAACAGAUUCUGAGAAAUGCAGUAAGCAAGACACAUAAUCGUAUUUCUGAUUUACGGAAAGAAAUAUUAACUAUUAAAAAGAACAUUUCAUCUGCCGAAGAAGCUGCCAAGGAGGCAAAAGCUGAGCUAGAUGCUGCAGAGUCAAAACUUACACUUGUGGAUGGUGAACCAGUUCUUGGUGACAAUCCUGUUAGAUUGAAUAGAUUGAAAUCACAUGCUGAAAAGACAACGGAGGACGUGGUGACUGUUAAAGAAUCCUUAGAAUCUAAGGAAGCUCUUCUUGUCCGAGCAAUUGAGGAAAAUGAGGUAAUUGAUGGAAAAUUUGUUAAGUUAAUUGUUUGCAUAAAGUUUUUUGUAUCAAACAUGUUUACAAUGUCUGGGAAUGGUUACAUUUUUGUUACAGCCAGAGAUAACUUUUCAUGUAUUUGAAAAAAAAUAGAUUUGCCAAUAGUGAGUUUCUAAGAAAAUUUUCAUUGCAUUGUUGGUUAUUGGCAUAUACAGGCAUUAUUUCUCUUGUUGUACAAAAGCUUCUCAAAUGUGUUGACAGAGCGGCUUCCUGAAGGAACUAGAACACUGCAUGAGUUGAAGUCUGUGCAAGUAGAUGUGAUGGCAGUGGACGCUGAAGAGCCACCAACAAUGGAAUUAGAUGACGAAAACCAGAGAUCUCAAAACAGGUUCUCGUGCCUGUCCUUCUGAGCUAGAUUAAUAAUUAAGAAAAGUUAAUGUUUCUCUGGCUUUGUACGCAUGUGCAUAUUACUAUUGCUUUUUAAUGUCUUCUACAGUCAGUCAAAUGGAGAGAAGAAAGGUGGUGCUUAUGUUGUAGGUGAAAAGGAGCAGUGGUGUAUCACCACUUUGGGCUAUGUGAAGGCUUUUUCUAGGCAGUAUGCUGCUGAGGUAUUGUUCCAUUCCCUGUUUGCAUUUAUCUUGGCUUUUAAGGGAAUGCCUUGUAAACAAAACUUAGCAUAUACAAAAUCUUUUACCUGUUCCUCCAGGGUUAGAUUGCUCUAUAUUUGUUUACCUCUAAAAACUUGUAUUAAAUUGUUGGUUGCAGAUAUGGCCCCAUGUUGAAAAGUUGGAUGCAGAGGUAUUGACAGAAGAAACACCUUAUCUUUUUAGGUCAGCUGUUUAUACUGGUCUUCGAAGACCAAUUCACGAGGCAUGAUCAAUUUGUUACUUCACCUCUGAGCUAUGUUAUUUAGAAUAUAAUGUAAUUCCAUUCUUUAGUCUGCUAGUUAAGCAUUUUCUUAGUCUGCUAAAAGCCUAAAACUGUAUGCAAUUGUAAUUUAAAAAUGACAAGGUUGGUAUGACGAGUCUCUACAUCUUAGAUUCUAACAGGGACUUUAUCACCGCUGCUGUACAUUAGAUUUCGAUUAUAGCUUUUAAUUGGACCUCAAAUACCCAAAAAAAAAAUGGAGUUUGCACCAUACUUGUGUUGUACUUGGUAGUAAAAUGAAAAUUGAAUUGUGAUUAUUUGCAUUAAAAUGUGCUUUUUUAAUAGGCCUAUGAUGCCUCGUUUGGAGGAGAAGUAAAAUCUUAUAUACCCUCAGGAAAAAAAAGAAGCUUAAAGAGAAUAAGUAGAUUCAAAAUACUAGACUUGAUGUUAGCCAAAAGUAAUUUGAUUAAAUUAUAUACAUUAUUUGACUGCUUCAUAAGUUGAGUUUGAUAUAAAUGUAUAAUUUGACAAAACAUCAAUUUUUUCAGAUUGGUGAUUAGAAACACCGCAUUGAGUAGUGAUAUGAUGAAAAUAGUGUAUGUAAUUUAAGGAUGAGUUCGUUUUCUAAAGUUGAGUUUGGUUUAAACCACCUAGAGUCCGCACCUUCACUUGUACAAAUGCAAGAUGGCUCAGUUAUAAAAAGAUUUUAGAUGAUUUUUCUCUAAAUACAGAAGCUUACUUACAGGAACCAGAUUUAAAGAAGAAAUUUGUAUCUACCAUCUAUUCAUGUGAAUUGAAAUAUUAUGUGGUAUGAACACUGGGUCAACACCAAAAGUAGAUGAUGCACUGGGUCACAGAAUUAUUCGUAGCCCGUAGAAAAUUUUGUUCCAUGUAUUUGACGUACUUAAGAAGGUCUUUGGAAUUAACAAGUUUUACAAUGUAAUUAUUUUAUAAAAAAAAUGUAUUUUGACAUCCACUUUUUCUCUGACCAUCAUUUGACUGCUUUUUAUUUAUAAAGUAUUAUAUUUAAUAAAUAUAAAUAAAUAAUAAUAUUUAAGAGUGUUAUAAUAAAAACACAGGGAUCCUUAUUUUAUUCCCAAAUUUAAGAUGGUUACAAAAAUUAUAUCUUCCCGUGAAACUGAACCCAUACUCUUAUAUGUCUUUAACUUUUAAUUUGACAUCUCCGUACCAUGCCCCAUGGACCCUAAUUUCCAAACGGCACUCCAUCUCUUCCGGUCCAAUAAAAAAUAUAAGAAUUAAUUCUUCUGAUAGAUUUCAUUUUGGUGAAAGUGUGUAAGUUGGUUCUUCAUUUUAAAAAAGUUUUAAUUAUGUCUUAAUUUUUUUUUUUAAAAAUAAUUAACAGACAUAAUUUAUUCUGAAUUUUUAUCAAAAUAAAACAACAUUAUCUAUUUUUAAAUUUAAAUAAAUUAUUAUUUAUAUAAAUAUUAUAUUAACAUUUUUAUUAAAAAUAAUUUUUAGCAUAUUAUAUUAUAUUGUCAAUGUCACGUAUCAUACCGUGAAUUUAACACGUGACAAUUUUUUAUUAAAAAAUUAAAAAUAUUAAGAAAUUAAAAAACUGAAAAAUAACAAUUAAUAAGAGUUAAAUUGAAAUUUGGCAUGUAAUACUAUGAUCAGUGUCACGUGUUCCAAUAGGAUUUGACAUGUGACAAUAAAAGCCUUAUAAAAAAAAUCACAUAUUGAUUCAUGAUAUGUUAACGUUAUUAGUAAUUUAUUUUAAAAAUAACAUAAUUUAGACAUUUUUUUAAAAGUUAAUAUGCAAUGGAAAUUUGUUUUAAAAAUGGGACCAAAUAAUUAAGUCUAAAUAUAAAUAUAUUGAAUAGCAUGAUUCAUUCUUUAAAUUAUUUUAUUUUUUUAAUAUUUGGUUUAGAUGAAAAGACAUUCAUGACAUGUUAACAAAUUUCAUUAAUUCAAAAAUAUUAACAUUAACAUUGCUUAUUGGAGUUUCUUGUGUCAAAAUUUCAAUCAAUGUUAUUAAAGUGUCCCGAACUCACAUGGAUAAAAAAAAAUUAGUAAUUGUUGGUAAUUUUUUUUUCAAUUAAUAACAAAAAAUGUCUUAAGAAAUUAUUGAUGAAGAAUAAUUUGUGUAAUUGAUAUAAAAUUAAUCGACAAAUAAUAAUAAUAAUAAUAAUAAUAAUAAUAAUAAUAAUAAUAAUAAUAAUAAUAAUAAUAAUAGGUAUUAGUAAAAAAAAUCUAGUUUAUACUUUUAAGAUAGUUUCCUUGAAGUGAGAGAAAAUCCUAAUUAAGGUUGAGUAAGAAAUUUCAAUGGUAUAUAUAAAAAACAUAAAUCAAGAAAUAAUUUUAAUAAUAUCAAUGAUAGAGGACCAUCUUGAGGAAAUAUUGGACCACUCACAUAAGCUAUGACAAAGAGGAUGGAAGAGGGAGAUGAAGCUCUAAGGACUCUACUUUUGUGGAGAUCAAUUAUUAGCCUUUUAUUUUCUCUUAAACACUUUUGUAAAUAUGUAAUAUAACUUCAUUUUAUAUCUUGUAUAUGGCCAAGAACCUUGUUUAGUAGUGAUUAGGACCUUGGCGCAAUCAGAAGUGGAUUAAUGCCUCAUUUAAGGUCUUAAGCCUUAAUCAACGCCUAAAUGGGCUUCAAUAGGCCUUCAAGAAGCUUUGGACUUGGAAGAAAGAAGCCUUGGCCGGUCACAUCAAGGGUAGGCGCCUAUGCAUUGUAUUUGGAUGAAAGUUAGGAGUUAGUUGGAAGGGAAGGCUCCCACUCAUCCCCCUUGCCAAAGAAGCUUCUAGGCUAUUUCUUAAGUGCAUGCACUUUAGGUCUUCCUUCAACUAUAAAAGGAAAAGCACUCCUCUUGUAAUCCUUAUAACUUGAAUGAUAUUAGAGAAACUUUACCAAAAUUGCAAGCCUCUCUUCCUAAGUUCUCAUUGCAAUAGUGUCUUUUAAAGGCUUCUUCUUCCUUUUCCUUCAUGUUGAGACAAGACAAGCUCGUCUACUAAGUAUAAAGGAAAGGUGUCCACACAACAAGUCUAACACAAUAAAUAGGAAAUACAAAUGACUAGGAAUUAAAGGUCCAGUAAGAAGCAUCUAUAAAUGACUUCCAUUGGGAAUACAAACAUUAGAUGAGCCUCACCAAAAAAUGGUCAAACUAAUUUCAGGCAUAGUCGGAAAUCAAAAGAAUUGAAAAAGAUAUAAGAAUUCUAUGCAACACUAAACGACUUCCAAAGUUAAAAGUCUAAUGACCGAGGAAACUCAUAUAAAAACACUUAGGCUCGGCCUAGACGCAACAUUAAACGAUUCUAAAAAGGUUAAAGCGUCUAUAAGAGAAGUCCUACUAAACGCAGAAAGCUUACAGUACCAAACGAUAAUUAAUAAAAACUCUCAAUUAGACAAAAGUGUGAAGACAAAGUUUUUGGUAAGCUAUUUGAAAGUCAUAAUCAAUAGUCCAAAAACUUGUAAAGGACAACUCGUUAAAUGCUUCUUCUAAAGAAAGCAGAAUCCUAAAAGUGUUUACAAUAGAUUAGUCGAUAAUAUCCUCUCAGUAUGUCAUAGCUUGAUAAAAAGUGUCCAACAAUGAAGGCAUGACUAGAAAGUCUUAAACAAUGUUACAGAAAGCAUUGUGCCAAACGUAUGGGCUAGAGAAACCUACAUGGUUUAACUAAGCUGGACGAAUUCCCACGAUAAAAUGAUGAGUUUGGAAAAUACAUCAAAAGAACAAAACUUUUUCCAAAACACAUAAUAAAAGGCAUUCAACUAAACACAAUCUUAAAAAUAACAAGUAGCUACCAAACAAAAACUAAUUAAAGAAAAAGUCUCUUCUAGGAUAAAAGAUACGACAUGCCAAACACAUUUUCAUUCAAUGAUAAAACUCUCGUGAAACAUCUUGUAUUCUCAUUAGAUAACUGAAACAGUUAAAUCUUAACCAAAACAUAAAAUCCCUGACUAUUCUGGACAAACAUUAAAUGUUAUUAAAUGCUCAAUGUUUAAAAGCAAGAAGAUAGAUAAGAAAAAAGAUAUAUAUACUAUAAAAACAUAUAUUCUACGCUAUGCAGGUUAUCUACUACAAACAUUUACCUACAAGUCAGAAAUGAACGUUAGAAAGAAGAAAAAGAUAGGUGGAAUGUUUCGUUCAUCAAAAGUCGUGCCACAUGAAUAAUCUAAUAUGUUUUUUGUUAAUGUUCUGAAAAACAAGUCUCCUAUGACAUCAAGACAUCAAUCUAUGACUGUCAUCUGUGCUACGAAGAGUCAAAGCACAUGGACAAGCUUCAUCCAAUAGUCAUAUUAUCAACAAGUUUCAAGACAAGCAUCAUUUAACGACUAUAUCAUCAAAGGUGUAUAAAUAGAGGAUCGAAAAAGAAGAAAGACAGAUGAUGAAAAAAAAUGGAGUGUAAAGAAAAAUUAGCAUCAAGGAAGAGCCAGGAAGUCUCUCUGAGCUACUAAAGUCAAACCAUUUUACUCAAGAGAAAAGAGAAAAAGAGAAGAUUUAAAGAAAAGGAAACACUCUCAGUCUUCAGGGUUAUAAGCUUACUUUUGUAAGGAGAGAAAGAGAAAAGAGAGAGAUAUAGUGAAACACUAAGAAAUACUCUCAAGUUUCAUUGUAGUAUUAGAUAGUAUUGUAAUGAAUAUAUAUCCUUUAUGUGAGAGUAAUCGUCUAACGAUUUGUAGGCAAUCAAUUUGAUUGCACAUUCUGAAGAGAAUUAAAACACUGAUUAAGUAACUCAUAAGAGUUAAGGAUUAUUAGGCAGCGUAUCGGCGGAUACCGGGAUUGUCUAGUGGAAAUCAAGAGUGGGUAAAACUCAACUAGUCAGGAUGAUCAAUGUUAUUCGUUGACUAGGGAUACCAGAGUGAUGAAGAAUGCUGCUCAACCAGGAGUGGGUGAAACUUAGUCGAGGUCAUAGUAACAUGUGGUUAUUGGGUUGACAAGGACAACUAAGAGUGAGUUAAACUUAGCUAGGCAACAUAUCAAGGGAUACUAGGAUUGUCUAGGGAUACCAAGAGUGGUGAAGAAUAUUGCACAAGUAGGAGUGGGUGAAACUUAAUCAAGGUAAUAAUAACAGGUGGUUAUUGGGUUGACAGUGACAACCAUGAGUGGGUUAAACUCAACUAAGUAAUGUAUCAGGGGAUACCAGGAUUGUCUAGGGAUACCAAGAGUGGUGAAGAAUACUGCACAACCAAAAAUGGGUGAAACUCAGUUAAGGUCACAGUAACAGGUGGCUACUAGUGUACGAGGGCAACCAAGAGUGGGUUAAACUCAAAUAGAUAGUGUAUCAGUUUGAUACCAGGAUCGUCUAGGGAUACUGGGAGUGAUGAAGAAUAUUGCACAACCAGGAGUGAGUGAAACUCAACUAGACGGUGUAUCAGAUUGAUACUAGAAGCGUUUAGGGAUAUCGGGACUGGUUAGAAUACUCAAAUGUACUUUGUUGAAUAUUUAAUGAAACUGUCUAAGUUAUAUUAGAGGACAAUUGGACGUAGUAUCAGAUUGAUACUAGGAGCGUCUAGGGAUAUGAAGUUUUUGGACAUGAAUCCAGAAGAUUUCAUCUCGCAUAGGUUUAGAACCUCGACGUAUGAAGAAACAUGCAUUCCAAUCAUUUUCCCUCUCAAUGGACCUCAUAUAUGGCAAAGGACCUCAUAUCCUGAUAUUUUGCCUCCACCAAAACGGGGUGUUUCCAGGAAGACCAAGAAAAAAAAGAAGGCUGAAGAGUUGGGAGCAAAAGAAGGAUGAUACACAACUUGGACAAAAAGGAAUCCCUAAGAGAUGUUCCAUGUGUAGAGAACUUGGGCAUAGAAGAACUAAUUUCCCACAAGCAACUCAACAACAACACCAGUAGGGUACAUCACACUUCACUCAAGCAAGUCAACAACAAGAGGAAGAACUUACACCACACCCCACUCAAGGAAGUCAGAUUACUCAAGAACCCCAGACUGAUCAAAUUAUAACACCACUUUAGAUUGUUCAACUUUCAAACAUUAAGUACAUCUUUGUUGUAUUUUGGAUAUGUACUUUGAUUUUAAAUAGUGUCGCUUUCUGUCAUGUAUUUUGCACUUAAUUUUGGAUGAUAUGUGACUGUAUUUUGGAUUAUAUAUGAAGUACUUUGGAUGAUAUGUGAAUGUAUUGUGAUAGUCACAUUAAUUUGGCUUCUAGGAUUUCAAACUUAUUUAUAUUAAUUGUAUUGUCAUAGCCAUAUUAAUUUGGCAUCCCUGAUUUCACAGUUGAUUAUAUUUAGUGUAUUGAUUAUAUUUAGUGUAUUGUGAUAACCAUAUUAAUUUGGCAUUCCUAAUUUCACAGUUGAUUAUAUUUAAUGUAUUGUGAUAGCCAUAUUAAUUUGAAGUAACAAACACUUGAAGUAAUGAAAAUUACACUUCUCCAUUGAGUAAAAUGUCAUUACAAGCAUAAUCUCAUUACAACCAGUUUCUCAUUCAUUAGGUAACAAACAAACAUUACAAUUUAACUAACUUCUUCAUUACAAUUUAACUAACAUAGACAUACAAAGAUGAUAUUAAUCAACCCCAUUGUGAACACCCAAUUUCGUCCGGGUGACUAAAAUACACUUUUUCUCAUUCUAUCUUAUUUUAAGUCUUUUUAUCAUUUUUAUUUUUAUUUUCUUUUUAGUAUUUUAUUUUAUUCUACUUUUCCUUUCAUAAUUUUCAUUUUUAAUUUUUGUCUUUACUUUUUACUUUUUAGUCUUGUUUUCACAUAAUUAAUAUAAUUAAGAAAAGAAAAAAAAACAAGAGGAAAGGAAAAAGGGUUGAAACGUUUUUUCUUUAAUAUGAUUUAUUUAAAAAAAAAAGAAAAAAAAAGAAAAUGAAAAAAAAGGUACAAGCAGUACCAUGAUCAGGCGCACACACUCUCCUUUUCUCGACACACCUCUGCUCCGCGCAACCUGUAACCACCCCCCGACAAACAUUACCCACACCACGCUCUACAUCCUCUCGAGUUUUGCUGACUCUUUUCCCAAUUUUUCACUCACUCCUGAGGAGGAGAUUUCUUCCGAUUCAUCUCUCUGAGAGAACACAUUUCACCUUCUUCAUUCUUCCUUUCCCUCUCCUUCAACUCGACACUUUCCAAACUUGACACCAGGGCCAAACUUCCUUCCUCAACUCCACUCCUUCAAUACCUUCUCCUUUGCACCUAACCACCAUAAUCAUCUUCAAGUCCUCCUACACUACAGGACUCUCCAUUCUCACCAUCAAUUAUUGACUGACAUACAACUAGAAUUCCUCCAUUCACUCAUCAAAUAUCACCUUCACCAUCACAUUAACCUACGCCCAACCACUAGCUCUGGAGGCCUCUCACCCAAUUCUCGACCAUCUUCUGCAACUGCCAUUCACUUACAACAGAGAAGAAAAAAGUAAAGCUAGCAACAAAAAAGGAAUCCAUUUGAAGCAUAGGAAACUGACGAUAGCAAACGAAGCUCCAAGAGGUAAGUAUCACCUUGCUCAUUAGUGUUCUCAUGCUCUAAUCUAGUAGGCUUGCUGCAUUGUAUACAUCGUUUCAUGUUUAUUGUUGCUCUGCUUAAGUAUGGUUGCUGUGCUGUUUUCCCCUUUCUCCAUCACCACCUUCGAUUGAGUUUGACAAACCAUCAUAAAAUAAAUAGAAAAAAAAUUACCAAAUAAUCAUAAAACCCAAGCCCCCCAAUUUGGUUACGGCUGUUCACUCCCAAUCAUCAACAGAGGAGUUGAAUCCUCUGCGUCAGGUGAAACCAACAACUAAUUGAAAAACUACACUCUUGAGGGUUUAUGCAAAUUUUGUUUGGGCACAAUAAAUGGUUUCCUUACUGCCCAUGAUGCUAGCUUAUUUGGAGCACUUCGCUCACGGAAAGGAUGCGAGGUCGAGGCAAGACGACAAGGUUGUCAGCUUCUCCAGAGCGCUUGAACUUCAAGCCUGUGCUGAUGAAUUGGGCUACAACGGAAUCGCCAGUAAAGGUCUCGGCGGCGUUAAGUCCGUGAAACACUUGGCCAUGAUCGGGCCUUCUUCGGUUGUCGGCGUGGCCAGAGCGAUGAAAGCCGCCGUGGGGUUCCAAAGUCUAACGGUGGCAGCGCAGAGGAACGAGCACUCGGUGGCCAAGCUCGCCCAGGAGGCGAUUCACGAAGGAGAGAACUAUCUCUCUCGCGCGCGAAGAAGCGAGGAGAAGGGAAGCUUGGAGCUGCGGCCGGCAAUGCCGCCGGCGGUGAACGACGGUGAUGGCAGCGCCUUGGAAGGCGGCUCGCGGCGACUGAUACGGUGGCGGCUGGCUCGGCGGAGGCAGCAGCGCCCUCACGCAGGGAGACAAACCCCAACCCUGGGCUGUGCGAAAGAACGAGACUUUGAGUCUCUGGUGUGUUUGAGUGUAGUGAUUGAGAAAUGGGGAGGAAUGAGAGAACCCCUAAAGAGGAUUGUGAGCUUGAGAGUGAGGGUUUCAGGGCCCAGCUUUCUGGGCGGUAUUCUAUCUGCAGCCCCAUUCACAGCUUUUGUUUUUUAUUUUCUCCCCUAAGAGCAUUGAGCCUGGGCCUAAACCAAAAAAAAAAAGAACGGAAAAGACAUCUCAUUUGCACCCCCUGUUUUUGCUAAGUCGCGCCCCUUCUCUUUGGGCUCAGGCCCAUCCGGUUUUAUAUAAAAAGAAGUAGUAAAAAAACCUUUUCUCCUUCUUUCAGAAAAUAUCAAAAAACGUUUUAAAGGUUUAAACACAUGUGUGAUCGUUCGCAUUGUCCUUGUGCUAAAAAAUCUUUUCUCUUUCUUACAUAAAAAUACCAAAAAUAUAAAACAUCCAUAUUUUCAAACAAAAACAAUCUUUCAGCUAGAACUACGUAACCCUCAUUUCUCAGUCUGACUGAGAAUACGUAGGAGCAAGGUCAGCCAUGGUUGGGCACAAAACAUAAAAAAAAAUAUAUUUUUUCUCUUUUGAUUUUUACUUUUUAGGGGAAAUUAAACAUUUCGAAAACCACAUCCUAGUUGUGUAUAAUUAAAGGUACUGCCUUCGGGCAGAUGUGGUAGGGUGCUAAUACAUUCCCUACACGUAACCGACUGCCGAACACAAAAUAUGGUUUUCAUGGACCUUGCCUUGUCAUUUUACCGUUUUUUCAUAGUUUUCCAGAAUAAACUAUGGUGGCGACUCCAAAACUUUUUCAAACUCAUUUUUAUUUUUGGAUCGUCUUCCCGUCGCGAUUUCGGUUGUGACACCCAUCAAACAUAACAUCCAGAUUAAGACCUUCUCCCUUUUUUGACAAACCAAAACUUAUUUUUCCAAGUUAAUAAUCUUUCUCCCUUGCCAUCCAAUUCUAGUAUCCCUUUCAUCUACAUUAUCUUCAGUGCGCCAUUUGAAGAAAUUACGUCCUCGCACUUUUUCAUUUCGAUUCUGCUGUACAAAACAUCGAACCAAAAACAUCUCAUGAAAACCAAAAUAAUUAUAUCCCAAAAUAAAAAGACAACGAAGGAAACAAACCUUGUAAUUAGGGCAGCCUCAAAAAGGCUUGCCCUCGUUCUUAGCAGUUUUUGAGACUCUUAAUACGGCAAGCUCUCCUCAAUAGCAUAUUUGGCUGCCAACCAUUCCUCUUGAGCAAGACGAACAAUGACUCAUUGACAUUGCCUCAUCGUGACACAAUAAUGCUUCGUCACCACAAACAAAACAACCCCAAACACUAAAAAUUAACCACAAACAAAGAAGACAACAACGUUAGGGUACCCACGUCACACGAAGGAAACAACGAAGGGCACCCUACCUUAGCUCAGUUCCUUCACCUCAGAAGAAAACAACAAUACUUCCUCAAGUUAGGGCACCCACCUCACACGAAGGGAACAACGAAGGGAACCCCACCUUAACUGACCUCCUUCACCUUAGCUCCUUCACCUAAGGUCCUUCGAGAUCAAUGUCUGAAGGCAAGCAUUUAAGCCUUUAAUCUAUUGUAAUGAAAUGAUUUUUUCAUACCUGUCUUUGCUAUAAAAUUUCCUUUUGCCACGACAAAUAAGUUAUUUGCCACAUCAUUUAACAUUUAACGCCGUUUCAACAAACUUAACAAAUAUGACUAAAUUGAUAUAAAUGUCAAAACAUAGGGAUCAAAUGUCUACUUUUUAAAACCGGGUGCUAAACUGAAAAUUCUCUCCUAACUCGAGGACCAAAGUAAGCAUUUAAGCCUAUAAUUUUUUAUUUUUAAAAGAAUUCUUUCCUUUUUCUAAGAAAAUUGUAAAAGAAAAUAUAAAAAAUUAUUACUAUUAUAUAAUUUGUUUAAUUCUUCUUUAAGUUGGGUGUGUUUUUAAAUCUUUACGUUGUUAUGUAAGAUUAACUUAUUAUAGUUCUAAGUCGUUUAUAGUGUAUCCGGUAAUUGUUGGAGGAAGUAGUUCUAGUAAGGAAACUCAUUGUGUAGCUAUGUUCUUUUAUGUUGUGUUUACUUGCAUAGAUAUUUCUGUUCAAACAUAUUUGUGAAGAUAGAAUUACGAGAUAUGUUAUGUUCGUUUUCAUUGAUUUGGAAGGAUUGAAGAGCAAUGAUUUGAAAGAUAAUUGAAAAUUUCAAUCUUCUCAUUUUAUGCAAAUUUGAAACGAUUUGCAAUGAAAUCUCUAUUUUACCCCUAUACAAUAAUUACAGAAAAGAGAGAACUGAAUACAUUGUCUUCCAUGCAUAAAACUAUAUUCGCUUCCGAAGUAUAAAAUCUAAUAAAGAUGUUAUAGAUAAAAAAAGUUUUCUUUUUGGAAAUCUUAAUUUAGUUAACCAUUUAAAUAUUUAUCUAUGCACAAUUUUUUUCUUUAAAAAUGUCUUAGUUUAAUUUUUUUUUCUGUGAUAAUUCUUGUCUUAUUACUUUAAAUGUUUUUGAAUUUGAAGCUUUAUUAGACAAUGUAGUAAAUUUUAUAAAAUUAACAUGAUUAAAUAAUACAAACGUAUAUAUUAUAUGAUGGUGGUUUAUGUGGGUGAAGUAUUUUUGUAAAUAUCUUUUGUUUUGGUGAAGUUUAAAAAAAUAAUUUCACUUUACUUAAUUUUUUUUAUUAAUAUUUUUUGUUUUCAAUAUUUAAAAUUCAUUUUAUCAAUAAAUAUAUUAUUAAUGAAUAUAUUAUUAAUAUAUAAAAUUUUAUAUUACUUUUAUUACUAAAGAUAUUUUAAUAAUCUAUAAUUUCUAUUAAUUAAAUCAUUUUUUUUAUGUCAUAUGAUCAAAUUCUAUAUUAAUUCUCACAAAAUCCAUUCUUAAUUCUCUCUAAAUUCACUCAAAUAAAUAAUAAAAAAUUUAUUCUCAAAUUCCUUCAAAUCAAUCCACUCACUCUCCUCAAAAUAAACACACUCUUAGUUUUUAAUAAAUUUCUAAUUUUAUUCCGAUCAACUUUUAUAAUAACUUUCUUCUUCUAAUCAAUAAAAUGAUAGUAUUUGGGUGUUUAUAUGAUUUUCAUUCUAUCGAACAGGAAAGUUAUGACAAUGUUUCUUACAUCAAAGUAAAUUUGCACCGAAUUUAAUAAAAUUUCCUCACACUAGUAUUCUAUUAUGCAUGUUUAUACACUACAAAUCUUUGUUGACUUUCUACUUUUAGGAGUAUUUAUUGGAUAUACACUUCACUUCAUCCUCAAUGCAUUUGUAUGGUUAAAACUCUUUUCAACUCCAAAAUGGAAUGCUACACUCAUUUAAUACUUUUUAGUAACAAGUUUCUAAGAAAACAUGUCACAAUAAUUAAUGAAUGUUAUUCUAAAUAUGAUAUAUAAAAUACCGUCACAAUUUUUUUUUAAAAUAAUAUAACUGCAGAUGAACCUAACUUGUUCUAGAGAACAUUUUUUAAAAAUGUUAUUUAAAGUGUAACACUUUUUAAAAAAAUACUUUGGUGGUUUGGUUAUUAAUCACGCUUUAUUAUAUAUCAAUUUUAUAUUAUUAUGUAUAAAUUUUAUUAUAUAGCAAACAUAUUAAUAUUAAUAUAUUUCACUAUUACAUAGAGAAAUGGUAAAAAUAUCCAUGUCUGACAUAGGUAUAUAAAAUUCAUGAUAAAUAAUUAACAUUUAUGAGUUUUUAUUAUUUGUAACGUAUAAUAGAUAUUUUAUUUGUAUAAUAAAUAUUCACUAUUUGAAAAAAUAAAAAUAAAAUUUUAAUUUAUAUUUUAUUAAAUUUAAUUUAAUUAAAAUUAAAAUUAUUUUAUAUUAAAUCAUAUUAAAUUUAAUUUUGAUUUAUAUUUAAUUUAAUUUAUAUUAUAUUUUAGAUUUAAUUACUUUUUGGUCUCCAUAUUUAGAAUUUUGUUCCUGUUUUUAAAAAUAUCUCUAUUACCUUCUAAUAAUAUGUAUGAUUACAUCAAUCAAAUGCUUUGUGUUAAAUGGGUAUAAACUAAAAAUAAAUAUAUUUUUUUUUCUCAAUCUUCUAUUCUCCUUUUUGUCCCGCCAUCUUUCAUUAAUUAUCUUCCUACUUCAGUUUGUUUAUAACUUACAACCUAUUUAAGUUGUUUCUAUUACUAUUCUUUAUCUUUAAACACACUUUUUUUUUAUCAUUUUUAAUUUUGUUUUAAUUAUCAUAGUUUAUUAGAUUAAAUUAAGAAUUAAAUAGAAGUUUUAAGAAAAUCAAUACAAAUGCCAUUAUUUAAAAAACCUAAAUUAAUAAUUCUGCAAUAAGAUAAAAAAAAAUCAUUUGUAUAAUAAAAAUUAUAUAAUUAUUUUUAUAUAAUUUUACAUUUACAUACUAACUAUUUUUUUAGUUAAUAUUUAUAAGUUAGAAAUUUAUUAACAGAACAGUAAUUUAUCAACUAUUAAUUAACUUAUCAGUUAAUUUUAAAAAAUAUUUUUAUGCUAAAAACUAUCAUAAAAAAUCAUUCCAAUUAUGUACGAAAAAUUAAGAAAGAAAAUGAAGGCAUAAAAACCAAAAGAAAUGGAGAAAAAGUGAACANAAUAAAGAAAAAAUUAACGUAUUUAACUAUAUUAUAAAUAUUUUAAUGCAAAAUUUGCAUUUAUAUUAUAAAAUUAGUUGUCAUAAUUAAUUUAAUAAUAUUUAUCAAUUUUAUUAUUAUUUUUAAUCAUCUAUUAUUAUUAUUAUUAUAAUAUUUAUGUAUAUUUUGUAUCACAUAAUAUUGGAAUUAAUUUUUUUUAUUAACGAGUAAGUACUCUCUGUACUGUUAUCAUCCUUAGUUAUAUACAAUAUAUUUAUAUUAAUAUUUAAAAUUUAUUGAUAUUAUAUAUUUAAAUAAUAUUUAAUGUUUUAAAAUAUUAUCAUUUCAAUUUAACUUUUAAUUUAAACAGUGACCAGAAAAGUUUCUACCAGUGGAUUUGAUAGACAUUUGUUAAGUUUGAUUAAUUCUUUAAACUUAACUUAGUAUGGAUACCAGCCAUGUUCACAUUUCCCUAUUUUUUUUUUUAUUUGCAAAGACACAGACGCAGUGCAAUGCAAGUGAGGGUUUGUUCUCGUUUUCUCCUCUGUUUCUGUAAUACUGCUGCGAAGUUUGGUUGGCGUGGCAAAGGAUUCUACUGUUCAUCGAUUCAGUGUAUCUCAUCCUUUACCAAUUAAUCUUGUGCAGUUCAAUUUCCAUAUCACAGAUAUGCCUUGAAUUUGAUUUUGCACCUACUUUAAUUUCAAACCCUUCAUCUCAAUUAUGAGUUUCCGCUGAGAUUUCAUCACCCAUUAUGAAAUUCCUUAAAAUCUUCAAAUCCAAACCCUUCAAUCUUCGAACUUUCAAUUCCCUUCCCCUUCCCACAACCGUUUCACCAAUCACAGAAUCCGAACUUCUAAAUUCCAUAGAAUCUUCUCACUGGCAUUUCAUCAAACAGGUUGCGCCACACUACACUCCCUCUCUUCUCUCCUCAACUCUAACCUCCCUCCACCACAAACCCCAACUCGUCCUUCAGCUUCUAUCCCAUCUCAAAGGCCAUUCCCUCGACUUAACCACCUCUUCUCUUGCUGCUUGCAUCCUCUGUCGCCUCCCAUCUCCCAAAUCCUCUAUCAGCCUCUUACAGAGCCUCAUUAUAUCUUCCACUGCCACCAACAGAACAAUUUUCCAUGAGUUGGAACUUUCCCUCGACCGCUUGGAUGCCAAGACUAAUCUCAUCUUCGACCUUCUGGUAAGGACCUAUUGUGAACUCAAAAAGCCCAAUGAGGCCUUGGAGUGUUUCUACUUGAUGAAGGAAAAGGGCGUUGAGCCCAACAUUGAGACUUGUAAUCAAAUGUUGAGUCUGUUUUUGAGACUGAACAGGACUCAGAUGGCUUGGGUUUUGUAUGCUGAGAUGUUUAGGAUGAAGAUAAAAUGUAGUAUAUACACUUUCAACAUCAUGGUUAAUGUGUUAUGCAAAGAAGGAAAGUUGAAGAAGGCAAAGGAGUUUAUUCCGUACAUGGAGGCUCUUGGGGUAAAGCCUAAUGUUGUCACAUAUAAUACUGUUAUACAUGGACACUGUUUGAGAGGGAAGUUCCAAAUGGCCCGUGUGAUCUUUCAAACAAUGAAAGAUAAAGGUCUUGAGCCUGAUUGCUAUACGUAUAAUUCUUUCAUAUCUGGGUUGUGUAAAGAAGGAAGACUCGAGGAGGCAUCUGGUUUACUUUGUAAAAUGUUACAAUUUGGUUUGGUUCCAAAUGCNGUAACAUAUAAUGCGUUGAUUGAUGGUUAUUGUAACAAAGGGGAUCUGGAUAAGGCUUUCACAUAUAGGGAUGAGAUGAUAAGUAAAGGUGUAACGACAACUUUGUUUACAUACAAUUUGUUUAUCCAUGCACUAUUUAUGGAAGGAAGGAUGGGGGAAGCUGAUAAUAUGAUAAAAGAAAUGCGAGAAAAAGGCAUGAAGCCUGAUGCUGUUACAUAUAACAUAUUGAUUAAUGGGUAUUGUAGAUGCGGGGAUGCAAAGAGAGCCUUCAGUCUUCUUGAUGAAAUGGUGGGAAAAGGGAUUCGGCCAACUUUGGUCACGUAUACAUCACUUAUAUCUGUUCUGGGAAAAAGGAAUAGAAUGAAAGAAGCAGAUGCCUUGUUUAAUAAGGUUCAACAAGAAGGUCUGUUGGUAGAUACUGUAAUGUUUAACGCGUUGAUCGAUGGUCGCUGUGCAAAUGGUAAUAUUGAUAGUGCAUUUCAACUCUUGAAACAGAUGGAUAACAUGAAGGUUCAUCCUGAUGAAAUUACUUAUAACACCUUGAUGCAAGGAUAUUGCAGAGAGGGGAAAGUGGAAGAAGCUAGGAAACUUCUUGAUGAGAUGAAGAGAAGGGGGAUCAAACCUGAUCACAUUAGUUACAACACACUCAUUAGUGGUUACAGCAAAAGAGGUGAUAUGAAGGAUGCUUUUAGAGUUCGGGAUGAAAUGAUGACUACAGGAUUUGAUCCUACAAUUCUCACUUACAAUGCUCUUAUNCAAGGAUUGUGCAAAAAUCGGGAAGGUGAGCAUGCUGAAGAGCUCCUCAAAGAAAUGGUAAGUAAAGGCAUUACUCCUGACGACAGCACCUACCUAUCUAUAAUUGAGGCGAUGGAGAAAGUUGAUGACCUGGAGGAAAAUGUUGAUAAAUGAACUGAGAAGAAAAUAGUAUUUCAUGAGUUUGUGUGAACUUCUAGCAUUGGAGUUUGGACACAAGCAUAUCAGCAUUCCUUGUUCUACAAGCUGAAUCAAAUAUGUAUGAGUAACAAGUUAAAGAAGUUCUUGAAAAACUGUAGUUUUCCUCAGUCUACAUCUUUUGUAGGGAGAGUAUUACUUUUUACUUCAUUAGUUAUAUUAGUUUUGUACCAUAUGGUUUACAAAAUGUUUAUUGAUGAUUUUGUUUGAAAAAUGAAAAUAAUAGCUAAUGAUUGAGUUUGUCGGUCUUUGGUACAAAGUUAUUGAUAGAUACCUAAAGAAUUCCAAGACAGGUUCUUCGAUGAUCUUCCUAUGAAAAACCAAACAACUGGUCUGUAUCUAGUGACGGGUACACACAAAUCCCAAGUCUUUCAAGAGAACUUGUCUCUCCCUUCCUUUUACUUACAAUUUUCUCCAAAACUCUACUGAAAACUACCCCUAUACAGAUAUAUAAUUGUCUGUUUACAACAACCCACCUCACAUAAAGUUAUAACAAUUACCCUUAUUCCUUCUAACAUAUACUUUUACCCCUCCACGAAGAUUCACCUUAUCCUCAACGUGAAAGUCUAAAAAUUCUUUAUGAAUACAGGCAGCAGAUUCUUCUAACUCCUGAAUUUCCUUUUCUGAAAUAAGCAACAUAUAGGGCUGUUUAUUUUUGCAAGUAUGAUUAGGCUCAAACUUCUCAUCACACCUUAAGAAUAAAUCCUUUUUUAUCUUACCUUGCAAUUCUUUUAGGGACAAUUUUCUAAACGGUGCCCCUUUUUUUUCAUUUAUUUCACUUUGUAGAUAGAAAAAUAAAAAACCACGGGUAACCUUGUGUGGCGUCUAGACACUAGAGUUGAAAGAUAUAUUAUUCAUGAAUUAGACACGAAAUUUCUCUGGUGUGGUUAUAUUCAAUGGUGAGAAAAUCAUUGAAGUGAAACUGUUGCUUUUGGGUCACAUUUCUUAACACUUUAAAGCAAAGUUUAUAUUUCCCAAAUUAUAAACGAUUUAAUGGAUGUAUUUACUAUCCUUCUGAUCAUGACUAAGUUACUAAUUUAUAUAGGACAACUGUGCAAUACUCACUUUAUCAACUGCAAAUUAUCAGUUAAGUGUUAGAUAUUUUGUGCACACCCAAGCCCUACCAACCUUUCUUAAAUGUUAGCCAUUGAUACUACCAUUCAACUACAUGGCCCAAAUAAAUGGAUAAAAUUUAAUUGCCAAUUACCAUUAAUUGAUUGCUAAUGGGUGACCAAACAUAAUUAAUAACAGAAUAUAUUAUUUUUAUCAUGCAAUUAUAUUUUCUAUUUUAGUUUGAUAACAUCUGUGUUGCCUCUGUUCCUGGUCUGGUCUGGUCUUUUACUCCUAGUGAAUAUUUUCGAAGAGGUAACUGUAAAAAAGUGAAGUAUUGGUUGACGUAUAUCUAGUUUAGGAAUGAUCAGCUACUCAAUUGGCUGAAGUGAAUAUGUUGUUACUUCUUAACCACUUUUUAAAAGUCAUAAACUGGUUCAUUGUUUAAUCCCCUGUCCUGCCAAAGUUCAAAGUUCAACUAACAGAAAAGGUGGAAACUCAAGCUGCAUUUCUGACAUCUGUAGCCUCUGAUCCUGGCUACAAUAUUUCCCUGAAUUUCCUUUUAAUGGAAUGCUGGAAUUGGCAUGUUAAAGGAUUGAUCUAAUAGAAGGUUAUAAUGACUUCAAAUAAAGAUUGCAGUGUCAUUUAUGACUCUGCAAUGUGGGAGUUAUUUUGGUCAAAAGGAAACGGAUUCUUGUCUCUCUAAGCAUAGUAGUGAAUGAUUCCAACUAAUAAGGAUUAAAGAAUUUGAGAAAGUGACUUGGUGAUAUUGAUGAGGCAGUUGAUGUUUAUGAUGAAGUUAGUGUUAGCCUUAAAUUGUGGUUUUAACUGGUUCCCCGAUUGUGGUCUAAUUUGUUACUGGAAACAGUGGUGUGAUGUUUGAUAAUUAUGCGUAAAGUUGUUGGAUGAAUGUAUUAAACAAUUAGAUGCUCAUUUAUAGCUCUCACAAUUUGGUGCAUUGUGAUGAUAAACUGAUAAUUUGUUUCAAUCAUCACUUUCAGAUGAAUGUUAGUAGUUGAAAGCACAUUCUAUGUCUGUGUCCUAAGUUGUGUAUUAAGUGUUUUCAUAUUCAAUUUGGUUUAUGGUCUAUAUUAUGCAGAUCAAACUUCCAGUUUAUCUGGCCAUGGGAAGAGUGGGCUUAUGUCCUAGACCUCCCAAAGUGGGCUCCACAACGUGUCUUUGUCCAAGAGGUUUUGGAGAGGGAAGUUCGCUUGUCAUACUGGGACAAAGUUAAGCAGGUAAUUUAUCAAAGCUAGAACCACAGUAAAUUUUACAUUUGUUGCACAUUGCCUUAUGAUGAGACAAUUAGACUGCAUUUCCACUCAUGAUCUUUUCAUGGUUAUGGAUCAUAUAGGUAAAUCAUAAAAGGGUUAGAUAUUUUGUUUCUGUUUUUGUUAUGUAGAGGAAUGGAUGCUUUGUUAAAUAGAAGGAUUUUUUAUUUUUCAGUUUCCUUGUGAGGUAACUCACUCCAGGAUCAUGUCAGGGGAAUUGUGGUGGAAUCUUCUUAGAUAACUUGUAAAAAACUCACUGCAGCGGUAAGCCAACCUGAGUCUCUCCUUCUCUGUGACAUUUUGGGUGUCAAAAAACUUCUUUGCCUGGGAGAUCCAUCCCAAUAGGUCCAUCCCCUCAAACCUCGCCAAUUCUACCUGCUGCCUCCAAUUCUGUUCACCCUUGUCUUCCUCCAUCUCCUCUUCAUCUGAACCUUUUUUUUGCCCUUUCAUGACAGAUUCCUUACUUCUUCCUAAGCCCUUUAUGUGAAUCUUGAUUUCUUGUAGCAUUUCUCUAAUUUCUUGCAUAUUUCUUCUGUAUUCUGCCAUGUUCAUUUUCGAUUCUACCAUGCUCAUUUUCAAUUUUGCCAUGCUCAUUUUUUGUCUGCUGGUCCUCUUCUCCAAGGUAUUAUCUCUUCCUUCGAUGCCUCCACCCUGUCUUGAUCACUUCGUGAUCACUUCUUGAUCUGACAGCCCUCUCCUAAGGAGAUUCGACAGUCCUCUCUUGAUGAUCCAGUAGCUUCUUGAUCCUUCACCCCCACUUUAAUCCGGUAAGUCGGACCAAUUUGUUAGGUUCCUAGGUUUGGAACCUAACAAGAACACUAACAGUAGGUAGAAACAGUAAUGGGAGAAUGAGAUUUUCUAUUAUUCACAAUAAAAGAACUCUCUUCACGAAGAAUGGGUUGGGAGCAUAACCUCCCUGACUGAGAGCAUAACCUCUCUCUCUACAGGCUAAUGGCCUAACUUUACAAUGAAUUUACUCAAUAAUCCCCUGUACUGAAACCCUGCCUAUUUAUAAAGUUUCUCUUCUCCUUCCCACUAACUAACUAACUGUCAAAUAACCUAUCACCCUAUAUCCUAUCAAUACAUAACUAGUCUUUGGUCUAGUAAGAGUGGCAUACUAAAGAGUACUUAAGUGAUACAGGUUGAAAAUGCAAGCCAUUAAAUAUUGUAUCCUUAAGAUACCUCAGUAUACAUAACUAGUCUUUGGUCUAGUAAGAGUGGCAUACUAAAGAGUACCCAUAACUUAACGAUAUUGUUAAGAAGGGUAGUGUAUUUUAAACCUAAUUUAACCUCACAAAAUCAACUUAUAAGAUAAGAUUUGUAUCCACUUAUAUACAGUAAAUUGAUCUUAUCUCUAGUUGAUGUGAGACUUUCAACACACUCUCUCACAUUGAGGUAUAUACAUAUCAUAUGUGAAACUAGACAUUAAUAGGUUGUUAAAUAGUGGCGAUAGUUGGUGAAACAAUAGACCCAACAAAUAUCAAAUUUUGUCAGGAUAGACUCUAACCUACGACUAUGAUACCAUGUUAAGAAGUGAACUUUAAGCCUAAUUCAACUCCACAAAAUCAGCUUGUAAGAUGAGGUUUGCACCUACUUAUAUAAUAAAAAUUGACCUUAUCUUCCAGUCAAUAUGAGAUUUCCAAUAGAUACAAAGUAGGAUCAGAGAACAAAUCAGCUCCAUAUGUUUGGAUAACUUGCAGCUUGUUACCAUAGGGGAAGAAAUAGUAUGAGCAUUUGUGAUGAGUGACUUACAAAGCAAAUCUUGGAUGUACUUGGUUUGAGUCAUUAGAAUAGAUUUGUCAAGUAAGUAUUUAACUUCAGGACUGAGAAAAUAAUCAAGAUAUCCCAAUUGUUUUAAAGAGACAUUAUGUUUGGAUGUAAUGUCUAGAAUCAGUUCAGCAGAACACCAAUUAUUAUAAUAUCGUCCACAUAAACCAGAAAAUAAAUAAUUUGCAAAUGUUUUCUGUAAACAGAGAUGAAUUACAAAUGUUAUUGACGAAUCCAAUUUUUUGAAGAGUAGUUUACAACCUGUGAAACAAUUGACAACUUGCUUGUUUUAGCCCAUAGGAGGCUUUAUUCAACUUGCGAACAAGAAUUUGUCACUUGCAUUAUAGCCAGGCGGUUGAGUCAUAAAUUGUUCAUUCAAGAAAGCCAUUUAAAAUGCCAUUGUUAACAUCUGACUGAAAUAAUUUCCUUUUCCAACCAUAGGAUAUAACCAGAGUGACAAUAAUUUGAAUUGUUAUAGGUUUCAGCACCAGAGAAAAAGUCUCAUGAAAAUCAAACCUAUGUAUUUUGAUGAAAUCCUUUUGCCACUAGUCAUGCUUUAUAUUUAUUAACUGAGCUAUCGUCAUUUUGUUUGACAUGUAAGACACAUUUACACCCAACAUAUUGUCUAUCAAAGGUAAUGGAACUAAAUCUCUAGUAUUUUUUCUUCAUGAGAGCGUCAUAUUCUUGCUGCAUUGCAGCUAACCAAUUAGCAUCUUUAAUAGCUUGCUUAACAUUUGUAGGUUUUGAAUUAGAAAGAAGUGUGACGGAUGCACUCUGUGAGUAACAAUUUCAGAUUUGGAUCUUGUCUUCAUCGAAAGAGUAUUGACAGGAGUUACAACAUAAUGUAUUGACACCAUAUUAAUCAUCAGUAGGUGCAGUAAUAGACACAGACUCAGAACAAGAGGACUCUUUUGAGGAAUUGAUAGACUUACCAGUAGAGGAAGUGGUAGUGGACAAUCGGUGUGGUGUAAGAGUAGCAUUUAAAGUAAAAUACCGAUUGAGAUCUUUAGCAAUGUUAGGACUACGAGGAAAAAGCCAAGAAUAAGGAAAUUCUUGUCCAUUAAAUUGAACAUCCUUAGAAAUGUAAAUUUUUUCAGUAAGAGGACAGACACUUAUAGCCUUUAUGUGUUUAAGAAUAAUCCAAGAAAAUACAUUCCUCUUAUCUAAAAUCAAUCUUACGAGAGUGAUAAGGUUUUAAAAGAGGAAAACAUGUACAUCCAAAUAUUUUUAGAAAAGCAAAAUCAGGAUCUUUAUUAAAAAGAACAUAGUAAGGAACAACAGAAUUCAGAGAACCUGUAGGAAGUUUGUUAAUGAGAUAAACAGUUGUAGUGAAGGCAUAAUCCUAAAAUUUUGGUGGAAGAGAAGAUUUAUGCAGCAGAUGUUUCAAUAAAGAAAUAUUACUCUUCUUUCUCUUUUCAAUUCUGGGUUCCUAACAGAGAUGCUGAUAAUUGCCUUCUCUCAACCUGCUUUCUCUACACCCAUGCUUUGGUCUGCCAGGGCAGUGGAGCUUACAACUGAGGGGAAGUAGAUAGGUCAAAGAGCUGGCAGCAGAGGAGAGAAGCUUCUGUUCUCUCAUAGCUUGUUUCCCUAUCCUAAUCUCUCAUCUCUGUUUUUUGGCUUUGUAUUUAUAUUUUAUCCGAAAGAAACAACUUUAAUUGACUAAAACAGAUUAUUUUUUUUAAUCAACCUUUAUUUAGUGAAAAACUUGUGUUAUGUGGCUAUUUAUCACUCCUACAUUUUAUUGAAUGACAUGCUUAAGAAUUCAGUUCUAACUUAAUUUAUUAAGUGAUUGAGAGUUUAUUUUCAUUAUCUGUUAUGAUUUUGCAUUUUUUUGUAGGAUCUUAUGCUUCGUGUUGUGAAACUAUGGUUUAUGAUAUUUUAUUCCCGUCCUACUAAUCUUGUCUAAAGUUUUGAUAUUGACUACAUUGGAUGCUUUUCUAUUAGCAGCAGAAUUAAUUGAAAGGUAUUUUUUUUAUAUAGUUGGCAUAUUGAUGUUUUUAUGGUAUAUUUUCAUGAUAUUUUGUAGAGUAUUGAAAAUGCACCUCGUUUGGGAGAAUUGCUUCCUCCUAAAAGCGGGCCAAAUUUUAGUUUUGGUUCAGAAGAUGGUAAAGAAAGCAAUGAGCAUGGACUGUCUGGAAAGCUCAACAGUAUGGUUAAAGGGAAGUCACCUGUACGUGAAAUAAUCUCUUGGAUUGAUGAAAGUGUGCUUCCAAAUAAUGGUCUAGAAGUUACCCUCAGAGUGAUUGUACAAACACUUCUCAAUAUUGGAUCCAAGAGUUUCACUCAUUUGAUAACUGUCUUGGAGAGAUAUGCACAAGUCUUUGUGAAAGUAUGUCCGGACGAGGAUUGACAAGUCAUGCUGAUAGCUGAAGUGAGUUCUUUCUGGAAGAGUAACACCCAAAUGACAGCAAUAGCUAUUGACAGGAUGAUGGGUUAUCGACUUGUAUCAAAUCUGGCUAUUGUGAGAUGGGUCUUCUCAGCAGAAAAUAUUGAGCAAUUUCAUACAUCGGAUCGGCCAUGGGAGGUACAUAAUUGAGGUUUUUACGGAUAGAUUGUUGUUAACUCUUUCCUCCUCGGCUAUAGGUCUAAGGGGUCAGAAACCAUCUGCCUUUUGCUUUUUAUUGUAUUUGAUGCGAUCUGCUUUUUAAUUUUUAAAUUUAAGUGCUCAAAAUUUACAUCCUUUUUGUUUUUUGUUUGAUUGCCAUGGAUUAUGAAUUUUAGCAUGUAUGGAAUUUUCAGUUGAUCAUCAUGAUAAUUACUUUUGCUUUCAUAUAGUAAUUUGACCCUGAUUUCUAUUGAACAGAUUCUGAGAAAUGCAGUAAGCAAGACACAUAAUCGUAUUUCUGAUUUACGGAAAGAAAUAUUAACUAUUAAAAAGAACAUUUCAUCUGCCGAAGAAGCUGCCAAGGAGGCAAAAGCUGAGNUAGAUGCUGCAGAGUCAAAACUUACACUUGUGGAUGGUGAACCAGUUCUUGGUGACAAUCCUGUUAGAUUGAAUAGAUUGAAAUCACAUGCUGAAAAGACAACGGAGGACGUGGUGACUGUUAAAGAAUCCUUAGAAUCUAAGGAAGCUCUUCUUGUCCGAGCAAUUGAGGAAAAUGAGGUAAUUGAUGGAAAAUUUGUGAAGUUAAUUGUUUGCAUAAAGUUUUGUAUCAAACAUGUUUACAAUGUCUGGGAAUGGUUACAUUUUUGUUACAGCCAGAGAUAACUUUUCCAUGUAUUUGAAAAAAAAUAGAUUUGCCAAUAGUGAGUUUCUAAGAAAAUUUUCAUUGCAUUGUUGGUUAUUGGCAUAUACAGGCAUUAUUUCUCUUGUUGUACAAAAGCUUCUCAAAUGUGUUGACAGAGCGGCUUCCUGAAGGAACUAGAACACUGCAUGAGUUGAAGUCUGUGCAAGUAGAUGUGAUGGCAGUGGACGCUGAAGAGCCACCAACAAUGGAAUUAGAUGACGAAAACCAGAGAUCUCAAAACAGGUUCUCGUGCCUGUCCUUCUGAGCUAGAUUAAUAAUUAAGAAAAGUUAAUGUUUCUCUGGCUUUGUACGCAUGUGCAUAUUACUAUUGCUUUUUAAUGUCUUCUACAGUCAGUCAAAUGGAGAGAAGAAAGGUGGUGCUUAUGUUGUAGGUGAAAAGGAGCAGUGGUGUAUCACCACUUUGGGCUAUGUGAAGGCUUUUUCUAGGCAGUAUGCUGCUGAGGUAUUGUUCCAUUCCCUGUUUGCAUUUAUCUUGGCUUUUAAGGGAAUGCCUUGUAAACAAAACUUAGCAUAUACAAAAUCUUUUACCUGUUCCUCCAGGGUUAGAUUGCUCUAUAUUUGUUUACCUCUAAAAACUUGUAUUAAAUUGUUGGUUGCAGAUAUGGCCCCAUGUUGAAAAGUUGGAUGCAGAGGUAUUGACAGAAGAAACACCUUAUCUUUUUAGGUCAGCUGUUUAUACUGGUCUUCGAAGACCAAUUCACGAGGCAUGAUCAAUUUGUUACUUCACCUCUGAGCUAUGUUAUUUAGAAUAUAAUGUAAUUCCAUUCUUUAGUCUGCUAGUUAAGCAUUUUCUUAGUCUGCUAAAAGCCUAAAACUGUAUGCAAUUGUAAUUUAAAAAUGACAAGGUUGGUAUGACGAGUCUCUACAUCUUAGAUUCUAACAGGGACUUUAUCACCGCUGCUGUACAUUAGAUUUCGAUUAUAGCUUUUAAUUGGACCUCAAAUACCCAAAAAAAAAAUGGAGUUUGCACCAUACUUGUGUUGUACUUGGUAGUAAAAUGAAAAUUGAAUUGUGAUUAUUUGCAUUAAAAUGUGCUUUUUUAAUAGGCCUAUGAUGCCUCGUUUGGAGGAGAAGUAAAAUCUUAUAUACCCUCAGGAAAAAAAAGAAGCUUAAAGAGAAUAAGUAGAUUCAAAAUACUAGACUUGAUGUUAGCCAAAAGUAAUUUGAUUAAAUUAUAUACAUUAUUUGACUGCUUCAUAAGUUGAGUUUGAUAUAAAUGUAUAAUUUGACAAAACAUCAAUUUUUUCAGAUUGGUGAUUAGAAACACCGCAUUGAGUAGUGAUAUGAUGAAAAUAGUGUAUGUAAUUUAAGGAUGAGUUCGUUUUCUAAAGUUGAGUUUGGUUUAAACCACCUAGAGUCCGCACCUUCACUUGUACAAAUGCAAGAUGGCUCAGUUAUAAAAAGAUUUUAGAUGAUUUUUCUCUAAAUACAGAAGCUUACUUACAGGAACCAGAUUUAAAGAAGAAAUUUGUAUCUACCAUCUAUUCAUGUGAAUUGAAAUAUUAUGUGGUAUGAACACUGGGUCAACACCAAAAGUAGAUGAUGCACUGGGUCACAGAAUUAUUCGUAGCCCGUAGAAAAUUUUGUUCCAUGUAUUUGACGUACUUAAGAAGGUCUUUGGAAUUAACAAGUUUUACAAUGUAAUUAUUUUAUAAAAAAAAUGUAUUUUGACAUCCACUUUUUCUCUGACCAUCAUUUGACUGCUUUUUAUUUAUAAAGUAUUAUAUUUAAUAAAUAUAAAUAAAUAAUAAUAUUUAAGAGUGUUAUAAUAAAAACACAGGGAUCCUUAUUUUAUUCCCAAAUUUAAGAUGGUUACAAAAAUUAUAUCUUCCCGUGAAACUGAACCCAUACUCUUAUAUGUCUUUAACUUUUAAUUUGACAUCUCCGUACCAUGCCCCAUGGACCCUAAUUUCCAAACGGCACUCCAUCUCUUCCGGUCCAAUAAAAAAUAUAAGAAUUAAUUCUUCUGAUAGAUUUCAUUUUGGUGAAAGUGUGUAAGUUGGUUCUUCAUUUUAAAAAAGUUUUAAUUAUGUCUUAAUUUUUUUUUUUAAAAAUAAUUAACAGACAUAAUUUAUUCUGAAUUUUUAUCAAAAUAAAACAACAUUAUCUAUUUUUAAAUUUAAAUAAAUUAUUAUUUAUAUAAAUAUUAUAUUAACAUUUUUAUUAAAAAUAAUUUUUAGCAUAUUAUAUUAUAUUGUCAAUGUCACGUAUCAUACCGUGAAUUUAACACGUGACAAUUUUUUAUUAAAAAAUUAAAAAUAUUAAGAAAUUAAAAAACUGAAAAAUAACAAUUAAUAAGAGUUAAAUUGAAAUUUGGCAUGUAAUACUAUGAUCAGUGUCACGUGUUCCAAUAGGAUUUGACAUGUGACAAUAAAAGCCUUAUAAAAAAAAUCACAUAUUGAUUCAUGAUAUGUUAACGUUAUUAGUAAUUUAUUUUAAAAAUAACAUAAUUUAGACAUUUUUUUAAAAGUUAAUAUGCAAUGGAAAUUUGUUUUAAAAAUGGGACCAAAUAAUUAAGUCUAAAUAUAAAUAUAUUGAAUAGCAUGAUUCAUUCUUUAAAUUAUUUUAUUUUUUUAAUAUUUGGUUUAGAUGAAAAGACAUUCAUGACAUGUUAACAAAUUUCAUUAAUUCAAAAAUAUUAACAUUAACAUUGCUUAUUGGAGUUUCUUGUGUCAAAAUUUCAAUCAAUGUUAUUAAAGUGUCCCGAACUCACAUGGAUAAAAAAAAAUUAGUAAUUGUUGGUAAUUUUUUUUUCAAUUAAUAACAAAAAAUGUCUUAAGAAAUUAUUGAUGAAGAAUAAUUUGUGUAAUUGAUAUAAAAUUAAUCGACAAAUAAUAAUAAUAAUAAUAAUAAUAAUAAUAAUAAUAAUAAUAAUAAUAAUAAUAAUAAUAAUAGGUAUUAGUAAAAAAAAUCUAGUUUAUACUUUUAAGAUAGUUUCCUUGAAGUGAGAGAAAAUCCUAAUUAAGGUUGAGUAAGAAAUUUCAAUGGUAUAUAUAAAAAACAUAAAUCAAGAAAUAAUUUUAAUAAUAUCAAUGAUGGAGGAUCAUCUUGAGGACAUAUUGGACCACUCACAUAAGCUAUGACAAAGAGGAUGGAAGAGGGAGAUGAAGCUCCAAGGAGUCUACUUUUGUGGAGAUCAUUUAUUGGCCUCUUAUUUUCUCUUAAACACUUUUGUAAAUAUGUAAUAUAGCUUCAUUUUAUAUCUUGUAUUUGGCCAAGAACCUUGUUUAGUAGUGAUUAGGACCUUGGCGCAAUCAAAAGUGGAUUAAUGCCUCAUUUAAGGUCUUAAGCCUUAAUCAACGCCUAAAUGGGCUUCAAUAGGCCUUGAAGAAGCUUUGGACUUGGAAGAAAGAAGCCUUGGCCGGUCACAUCAAGGGUAGGCUCCUAUGCAUUGUAUUUGGACGAAAGUUAGGAGUUACUUGGAAGGGAAGGCUCUCACUCAUCCCCCUUACCAAAGAAGUUUCUAGGCUCUUUCUUAAGUGCAUCCACUUUAGCUCUCUCCUUCAACUAUAAAAGGAAAAGCACUCCUCCUGUAAUCCUUAUAACUUGAAUGAUAUUAGAGAAACUUUACCAAAAUUGCAAGCCUCUCUUCCUAAGUUCUCAUUGCAAUAGUCUCUUUUAAAGGCUUCUUUUUCCUUUUCCUUCAUGUUGAGACAAGACAAUCUCGUCUACAAUAUCUUUGCUUUUGAAGUUUAAACAAACAACAUUAAAUGAAGUAGUCUUGGAUAUAGUCUUAGAUUGUAAAAUAGUCUAAAUACUAAACAUUAUAAAGGAAUACUAAGUAUAAAUAAAAGGUGUCCACACAACAAGUCUAACACAAUAAAUAGGAAAUACAAAUGACUAGGAAUUAAAGGUCCAGUAAGAAGCAUCUAUAAACGAAUUUCGUAGGGAAUACAAACAUUAGAUGAGCCUCACCAAAAAAUGGUCAAACUAAUUCCAAGCAUAGUUGGAAAUCAAAAGAAUUGAAAAAGAUAUAAGAAUUCUAUGCAACACUAAACGACUUCCAAAGUUAAAAAUCUAAUGACCUAGGAAACUCAUAUAAAAACACUUAGGCUCAGCCUAGACACAACAUUAAACGAUUCUAAAAAGGUUAAAGCAUCUAUCAGAGAAGUCCUGCUAAACGCAGAAACCUUAUUGUACCAAACGAUAAUUAAUCAAAACUCUCAAAUAGACAAAAGUGUCAAGACAACGUUUUUGGUAAGCUAUUUGAAAGUCAUAAUCAAUAGUCCAAAAACUUGUAAAGGACAACUCGUUAAAUGCUUCUUCUAAAGAAAGCAGAAUCCUAAAAGUGUUUACAAUAGAUUAGUCGAUAAUAUCCUCUUAGUAUGUCGUAGCUUGACAAAAAGUGUCCAACGAUGAAGGCAUGACUAGAAAGUCUUACAAUGUAAUAGAAAGCAUCGUGCCAAACGUAUCGGCUAGAGAAACCUACAUGGUUUAACUAAGCUGGACGAACUCCCACGAUAAAAUGAUGAGUUUGGAAAACACAUCAAAAGAACAAAACUUGUUCCAAAACACAUAAUAAAAGACAUUCAACUAAACACAAUCUUAAAAAUAAUGAGUACCUACCAAACAAAAACUAACUAAAGAAAAAGUCUCUUAUAGGAUAAACGAUACGACAUGCCAAACACACUUUCAUUCAAUGAUAAAACUCUCGUGAAACAUCUAGUAUUCUCAUUAGAUAACUCAAACAGUAAAAUCUUAACCAAAACAUAAAAUCCUUGACUAUUCUAGACAAGCAUUAAAUGGUAUUAAAUGCUCAAUGCUUAAAAGCAAGAAGAUAGAUAAGAAAAAAGAUAUAUAUAUACUAUGAAAACAUCUAUUCUACGCUAUGCAGGUUAUCUACUACAAGCAUUCGCCUACAGGUCAGAAAUGAACGUUAGAAAGAAGAAAAAGAUAUAAGUGGAAUGUUUCGUUCAUCAAAAGUCAUGCCACAUGAACAAUCUAAUAUGCUUUUGAUAAAGUUAUGAAAAACAAGUUUCCUCUGACAACAAGACAUCAAUCUAUGACUGUCAUCUAUGCUACGAAGAGUCAAAGCACAAGGACAAGAUUCAUCCAAUAGUCAUAUUAUCAACAAGUUUCAAGACAAGCAUCACCUAAAGACUGUAUCAUCAAAGGUGUAUGAAUAGAGGAUCGGAAAAGAAGAAAGACAGAUGAUGAAAAAAAUAGAGUGUAAAGAAAAAUUAGCAUCAAGGAAGAGCCAGGAAGUCUCUCUAAGCUACUAAAGUCAAACCAUUCUACUCAAGAGAAAAGAGAAUAAAAGAAGAUUUGGGCAUAAUAGUACAUGAUGAAUCGAUAUUUUCUCCUAUUCAAUUAGCUUUUUGUACCAUAUUUAAUUAAGGAAAUGUGCUUAAAUGUCCAAUAUUUCCUCAAUUUUGCUAUUUGUGCUUAAUUUGACCAAUAAUUCUUUUUUUAAUUAAUGCGAGUUAUCUGGGGUUAAUUAUUUCUGUUAUUAUUUUUAGGAACAAUUUUAGGAUAAUAUUUUGGGACUCCGAGUGGCCUGUCACGUCAUUUUCGUUCAUCCACAUCAGCUUUAAAUUUCAUUUUCGUUUUUUAUUUGGUUCUUAGUGUAUGUUGGACCAGACUUACACAUUUGGGCCUAUUUUGGUCAAUUUACAAAAGGCCCGCUAAGGGGGACUGACCUAGGUUUUUGUGUCCAACAGCCACCACCCUUAGGUCUCUCUCCUUCAUUCUCUUAUUUUUCGUUUUUUAGGUUCUAGGCAGAGCUCUUAUGAGGUUUCAUUUUCGUUUAAUGUAUUGAACUCAUUUUUAUUGCAAUUCAAGAGUUGAUUUCACUUUUGCCCUUGGGUUUCUCCAUUUUCGUUUUUCUUUCCUUGCUUGUUGUUGCAUUUUCGUUUUGGGUUCGUCUUGUACUUUCGUUUUACAUUGUAGUUUCAAAUUCCAUUUGCAAUUUGGUUUCCAGUUUCAAUAUUUGUUUUCCCCAUUUUGUUUCUGAAUUGAUUUCUGUUUUCUGGUUCCAUUUAGUUUUCCAACUGCUACACUGAAUUCAUUUUGUUCUCUGCGUUUUAAUUGUGCAUCUGCGUUUUCAUUACCUCUGUUGAUGUUUAUAAUACUUUUUUUUUGUUGAAUUUGGUUGUAUUAGAAGCUUAAUUUUUUGGGUUGGUUAUUAGUGAGGUUGCUAGGUUUUCUUGAGGUUAUUAGAGCUUUAUUAUGAUUCUCUUAUUGCCAAUCUGCAUUGUGUUUAAUCUAUUGUGUAUAUUGCUUAUGUUAGAGCGGUGUAGCUGAAUGGUUAACGCGUUCAACAAACCAAGAGGGGGUGAAUUGGUUUCUUAUCGCAAAUCAUUCUUUUAAUAAUUUUCUCACAUAAAAAUAAAUUCCUUAAAAUAAUUUAAACAAAUUAAAAGAGUAAGGAAGAGAGAAAAUUACACAGAUAAUUUUUAUACUGGUUCGGAUCACAGACAUCCUACAUCCAGUUGUCAAUCUCAACCGAGAAUUAACACUUCACUAGCACAAACCAACAAAAUGUUACAAUCACAAAGAAAAUAAAAUAGUUUAAGGUUAGAAGACAUCUCUUGUUACCCCAAGAGAUGAAACUCACUUCCCCUGUGACCUACAAGGGAUGAACACCUCCUCUGAAUCUUCACAAAGGAUGAACACCUCCUCUGAAUGCUUCACAAAGGAUGACAGGCUUUCAACUCAGCAACAACACUCAAUCACACUCCCUGUGAAAGUUCUCGCUCUAUGCCAACACGCCAAGUUCUCAAAGCCACAACACAAGGGUUCAGCAAACCCCAAAGCACUUAUCACCUCACAUUACAGAUAAAAAUUUAGAAAAAUACACUUUGUAUAUUUCGUAGUAUGUUAGAAUGAGUCCCAAUAUAAUUUAUAGAGAUCUCACUCAAGGAUACCUCCAAAAAUCCAUUGUCAACUAAUUAAUUGUGAUAAUCAAUUAUCCACUUAUGGUAAUUGAUUAUGCAUUUAAUGAACGGUAAAAAAAUUGCUUAAAAUUUCUCAUAAUUGCUCGUAAUAAUCAAUUAUGACAAGUCAUAAUUAAUUACUGAUAAUAGAUUAUUAUAAUUUGAUAAUCAAUUAUCUUGAGUAUAAAAUGAGGUUUUCUAAUUUAGAAAUUAAUUUUAACGCAACCUGUGGCAAGCAAUACAUAGAAUCAAAGAUAAACCACACCCUAUACACCAGUUUACUAAAUUAAAAAAGCUUUAAUAUAAAAACAAGUCUUCAUGAAGAUCUUCCUGCAAUAAGAGCACUUGAGACUUGACUUUGAGACAUCAUCAAAAUUUCUUCUCUUUAGCUUUAUGCUAACAAUCUCCCACUUUUUGAUGAUGAUAAAAAAUAUUUUGAUUUAAAGCUUUUUGUAGCUUGUAAUUAUAUGUAACUCAUAUAUAACUAAAAGAAGAGAGAUUAGUAGACAAGAGAUAAAUAUAAUUGAGCCUUUAAACAUAUUUCUCUCCCUUUUUUAUCAUUAUUAAAAAGUUGCUAUGUAUGAUUAAAUAAUUUCUCCCCCAUAAUAUAAAACUCCCUGUGAAAAUAAGCCAAAAAAAAAAAUAAGGCAAAACAAAUAACUAAUAGUUAUCAUAAUUUUUAUUAAAGGGAAACAUGAGGCAUAAUUCAAAACAUAGUAAAUACAAUAAAUUUAUAAGUUAUAAUAAAUAAAAAAAAUAUAAAGGAGUACUUCUCCUUAUUGAGUAACUUAAAAAAAUUUAAAUUCCCCAUAAAUUUGAUCCAAUAAGGAAGAAAGAGAAGUAGUUUUUAAAAAUUAUCAUUUUUUUAUAAUUAUAAUUAUAUUUAGGAACAUUUUCAAUUUUAUUAUCAUAAUUAUAAUCGUAGCAAUUAUAAUUAUUUUUAGGAACAUCAUUAACAACCUUUUUCAUUUUUAAAUUAUUACUACAUUCAGCGUUGGUUGUCUUAUCAAGAGGCAUCUUUUUCUUUAAACAAGAAACACUUUUUUCAAUUUUGGUAUAUUUACCUUUUUCAUAAUAUAAAAUUUUAUUUUUCAAAUCCUUAUUUUCUUCAAGAAUUCUUUCAUGAUAUGAUUUUAAUUCUUUAAAAUCCUUCUUUAAUUUUCUAUGAGCAUUAUUUAAUUUCUCUGAUUCACAUAAUAAUUUUUUAUACGUAUCAAGUAAUUCACUUUCACUAUAAUAUGAAUUUUUAGAAUUGCUAGAGAUACUUACUUGACUUUCCUUCUUCUUAUUUUUAAAUAUUCUUUUGCCCUUAGACUUCAUGAACUUGUUAAAUUUCUUAAUGAAAAGAUCCAUGUUUUCUUCAUCUUCUUUAGAGUCUUCUUCUUCAUUAAGAUGUAUGCUUUUAUUAAUCUCAGAUUUGAACGCCAAAGUCUUUUUCUUUCCUUUCUCUUCAUCCUCAUUCAAUCUCCCGAGAUUUAGUUCACGUUCUCUCAACUUACCAAACAAUGCAGCCAUUAACAUGGUGUUGAGAUUUUGUGACUCACUGAUGGCAGUCACCUUUGGUUGCCAAGACCUAUCCAAUGAUUUAAGAAUUUUUAUAUUUAAUUCAUCAUUUUCAAAGGACUUACCUAACCCAAUGAGAUGAUUCACAAUAUUCAUGAAGCGUUUCUGGACAUCUAUAAUUGUUUCCCCUUACUUCAUGCGGAACAUCUCAUACUCUUGGAUUAGAGUAUUUCUUCUAACUCUCCUAACAUCAUCAGUUCCUUCAUAGGUGACUCUCAGCGUCUCCCACAUCUCUUGAGAAAUCUUACAGGUUGAGAUCCUGUAAAAUUCAUCAACAGUUAAAGUAGAUGAUAUUAUGUUACGAGCCCUUACAUCCUGUUGGGAUCUUCUUCUAUCAUCAACAUUCCAUUGCUCUCGCGGUUUGAAUGCCUGCAAAUUGUUAAUAAACACAAUAGGAAGCAAAGGACCAUUUCUGACAGUUUCCUAAAUCUCACUAUCAAUAGAUUCCAUGAAAAUUUGCAUUCUCACUUUCCAAAAGGCAUAAUUUUCUCCAGUAAACAAUGGAGGUCUAUUGAUAGAGACACCCUCAGCAAAGGUUUGAUGUUGUCCCAUCAUUUUGAAUUACUAUCAAAGCAAUCUCUAAUGCCAAUUGUCAGAGCGGUGCAGCGGAAUGGUUAACGCGUUCAACAAACCAAGAGGGGGUGAAAUUGUUUCUUAUCGCAAAUCGUUCUUUUAAUAAUUUUCUCACGUAAAAUUAAAUUCCUUAAAAUAAUUUAAACAAAUUAAAAGAGUAAGGAAGAAAGAAAAUUACACAGGUAAUUUUCAUACUAGUUCGGAUCAUAGAGAUCCUACAUCCAGUUGUCAAUCUCAAUCGAGAAUUAACGCUUCACUAGCACAAACCAACAAACUAUUACAAUCACAAAGAAAAUAAAACAGUUUAAGGUUAGAACACCUCUCUUGUUACCCCAAGAGAAGAAACUCACUUCCCCUGUGACCCAUAAUGAAUGAACACCUCCUCUGAAUCUUCACAAAGGAUGAACACCUCCUCUGAAUGUUUCACGAAGGAUGAUAGACUUUCAACUCAGCAAUAUCAACAACACUCAAUCACAUUCCCUGUGAAAGAGCUCGCUCUAUGCCAACAACAACAACACUCAAUCACACUCCCUGUGAAAGUUCUCGCUCUAUGCCAACACGUCAAGUUCUCAAAGCCACAGCACAAGGGUUCAGCAAACCCCAGAACACUUAUCGCCACACACUUCAGAUAAGAAUUUAGAAAAUACACUUUGUAUAUUUCGUAGUAUGUUAGAAUGAGAAUCCCAAUAUAAUUUAUAGAGAUCUCACUCAAGGAUACCUCCAAAAAUUCGUUGUCAACUAAUUAAUUGUGAUAGUCAAUUAUCCACUUAUGGUAAUUGAUUAUGCAUUUAAUGAAUGCAUAAUGGUAAAAAACUUGCUUAAAAAUUCUCAUAAUUACUCAUAAUAAUCAAUUAUGGUAUGUCAUAAUUAAUUACUGAUAAUCGAUUAUUAUAAUUUGAUAAUCAAUUAUCUUGAGUAUAAAAUAAGGUUUUCUAAUUUAAAAAUUAAUUUUAACGCAACCUGAAGCAAGCAAUACAUAAAAUCAACGAUAAACCACAUCCUAUACACCAAUUUACUAAAUUAAAAAAUCUUUAAUAUAAAAACAAGUCUUCAUGAAAAUUUCUUCUCUUUGAGACAUCAUCAAAAUUUCUUCUCUUUAACUUUAUGCUAACAGCUUAUUUGUUCAGGCUUAAUGGUCUAAUCUGUGAUGCACAGAAGUGAUUAAAUCUGUUGUGUGUGUUUGCUUAAUUCGCAGUCAUGAAAACUCGUUUUAGUCUCUGCAUAGUUGAUUGAUUCGAGUUGGAAUGGGGUAUGAUUUAUUUGUGAUUAGUGAUUGGGAGCAUAACAAUAUGAUUUGUAACCAACCUGUUUUAAUCACGGUUUUAAUCCAAGUCAUUUAGUUAUUAAUUUCAAUUCGUAAAACUGUCCAAAAGCUCCCCACUACGUGUUCGACCUAAUUAUUAAACCAAACAUCAGUCCUUGAGAGACGACGUAAGAGUCACUUCCUAAUAUAUAUUGCACUUUAAUUGCAUAUUAAUUUGAUUCGAAUAUGAACUCGAUCAGUACAUUUUAGAGAGUUCAAAGGUUAUGAUAAUGAUGAUAAGAUUUGCCUCUUAAAUAUUUUUUUUUUCAACCUUAUGUAUUUUUUUCAUCAAAUUAAGAAACUAUAAAUGCAAGUGGAUAAUUACAAAUAAAAUAAGUUUCAAACAUUUAUAAAAUAAUAGAUACUAAUAAAAGAAGUUAAUCCUAAAAAAAAAAUUCCCGCAAUAUAAAUUUAAUAUCAAAAUUCAUCAAAAACCUCCACAAAUUAAUAAUUAUGAUCUUAAGUGUGGAGGUAUGAAAAACUCUCAAAAGUAAUUUCUAGAGGAUGAAAACCUUGACAAAUUAUAAAAUAAAUCUCUACUGAAUAAUCAUUUUUUGUUUUUUCAUUCUGCUUCUAAAAAAAAGCAUUUUUAUUCAUAUAUAAAAUUCUACUAUAGUUUGUUUGGAUAAUAUUUAGCAGAGUACCAAUUAAAAUAAAUUAAACCUUUUCCAUUAAGUCAAUGUCAUAAACUUUUACUUUUAUACUAUUAUUACUGAAAAUAUAAACAAGAAAGUGUUAUGGUAUAUAGUAGAGACCGAACGGUUAACAUUUAGGACCGUCUGAUCAAUCCACUAAAGCAAUAAUGGUCAACCAGGUCAAAAUCGUUUUAUUGAUGUUGGGCAAUAAUUGCGCCAGUGUUUAAGUUAUUAUUGGACCAAUAGUCCAACAGAUAAUAAAAUAAUCAACUAUAUUUGAUAAGUUGUUUAUGAGCAAUUGACCGAAUCUAAUGGUAUGUCUGUUUUUAUUUUAUUGGAUCUGUGCAAGAUUAGAUCAAUGAGAUGAUUUAUAAAUAUAAGGUCGAAGCCAAAGGCCAAGUACAUUCUACUUACGUUUGAUCAGAACUCAAAUAUUCAAUUGUGAUAAACAAUUCCCAAAACCGGUCUUAACUUGAGCGUCAGAGUGUCUUUUGCAGGUAUCCCCUAAUCAAGAAUACAACCAAGCGGUCAAGAGUACAACUGAGAGAAGCAGGCGACUCAGGCAUUGGAAGUGGACAUUAAACCGCUCGGUUACUUACUAAUAUUGUCCGAUCACGAGUAAAAGUGUGUAGAGUAGGCGAAUCGAGCGUCGAAAGACAGGAAGAUCACAUAAAAUAAGGUAUGUCUCUUGAUGUUACAAAAUAUCUACCGAAAGAAAAAGCUUUUUUUUUACUGUAAAAAAAAUUAUCCAAACAAGAACACUUAUUAAAACUUCAUUUGGUGCCUGCAAGAGGGUAGAAGAAUUGUGUUAUAUUUUAAACUAGAGAUGCAUGUUAGCAUCAUUUAGCAUGUUCUAGUACUCACAUGGUAGGCCAAAAGAAACUGGGUCCCUUUUCAUUAUAAAAAUCUAAAGGCUUCACCAUGUGAACUGUGUUAAAUGAAUCUUACUGUGGCUGAAUUGUUCCAAAUUCGAAAAUAGAAUCUCUUUAAUCUCUUUUGCACUCUCCACAACCGACAAAUAAACACAAACAAAGGAGUUUCAUAAAUAUGGACGAAAAAACAUAAUUGUAUACCUCACCCUCUUCCUUGCUUACCCCGUGAUUCUCACCAAAUGCACCUCAAAUUUAACUCUCACAUUCUAUUCUUGCUUCUUAUAUUAUUACAUCUCUAUCUUAUCCCUUCAAAAACACACUAACAGUUACCAACAAGACACAAAUUUCUGCACCCUCAUGGCCACUCUGAUGAAGCUGUUCUUUUCAUUUGCCAUUUCGGUUAUCUUGCUUUCAAAGGGUGUGAGUUCAACUACAACUGAGCCUACAAUUUCAGCUUCUCCAGGAGUUUUGCCUUAUGUGUCUGCUCCAGAUAUUUCAUCAUUUUUUCCCACUCCAAGUGGCUAUCAACCACUCAGUUAUGAUACUUCUUCUGAGGCACCAGCUCCAGCACCCUCUUCAGGGGAAUUUCAGGGCAAAAUCUCUUCUGCUUCAGCUAGCUUCCAUUCUGCAGCUCUCAUUGUUUCUGUUCUGCUAUCUUUUGCAGUCAUGAGUAGUAGCAUGGUUAUUGUUUGAGUAUUUACUAUAUAAUUUUGUCUUCUCUUCAACGCUUUUUCACCCUUCUUCUUUUCCAUUACUCCAUCUUCUGCCAUUGCUUUCUUGCUACCUUAUUAAUAUACUUUAUACAUUCACUUCUGCCCAGUUCGUUGAUUCUAAUGAACUUUGUUCCAAUUUCCUGGUGAGAUCUUGCUACAGGAAACAUUAGUGAGAAUUUUUAUAACUUUUUUUUUGUCUUUCUGGUUUUAGUUUUUUUUUUUCUUUUUAAAAGUCAAUGCAGAGUAUUUAUGGACUGUUAAGCGACUAAUGUUUGUAGUAAAAUAUUAGCAGCUAUUUUUAUUUUUUCUGUCUAGAAAAUUAAACUCGAGAUUCUCGUAUUCUAUGAGAUCUUCAGUUCAUUAAAUGUUGGUGUGUGACUCAUUAUUUGGUAAUAUGUUUAAUAUUUUUAUGAAAUCGGUAAUGUUUUGUCUUAUCAAGAUCUUUGUAAGAUAGUAGAAUAAAGUUUUAGACUAUUUAUCACGAAUAAGAAGUUAUUUAAAUAUUAAACAACACAACGCCUUAGUUUUAUAUUGAUUUAUCUCAACUCGUGUUACAUUUAGUUUUUUUUCUUAAGACAAGAUGUUUCACUAAUUAAAAUACUGAUUAUAAAUGAAUAAACAAAUCACUUCUAAUGACAAGAAGUGCACAAACCGGUUAUUUUGUUUCAAUCUUCUCUUGAGAUUAAAAUCUCAAAGAUAAUUAAAAAAAAAAUAAAACUCUCAAAGACAAAGAUUGAUUUAAGUUUAUUGGUGAGUUCACAAAGUAAAAAGUACCAAAAUUUUACAUUAUUUUUAAGAAAUUGAUGACAUCAAUUGGUGAAUAAUAUAGUGAUUAUGGUGCAUCAAAGCCAGUAAUAUUGUAAAACUUACUCUAUAAUAGUGAAAGACACAUAAAAGUUAAUUGAAUAUUUUUUUAGGAGUUAUUGAAGAUCUACAUUCAUAGGCUUCCAUUAGACUAUAAAAAAAAAUACAAAAUGACUAAUUUGAUAGUUCUUUUGUAGUUGAUAAGCUAACAAGCUUACACAUUAUUAUCAUGAAAUAUGUGAUUUGGUUAGGUCUUUUAGUAGAGUUAUUAUACAAGAAUUUUACGAAAAAUGUUAUUAAGAAGUGGACUUUAAUCCUAAUUCAACUCUAUAAAACCGGUUUGUAUAAAUGAAGUUUGCACUUUCACUUAUAUAAUAUGAAAUCGUCUUAUUUCUAUAGGCGGCAAGAGAGUUCCAACAAACCUCCCUCACGAUGAGAUAUAUACAUUUCGAGUGUGGGACUAGACAUUAAUGAGUAGUCCGAUAGCGGCCUAAUAUUAUGUGGAAUAAUAUGCUCAACAAAAAAUAAAUAUUAUUAUGAUAGUAUGUGGUACAAUAGACUGAACAAACAAAAAAUCUCGCUAGGAUAGGUUUUAAUGCAUGACUUUGAUAUCAUGUUAAGAAAGUCUAACUCAACUCCAUAAAACUAGUUUGUACGGUAAAAUUUGCACUGACUUACAUACUAUGAAAUUAUCUUAUCUCUAAUCGAUAUAAGAAUUCCAACCAUUAUCUUUAGGAUAUUGUGUAGCAUAGGACUCCACCGAUGUUUUCGCAAUAUUUAAUACAUAAAAUAUGAUUAUGUCAAACUUGUUACUAGACUUACUGAAUAAGCUAAUAUUUCAUUAAAGCGUUGGAAAUAUUUCAUUAAAGCCAUAAAUGCAUGGUUUAAAUGUCCAAAACACCCUCUUAAAGAUGAUGUGGUCCUCAUCUACGGGUUACCUUGAUAUACUGGUUGGGUAUCCAUUUUUCAAAUAAACUCAAUAAUGUAAACUUGCUUUACCUUUAGAAGGGAUGGCAAAUUUUGCUAUGACUCUUCCCAAUUGUCAUAAACCUGGCUAAUAAUUUUAUGAGUCAAGCCUUCUUAUAGGUAACUAUAUACUCCAGGGUUGACUUUAUAAAGGGUUGUUGAAACAAUAUCAUAAUGUCUACCAAUUCAAGUUUUAAAGUUUAUCAAAAAAUAUUCAAUGAAAUAUUGCCUUUGUAAAAUAACGUCUAAUGAAAGAAAACCUUUUUCUUUAAAGAAUAAUCUAAUAGAUGAUAUGUGUAACAAACAAUGUCUAAACAUCUAAAAAGUUAACAUGUUAUAAAAAGCGCCUUACAAAGUGAAGCGUUUCUUUAAAACUAACGUUUUAUCAAGCAAAUGUUUUAUGAAACGAAAGUCGUAAAUGAUACUAAAAAACAUAUAUAAGUGUCUAAUCAAUAAACUAAACUCAUACCAGCGCUAAACGAUAGAAAAUUCCUAAAUAAAGGUAUUCAAACAUUUUUCUGUCUGUACUAAAAUGACAUUUGCGUAUUCAAAAGAUAAAACGUCUAAAAGCUAAUUCUACUUGAUAUCAUAUGAAAAACUUUAUAAGACAAGCAUCUAAUAAAUAUGUCAUAUACACCAUUUAUAUUAAAAUGAUCGUUAAACAUGAAUUAACUAAAUGAUGUUGACAUAUGAGAAUGCUCUAAACAUUUUACAAUCAUCAAGAGACAAAAUAUUUAAUGCUAUACAAAAAAGUGUCUUUGUGCUUGCAUGUCGUGUUUUCAUUAUGUGCAGGAAAUAACAAUACCAAGUUUUAUCCAAGAACUCUGAACAAAGAGACAUUAAAAAACAAGAAUACCUAUUCAAAGCUACUAACAUAGAAGAAUCGUACAAGCUAUCUUUGUGAAAAAGCACUACUGGCCUACAACGUAGACCUGAGUUUGAUCAAACCAUAUUUAUCAAACAUUAUUUUCAACUUUCUUUUAUGGAUACGUCAUGAAUAAUUUGCUUACAUAUUUUCAAUGUUGUUUUUAGUAAACAUAUCCUUUAGAAGCCUCAAUCAAUAAAUGAUAUUUCAUUAUGUAUUGUAUAUUAAACAUCAAAACAUGAGUUAUUAGACCGUCUAGUCUUUUUAGACGAUCUUGUCUUAAUAAAUUUAAAUUUAAACUUAUUCAUGAUAACAAAUUUUUAGACAAUAUCAUAUAGUGUCCUGCACCUAUUUUCUUAUUGAUCUUCACGUAAAAUCUUAAUAAAGUGGAAUUUCAAUCAAUUCACCAAUGAUACUUAAAAACAUGCAAUUAUUGAUCUUUCAACAAAAGAUCUUCUACGAAAAUACAAGACUACAUCCUAACUCAAAGUGUAAAUGAUAAAGAUGAUAAAAACUGUCACCAUUUCAAACAUCCAUGGACAAAAUAAUACAUCACUCAAAACAAACAUAGUGUAAAACUCACCAUAACAAUUCUUUGACUUCCCCACAUAAUACUUUAUUGAUUAGUUCCUCGAUACAAAAGAACAUAUGCAACAUAUUAUUAAUUGAUUCCCUAUUAUAAACUAAUACAUUUACAAGACCAAUAUGUCAAACCAAACUAAACUUGAAGUGUGUGAAUUGAGAUAAUAAAAACAAUAUUAUGCUCUAUUAAAAAAAUAGGAGAUUAAAAGGUGUCAAUGUGUUUGUAUGUUGAUUUCAUAUUGCCAUAGUAAAAUAUAUUGAUCCUUCAAGAGGUCAAUAAUCUCAUAAUUUGCAAGUAAAUUACUUUUGAUUUUCCUAAAACUUCAAGUUAGAUUCUACACAUUAAUUUGCGAGGUCACCACUCCUAAGUAGGGAUGGCAACGGGUCGGGUUCGGGUCGGAUAGUGUGAUACCCGAACCCAACCCGUAUGUAAACAAGUAUACCCGUACCCGCCCUGUUACCCGCCGGAUACUCGCAUAAAAAAAAUCUGCGAGUUUUUUUAACCCGCGGAUACCCGUUUCAACCUGCAAUUUUUUUAGAAAAUUAAAAAAUGUUUAAAUUAAAUUAAAAAAAACAUAUUAUUUUCUCAGAGUCAAUGUUUAAAUUAAUUAUUUUAUACAAACGGGCCAAAAAUUCAAAUUUUUCAUAAUAAGCCCAAACCCUUCUUUUCUUUUAGGGUUUCUUCUUUUCUUCUCCAGUUCUUUCCCUCUGCCCUCUUCUCCAUCGCCAUGAAUGCCGCCUCUCUGGAUGCGUUAACCUCCCCACGACAACGAAGCUCGCCAUCAUCUCCUUCACUGAACCUUAGCUCCGCAUCGACGUCGGACGCUGUCAACUACCACGACCGCUGCCAGCACGAGCCUUCACUCAAGCCGCAACCUCCAUCAACACCGCAACUUCAUCCUAUCAGCACCUGCUCCGCCAUCGCGCCUCUGCCAUCGCACUUUCGCCAUCGCACCUCCGCCAUCGACCUCGUCUUCCUCUUCUUCGUCCUCGUCUAAACCUCUCCGCUUCCGAUCCUCCUCGACGCCUCCGCGUUUCGGCUGCCAGACGCCGGACGCCUCCGCUUUUCGGCGGCCAUUGAGGCCGGGCAACGUCUAAACCUCUUUUUUCCUUAUUCUGAGGAAGAAAACCCUAAAACGGCAGCUGCAACUAACAAGAUGGGGGCACCUCUUUUUUUCUUAUUCUGAGGAUGAAAACCCUAAAAAAAUUUGGGCUUUGGCCCAUUAUCACAGUAGAUGAGUAGAUGGAAACCUAAUUUAAGAAUAGUUAAAAUUAUACUUUUAUAAUUUAAAUAGAAAACCUAUUAAUUGAAAUUAAAAUUUUAUUUUUUAAACGGGUAACGGGUAUCCGCGGGUACGGAUAAUGUGAUACCCGAACUCAAUCCGUUAAUAAGCGGGUAUUAAAAUACCCGCUACCCGUUACCCACAGAUAUUAUACCCAAAAUGGAUUUUACCCACGGAUACUCACGGGUACAGGUUUUUUUUGCCAUCCCUACUCCUAAGCUGACAUCUCAUAAAUUCCAAACGCAGUUUAGACUAUAAAAUCAUGACAGUUUAUAAUAGGGUUAAAUAUGCUUUUCGUCCUUAAAGUAUUAGGGAUUUUUGGUUUUAGUCCCUACUCAAAACAUUGAUGGCAUUUAAUCCUUUUAGUAUUAAAACAUGUAAAAUUAGUCCUUAAAAAUGGAUGCCCGUUAACUUUCACUAACGGACUUGCCACGUCUUUCUUUCAGUAAUGUUCUCUGUCUACCACGUCACAUCCUCUUAUCUGUUCAUCUCCCGUUCUUCUCUCCUUCAUUUUCUCACCCUUUUUCUUCUUUUCAGUUUCAUCAUUCUGGAACUUAAUGUUUUUUUUUUUUAUUAAUCUUAUCACUGAAACUUCACGCUUAAUCUGAUCAACCAAUCCAAUUUUAAAAAGAAUUUCCUUAUCAAUUACCUUUGCAAAGGUUCCUUGCCCUAAAGAAAUGGCUCAAAGCUGGAAACACCACGUGUUCCAAAAUAGGGGAGAAGCUAACCAACACAGAAUUGGUUCCCAAUACAACUCUCAAGAGGCUCAUCCAACAGUUCUGCGUCGACAACGACAUUUCAGUCAACAGCCCAUCUAACCGUAACCGCAACAUCGUCGCAGGUAGUCCCGCCGCAAAGCUCGCCGUGCAAUUCCUAGCGUGGUUCCUGACGCGGAGGUUGGCGUUCGGAACUCGUGAACAGUAGCAGAAGUCCGCUUACGAGAUUCGCGUGCUUGCCAGAACCGACAUUUUCUAUAGGUCUUAUUUGAUUGAAGUGGGAGUAGUGCCUCCUCUACUAGAACUUUUAGCAUCUGCGUCUAACGAUAAACCCACUCAAGAGAACGCAAUCUUCGCUCUAUUGAAGCUUUCUAAACAUCUGAAUGGACCAAAAAAUAUCAUAACUAAUGGCGGCCUAAACGUAAUUCUCUCACUUGUUGUGGUCUUAUUCUUUGUGGCAAAUCUUGAAUCCCGUGGGUGCAGCUUCUUAAAGGGAGAGACCCCAAAAUCAUAGCACAAAAAACCCCAAAUUCAUGAACCCUAAUCGCAACGAAGAACCCUCAAAUCGUGGCGCUUGAAGAUGCUUGAAACGUCAUCAGCACUAAAACAACGCCUCUUUUCUCCUUUAUGCGGGUGAUUUCCUUCUUUGCCUCUUCGAUGGUUGAUCCUGGGUUAAGAAACUACUUUCCCCAAUUCAAAAAAACACACUUUGCCCUGAUUUAGAAUCUGAUUUCAUUCACCAAUACACUUCCAAAUCACUUAAUCUCGUUCCAAAAUAUAGAACAGUGGCAGAUAGUUAAGGUGACUGUGGAAGAAGACAUGUCAUCAUCGUUUGCCAGGUCAAUAAAAAGUUAACGCCGUCCAUUUUUAGGGACUAAUUUUACAUGUUUUAAUACUAAAAGGAUUAAAUGCCAUCAAUGUUUUGAGUAGGAACUAAAACCUAAAAUCCCUAAUACUUUAGGGAAGAAAAACAUAUUUAACCCUUUAUAAUAAUUACAUAAAAACACCAAAAAUAUUUGUAUAUUUUCCCACUUAAUCAUUUGGAGAUUCAAAUGCAAUACGCAGAACCCGCAUUCUGAAGUGUAAGUAAAUCACCUUCGAUUAUCAAUGCCUGGGACAUGAAGGAAGUUCAAAUCACAUUGCAUGGAAACAACAACACUGACGAUGACUCGGUUAGUGUUCAGAACAACACCAUCAACCGCACGUCACAAACGUGCUUAUUCCACAUGGCAGACCAAUACCGCGAACCUUACGAGCAUGUUCGGCAAAUACGUGGACAAAACCAGCGUCUCUAGCUGGAACACCGUCAUCGCUGACCUCGCUCGAAGCGGCGAUUUCAUCGAAGCUCUCGGCGCAUUUUCCUCCAUGCGCAAGCUCUCUCUACAUCCCAACCGCUCAUCCUUCCCAUGCACCAUCAAGGCCUGUGCCGCACUCUCCGACCUCCGCGCCGGCGCGCAGACCCACCAGCAGGCGUUCGCAUUUGGGUUCGGCCACGACCUCUUCGUCUCCGCCGCGCUCGUUGACAUGUACUCCAAAUGCGGCUUCCCUGACCUCGCGCGCCACCUUUUCGACGAAAUUCCCAGCCGAAACGUCGUUUCGUGGACGUCCAUGAUUGCAGGCUACAUCCGAAACGACCGCGCCCAGGAAGCCGUUUGCCUCUUUAAGGAGUUGUUGGCUGAGGACAGUGGGAGUGCGGAAUCUGAGUAUGAGGCUUUCGUGGAUUCCAUGCUUGUGGGGUGUGUUCUUUCGGCGUGUUCGCGGGUGGGGUGGAGGAGUGCGACUGAAGGGGUUCAUGGGUUGGUGGUCAAGAGGGGGUUUGAGGGGUGUGUGAGUGUUGGGAAUACUUUGAUGGAUGCUUAUGCCAAGUCUGGAGAAAUGGGGGUGGCGAGGAAAGUGUUUGAUGGAAUGCAUGAGAGUGAUGUCUGCUCUUGGAACUCUAUAAUUUCUCAGUAUGCGCAGAAUGGGUUGUCAGCUGAGGCUUUCUGUAUUUUUGCUGACAUGGUGAAGAGUGGCAAGGUUAAAUAUAACGAGGUGACAUUGUCUGCGGUGUUGUUGGCCUGCGCGAAUUCAGGAGCUUUGCAGCUGGGAAAGUGCAUACAUGACCAGGUGUGUUACUUAAUGCAUAGGUUCAUUUGGUCUUUAGACACCGAUUUACAUUUGGUGGUUACUUGAAAAUUUUAUAUUUUGGUUCUUACCUGAUGAAAUUGUUUAUGCAUUGGUCCCAACUGCUUGUUGAAGUUAUCAUGAUGUUCGAUGUUUUCUGAGUUUGUAAACAUUUUAUGACGAAAUUAAAUAUUUGAUUGACAAGUGUUUGUCAAACACUGCAAACAUUUAAUAGCAUUGUAACUGUGGCAAAGGAUGGGGGCGGCAAAUUUGUUGUAAUAUUUUUUUUGGCUUAAAUUCACUCUUGGUCUCCAUAGUUUUAUUUUAUGAAUGUGAAAUUUUAGUUCUUAUAAAAGUUUAAUUGCACGUUCGAUCUUUCAGUUUUUAAAUUGAACAUUUUUUGUCUAAAGUUAAUGUCAUCUAAUUCUAACAAAAAAUAGUGAUGUGUCUGCUAGCGAUAACAGGUUUUAAACCUUACCGUCGAUAUCCCAUGCGGAUAACUAACUACGCUUUUUCACCAACCAUGCGUCAGAUUUUUUUUUUUAACAAUUAGAUAACAUAUUAGUAGUGAACUACUAGAAUGGUUUAUUUUGAAAAUUUGAAAGAUCAAAUGAGCAAUUAAAUUUAUAUAGAAACUAAAAUUGUACACAUCCUUGAAACUAUGAGUAAGAGAGGAUUUAUGCCUCUUUUUAUAAACCAAAAUUAUGAGUUUUUCUUCAUUUAAUAAGGACCAAAAUGGAAACAUGGUGUAAACUGUCCAAGUUUAGGUUCCAAAUUUUAAUUUAACUUUGUUCCAAUUUUUGGUCCUAAAAUUGUAUUUAUGUAUGGAAUAAUUAGCGAGUGCCUAGAUUUUUGUUGGUCUCACUGGCUCGUUUACUUUUACUAUAGGUUAUAAAGAUGGAUUUGGAGGAUAGUGUGGUUGUUGGUACAUCUAUAGUGGAUAUGUACUGCAAAUGUGGGAGAGUUGAGAUGGCUAGGAAGGCAUUUGACCGAAUGAACAUGAAGAAUGUUAAGUCAUGGACUGCUAUGGUUGCUGGUUACGGAAUGCAUGGUCGUGCAAAAGAGGCUAUGGAAGUUUUCUACGAGAUGAUAAGGUCUGGAGACAAGCCGAAUUACAUUACUUUUGUGUCAGUUUUAGCUGCAUGCAGCCAUGCUGGUUUGUUAAAAGAAGGCCGGCAUUGGUUUAAUAGAAUGAAAAGUGAAUUUAAUGUUGAACCUGGGAUUGAGCAUUAUUCUUGCAUGGUUGAUCUCCUCGGGCGUGCUGGCUACCUUAAUGAGGCUUAUCGUUUGAUCCUGGAAAUGAAGGUGAAACCUGAUUUUAUAAUCUGGGGUUCCCUUCUUGGGGCUUGCAGGAUUCAUAAGAAUGUGGAACUUGGGGAGAUCUCUGCUAGAAAACUAUUUCAGUUAGAUCCAAGUAGUUGUGGGUACUAUGUUCUACUCUCUAAUAUUUAUGCUGAUGCUGGAAGGUGGGAUGAAGUUGAGAGGAUGAGGAUAUUGAUGAAGAGUCGCGGGUUGCUUAAAACCCCUGGAUAUAGUAUAGUAGAGCUCAAGGGUAGGGUACAUGUAUUCUUAGUUGGAGACAAAGAACAUCCUCAACAUGAGAAGAUUUAUGAGUACCUAGACAAAUUAAAUGUCAAGCUGCAAGCACUUGGUUAUAUGCCAAAUUUGACCUCAGUUCUUCAUGAUGUUGAUGAGGAAGAGAAAGGAAUGGUUCUAAGAGUUCAUAGUGAGAAACUAGCAGUUUGCUUUGGAAUCAUGAAUUCAGUUCCUGGGUCAGUGAUCCAUAUCAUAAAAAAUCUUAGAAUUUGUGGUGACUGCCACAUUGCAAUUAAAUUUAUUUCCAAAGCAGUAAAUCGAGAAAUUGUUGUCAGAGAUUCUAAGCGGUUUCAUCAUUUUAAGGAUGGUAUGUGUUCAUGUGGGGACUACUGGUGACAGCAACUGAAAUAAAGGUAGCCAAAAUCUACGGUGUAGGUUGUGCAUUAUUUAGUCAUCUUACUAGCCAGACAUGGAGCUAAGAAAGUGCAUAUCUAUCUUAAAUACACUGUUUAAUUUGAUUUUGGAGUGAACAGUGGAUCAAUUAGAUCCAGUUAUUAGGAUAAUGGAAAAAAAGGCACUGAUCUUUUAGUGACUAAUACUCAGUUUGAAUGUACAAUGUUAUAGUACACAUGAGAUCACCGUAGAACCAACUGCAAAUAACAUAUGACAACUGUUUUUUACUACAUGCCUCAAGACAUGUAAAGUCGCACCUAUAGUAGCGUCGGUACAAGUGCUCACUUAGUUACUAAAGGACAAAGUAUAUCAUAACAACGUUGUGCAAGAAUUAUUUGAGUGUCGAUUGUUUGCAUAGAAUACUAGAUUUUAAAGAGCUUGCCUGUAGAUCUUCCUCCUGCUCUUGAAGUAUGUGGUUGAUCACAUUCUGAAUCAGCAUUGGAGUGGGUUAAAGAAAUCUGGAGGGCCCUGUUCUCAGUCUUCAAAGUUUCCACCUUUAGUCUAAGCCUUCUGAUGGUUUCUCUCUUUUCAUCAUUUCUUUGGACCAGCUCUAGCAACUGGUGCAGAUUGUCCUGAGUAAGUUUUGUUUGAUACUUUAGUGUCGACCACAAAUUGUCACAUUUGAAAAUGAUCAUUGGAGGAUCUUCAGUUCUCUGAUUUAAUUCUGAAUCGUCAAUCUUCUCUUCAGCGGUUGAAAGUUUUGUCAUUCUGUCCUCCAUUUGAAUAUUUCUGCGUUCUGGUUUUAAUUUCGUGCUGCAUGUGCCUGCUGAUAACAGUUCAUGGCACUCAUCUCCUUGCUCGUUUGAAAGAUCAAAACCAAGGAUACUACGGUCAAAUUUGAUAUUGGAGUGCUCCAAGGAACAUUCAUCUCCUUGGUUAUUUUUAUCUUUCGAUUUACCUAUUGCUCUUUUAUUGCAGAUAGAACAAAUGGUUCUUGAUGUACCAGAAGAUGAUAAAGAUCCAGAUUGGAAGGUACCCUGAGAGGUUUUUAACUUCAGUUGGUUAUAUGCUAUGGCUAACACACGGUAAGAUUGGCCAAAAUCUUCAAGCAUCUCUAUGAGAUCUUCUCUCCAUUUGCAAUCCAUGAGUUCUUUGGGAGAAUUGUCACCAUCUAAAAUGGUCUUCAUAGCAUCCAAUUUCUCAUCCAAGUCUAAAAAUUUAUUAAAAUUCAAGUGUUUGUGAGUAUAAACUGCAGCAUAACUAGGUUAAGACCUUAUGAACAUUCCAAUAAUGUUUGUUUGACUUUGAGCAACUCCUACAGGCAAUAAAUAAGCCAGACAUCCCAGAUUUUAAACCUGGAAUUUUGGUUAAGAGGGAUGUCCCUGUGAAGAAGGAUAAGGGAUUUUGAGGACUAAAAAUAUUACUACUUGAUAAUUAGUGUGCAAUAUAUAUUCCAGGUGAUCCUAUUGAACCUUUUAUGACCUUUUAUGAGAGGACAGUUUCUAAUCUAGUAUAUGAAAUCGACUUCAAACAUGCCUUUUUCUAGCCUCAGUUCAUGUCACACCCUCCCUCUUUCAGUGGUCAACUUCAUUUUCUACAACUUUAUAAUAUGCUUUUAAUGCACAGAGUUGAGUCAAAGAAAGCUAACAAGUUGUUAAAUUAUGGAAAUACUAGUUGCACAUAUAUUUAGUCUGCAAAAUAGAACUUUUACACCUCAGCAAGCAUGCAUGUGUAUGUGUAUCUGUAUGAGUAUGAGUGACUAAGAUAGAGAGAACCUGAUAUGGUUGUUUGAAGCCAUUGAGACUGGUAGAUAGGAGCAGAACUCCAUGAUUCAGGAUCUUUAUUCUCCAUGGUCAAAUGUGUCUUCUUCAACUCAGAGCAAGAUAAUUUAUUAGAGGAGAAACGGUGACAACAGGGUAAAGUGAAAGGAAACAAGUAAAGUAUAGAAUUUGAAAAGGAAGAUUUAUGCCAUGAUGGACUUUGUAUAUUGCAGCAGACCAACGUUAAGCAGAUUCUUUAACAAAUUAGAAAGCAUCCUGUGGCAGUGUUCUACAGUUUCCAAUUUCUUAUUUUAACUCAAAAAAUUUGGUUGACCUUUUAUAAACCAUUCCAAUAAUAUUCAUUUAUUUAAAGCACACGUUAUUUUGUAAUGACUAUAAUAUUGACAGUUCAGCUGUGUUAGUUUGCAGCAUAAUAAACAAUGGAGUAAUCUUUGGUCUUAAUUAAUCGUACCUAAUAUUUAAAAAAAAAAGCGGUAGUAAUCUAUUUCAAGUUCUUUUAAUAAAAUAAUAGACAACGUAAUAACUGUGAAAUACACUAACAUGCCAUCCAAAAUAAUCAUUUUAAAAAUCAUAUCGUAUGAAUAGUGAUUUUUAUUUGGUGGGCUAUUUAAGAUACAUGAGAUCACACAUGCUCUAAACCAUAAGCUUUAGACUUGAUUAAAAAUUAUUUUUGAUUUGUCAUAAAUAAUUUUGGAAAUAUUUAUAAAAUAUUUAUUCAAAAUUACGUUGUAUAUUUAAUAAAAGCUUUAAUCAUUUAUCAUGUUAAAUUGUUUAAUAAAAUUAGUGUGAUAUUUUUACUAUAUUAAUGUUUUUCUAAACUCAGAACAAAGCAUAUUUGUUAUUUCAUGGAGAUUAUUCAGCACGAAAUAUAGCUACAAUUUUUUUUUUUGUAAAACAUUUUUUCUUUAUAAUGAUAUUUUCUUAAAAGAAAAAUAAAUCAAAGGCGGGAAUAAACAUUAGAUUUCAAAAGAUAAGUGUAUCUUUCAAUAAUUUUUAAUGAUUUGAAUAAAUUAAAGGAAAUAUAGUACAAAUAAUAUAUAACUUAACAUCUCAACACCCAAUUUUGGGUAAGUAAAUAAAUAAAAAUAAAAAAUAAGAGAAUAAUAAUUAAUGGUGGGUAAAGAAAUAAAGGAAGAAAAAAAAUAAAAUAAAUUUCCUAAAAAAAAUUGUAUAUGUAAUACAUUACACAACACUAGAAAAUAUUUUUGAAAUAUUAGUUUUUAGAUAAAGGAAUAUUUAAUAUGGUAAUAAUUUGAAUCAAUAUUAUGCCAAUAAUUAUAAGCAAUAAUUAAAAAUAAUAUAUUGAUAUAAUUUGUUGCAUCAAUUUCUUUUUAAAGAGAAAAAUAUGAUUUUAAAAAUGGACAAAAUUUUCUGAAAAUUGUCAAUUAGAAUUGUUGCAAGAAUUGAUUUUCUUGCAACUAAGACCAUUUCUUUCUCUAUUUUAUUCAUUAUUGUCAAUUAAUUCAGAAUUAAGAUAAGAUUACCGUAAUAUUAUAUCGUGUCUAUAUAAUUACGCACCCUCUCAUAGAAAAAGGACAGAAAAAAGAGGGAUAGAUACCCAAAAAUAAUAGAGAUAGAAAGAGAAGAAGAGAAUAUAGAAGAAAAUAAUUUAUAGGGGCUCUGUCAACAAAAACUACCAAGGAAGAACUAGGGAACUACUAGAAGUUGAGAAGGUAUGUCACUUCUACACCAUUCUUUUUCUCUUUUGAUUGUACUUUGAAGUUUUUUCUAAAGGUAUAUUUUUUUACUACACACAAAUAACGUUCCUUUUUUUAAAUCAUAAAAAGAAUAUAUUCACUUGUUUCUUUUGAUAUUGGUUACACCCCUCGCAUAAUGUGAUAUUUAUUUUAAAUUUUAUUUUUAAAAACUAAUAAUAAAUAAACAAUUCCAAAAAUAAAAAGUAUUUUCUUAUCACAUAUUUUCUUUUAAAAAAAUAACAAAUCAUAAAAUAAAGAGUAUAAGUACGCGUCGGCCUAUGGUCGGUUUCUUUUCUUUUUCCUACCAUUCUUAAAAUAAAUAAAAAAAUCUUUAAACCAAAAAAUGACAACAUUGUUAAACAAAUCUUUUUUUUACCACAACUACAUAGGAGCAAUAUCAAUCCAUGUCAGGUUCACUUUUCAAAAAUCAAAUCAGUAAUAAUUUUCCAACAAAUUUACAAACCUUUUUGUAGAUAAAGAAAUAUGUGAUCCUUAAUUCUCCAAGGUCAAUCCUUAUCCGACUCAAAACAAAAAAUAUUUUUUGUUUCUUAUUAGUUUCUUUAUAUAAUUAUUUUUAGAAAAAAUUAAAUAUUUUGAAAAACCACGUUAACUUUAUACAUUUAAUUAAAUGUACUGCUUUUGGGAAGGAGUAGUAGGGUGCUAAUACCUUCUUUACUCGUAAUCGAUUCCCAAAUCUAAAAUAUAGUUUUCGUAGACCACAUUUUUAUUUUAUGGUUUUUCAUAGUUUUCCAAGAAUAAAUUAUGGUGGCGACUCCCAAAAUCUUUUUCUUAAACCUGUUUGUUUUCGGUUCAUCAUCUUGUUGCGAUCCCGAUAUCGACAGAUGGCGACUCCACUUGGGAAGUUAGAGAAUCAGACCUUGUUAAUUAAAUGUGAAAAUUGAUGUGGUUUCUCUUUAUUUUAUUUUAUUUUCCUCCUUUGUUUCUCUAUAUGAUUGGUCUUUAUUCAUUUUGAUAAUUUAUUUAUAUUCUUUUUUAUUAUUACUGGAAUAAUUAUUACUAUGCAUAUCAUGAGUGGGAUCCUAUAACCGAGUCUGAGUGUAACAUAGAAUUAGAGGGGUUGCGUAAUGGUGUUACGUUUGGGCUACUUCUAGUUUGGCUAUCGUGAAAACCCUAGCCAGUGUCUGUUCUCUUCACAUUCAAUUUCACACCUAGUUACGUCUCAACUAUUGUGGAAAAUGUUGUGAAAAGGACCAUAGCUUUGAUGACCUUGAUUUUAGGUUUAGGAAGCCAUUCUUGUGGGAUUGCAUAUACAAUGCUUAGACCACACAUUAGAGUCUCUAGUAUGAAUCUGACAGGGUUGAUAAAAUUAGGGAAACAAACGAAGAUCCUAAGGAGAGAAACGUUCAAGAAGAAGUACGAAAAUUUGCUCAAUCUGAUGGAGGUGGACGUACAAUUACCCGCUAUCACUGUCAUUUCUCAAUAUUAUGAUUCUCCACUCAGAUGCUUUACAUUUCAAGACUUCCAGUUAACACUAACUAUAGAAGAGUUUGAGCAUACCCUAGGCUUACCACUAUAAGGUAUAACUUCGUACCAAUACUUAUAGCAUCAUACUUCUAUUAAUACCAUCGCUGCCAUUAUGAAAUUACACUCUAGAGAGUUGAAAGACGGGUUGGUAACAAGAAACCAUGUGCAAGGACUUACUCAAGGAUAUUUGGAGCAAUAUCUAAGGACUUACUUCAUGGAUGUGUUGGCCCUUACCUCAUAUGGCAUUAUGAUAUGGCAUUAUGUUGUUUCCUAAGGUAUUGCUCCAAAUACCCUUGAGUAAGUCCUUGCACAUGGUUUCUUGUUACCAACAUGUCUUUCAGCUCUCUAGGGUGUAAUUUCAUAAUAGCAGCGAUGGUAUUAAUAGAAGUAUGAUGCUCUAAGUAUUGGUACAAAGUUGUACCUUCUAGUGAUAAGCCCAGGAUAUGCUCAAACUUUUCUAUAGUUUGGUCCAAGUGGAAGUCUUGAAAUGUAAAGCAUUUGAGUGGAAAAUCAUAAUAUUGGGAAAGGGUAGUGAUAACGGGUAAUUGUACGUCCAUCUCCAUCAGAUUGAGUAAAUUUUUGUACUUCUUCUUGAAUGCUCCUCUCCUUAGGGUCUUCAUUUGCUUCCCUAAUUUUUUCAACCCUGUCAGAUUCAUACUGAAGACUCUAAUGUGUGGUCUAAGCUUUGUAUAUGCAAUUUCACAAGAAUGACUUCUUAAACCUAAAAUCAAGGUCACCAAAGCUAUGGUCCCUUUCACAACAUUUUCCACAACAGUUAAGACUAGGAAUGACAACGGGUCGGGUCAGACACGGAUAGUACCUACCCGCAACCCGACCCACCGGAUAAAAACGUACCCGUCACCCGACCCGCUACUCGUCGGGGUACCCGUUUAGAAAAUACCCGUGGGUUUUAAAGUACCCGCGGGUACCUGCGAAUACUCGCAAAAAAAAAAAAUUAUACAUUUUAAAAUAAAAUUUAAAUAAAAUUAAAAAAAAUAUAUAAUAUAUAAUAUAAAUUAAAGUAAAUAUAAAUUAAAAUUUAAUUUUAAUUAAAUUUAACCUAAUAAAAUAUAAUUAUAUUUUAUUUUUAAUUAAAUUUAAUUAAAAAAUAUAUAAUUUACUUUUUUUUUAUAUUUUUUGCGGGUAACGGGUACCUGCGGGUCGGGUAGUAUACUACCGGUACUUGACCCGUUUAGAAGUGGGUAUUAAAAUACCCACUACCCGUUACCCGCGGGUAGUAAAUAUCCACGGGUAAUAACUACCCGCGGUGGAUUUUACCCGCGGAUACCCGUGGAUUUUUAUGCUAUCCCUAGUUGAGACGUAACUAGGUGUGAAAUUGCAUGUGAAGAGAACAGACACUGACUGGGGCUUUUACCAUAGUCAAACUGGAAGUAGCCUAGACAUGACACCGCUAUGCAACCUUUCUAACUAAUUUUAUGUUAUCCUCAUAUUUAGGUAUAGGGUCUCACUCAUGAUAUGCACAGUAAUAAUUAUUCCAAUAAUAAUAAAAAAAUAUAAAUAAAUUAUCAAAAUGAAUAAAGACCAAUCAUAUAGAUAAAUAAAGAAAAAACAAAAAUGACAAACUUAAUUUUUUUUUGAAGAUUUUCAUUUAGUGUCAUAAGAACUGUUUUUAAACCAUUAGACUUAGUUGGUUUUCUUCAAAUUCAAUUUUUCGAAAAAAAAAAAAUAAGUGAAUGUAGUAAGAGGAAAAUAGAAGAAAAUAUAUACAUCUCUUAUAUAUUGGAAUAUUAUUAAUACAACCCUAUAAUAAAAAUUACUAAAAUAUUAAAAUUUAGAUUCAUUGCUAAAAAAUUAAGACUUGUUAUGUAUGAUCUGAAUGUUAGAAUAAAAAUUAAAAAUAUACUGUUUAAUAUUUUCACAUUAUUUUGAUUAAUGAAGUCUUUACCAUAUUAUAAUUUAUAAAUUUUGUUAUUUUUUUCAGUUUUAAAUUUAUUUUUUACAUAUAACAAUCUUCGUUCUUUUUAAUUCUUAGCUUUAAUUAAUAAAUAAAUAUAAUUUUUCUAAACAACAUCUUUGUUAAAUUAUAUAUAAAUAAAGGGAAAUAUCUAUAAAAUAAAAAAUUAAUAAACGUAGUAAAGAAAGACAAGAGAGAAAAAAAUAGAAAUAAUGUAUUAAGACCCAGUUAAUUUUUUGCUAAAUAUUCAUAAUUUUAUUAUUUAAAUAAUGAUUUUUAGAAAAAUAGUUCCGUAUAUGCUGUAAUACAUUUUUAUUUAUAAGAAAAUGAAAAUCUUUAUCUUCUAUUUUUCUCUCUCAAAUGAUACCUCGGUAAAACCUUUUAUAUCACACCAAAUGAUUUUUCAUAAUUACGUUAGCAAAAUCUUUAGAUUUUUUCAAGAUUAUGGAACAUAAAAAUUUAAUAAGAUUCUAAAUAAGUAUGAUUCUCAUUAUUAAUAAUAAAAACAAUUGUUCAAAAUUAUAAUGAAAUUAUUUAUUACUUUAUAAUGAAAUUAUUUAUUACUUUAUUAAUUCCGUGAAAUCAUCUUACUCUUAUGUUUAUUUAUACAUAUCCCUCCGUAUCUUCAAACGUCAGAAAUUUUCUUAUUUGAUAGAACAUUUUAGAGAAAACAUUGUAUUUUGAAAAAAAAAAUGAAAAACUUGUCAUGUUUAAAAAUAAUUAAAUAUGAACCAAAAUUUUACAAUUAACAAAUUAAAAAAGUGAAAGAUAGAAAAAAAAAUAACAACUGUAUAAUUUUCUACGGUAAAAUAUAACGAGUAUUAGGGUUAAUAAUUUUUGUAAAACCAAUGCUAACUCAAUUAAACCCAUACAACAACACACAAUUAAUAAACUUUAUUUUAUAAAUUCCAACAAAAGGUUGACAUCACCAAAGUAUUUGAAAAGAAAAAUACCUAAAAGACAAGUAUAAAAUGAAUGCAUAUUAAAAAAAAAAAAAAAAAAAGAUGUUUGGGUCUAUUGACAAGAGUCCGGUACCUCCAAUAUCAUUAACUCAUGUUUCAAGUAUAAUCAAAAUACAAAUUUUCACAUGAUAAGUAUUAAAAAAAUAAAUUAUCACGAAUUAUGACGAAAAUACAAUAUGUAAAUUAAUUAUGAUUCAGAUACGUCAAAAUAAUAAUAUUGACUCAUCUUAUUCAUUUUAAAGUAUUGUUGAUUUACAAUGGAGACCACCUUCAAACAAAUACCAUAUAAAAAAUAUAUUUUUCAAAAAACUUGUAUUAAAUAUAUCUUGUCAAUAACAUUUGACUCAUUUUAAAUAAUUCUAAUUUAUAGAAACAAAUAAAUGCAUGACAUUUUUUAACAAGGCAAAAUACACGUUUAAUUAUAAUAAGACCAAAGUUUUCAUUUAGAGUUAGAAACUAUUUUUCUUUUCAUCGACACCUAUAUUAUGAUAAUAAACAAACAAAUCAAUUUGGUAUGUCUUAUAAAAUUACCUAGGGAUAAUACUGUGACCAGUUCAAUUUGUUUAAGCUCAGCUCGCACUUGGCUUGUAAUAUGCGGGUUAGGUUAGCUCGUCUCACAUAAAAUAUAUAGGUUUAAGUUACUGGUUACUGGUCCGUUGUAAAUUGAAAUUGGUUCGUAGACUUGCAAACCUAUUAAGAAUUUUUUUUUCUCAAUUAAUGACAAAUUUUAUACUUUACGAAUUUUUUUUUUCACUUGUACGCAGUGACUGAACAAUUUUCACAAUUUUUAUACAUGGUUCAACAAUUUUAGAAAAAUGAAGUGGUUAAAACUAUAUUAUUACAUUCUCAUCAAACUUAAUAGUCAUGUAUGAGGUGGUUGUGAUCGUUAUGUGAAUCUGUUGUUGCGAGACCAAAAGAGAUGAUGAAUGAGACACUUUGUGUUUGUGCUUCGUGUAACGCUCCAAAUUUUAGGGUGUCAUGAAUUGUCACAAAAAAUCGAUAAAUUUCAAACUUUUAUCAUAGUGUGGAAACGUAUUUUUAAAAAACCUCAAUAGUUAAACGUGCAUAAUUUAUUCAAAACAUAAUAGUUCCAAAAUACUUAUCUAAUUACAUUAUUCAACAAAAAUGAAAGUAACGAAGGAAAUAAAGAACUUAAAUUACUUUAAACACAAUAACUUUAAAAGAAAAUUCCAAGUCUAUCCCUUAUCAUUUCUCGAAUCUAUCAUGUCUCAAUAACAUCUGUAACAUCAUCUGCUCACGUAUAACACAUUAUUGAUCAUCGUCGAUAAUAUUAUUCACAAACGCAUAAGCACAAACACGUAUAGUGUAAUCUACCGAUAAAAUGAUCACAAAAACAAGAGACACACUUAUUGAUUAUAUCAAUCAUAAUCAAACAUCUCAUACACAAAAGUAAUAACAAUAGGAUCCUUAAUCCUCUAAACAUAACACAUAAAUCAUUAUGAUCAUCACUCCUUAAGCCUCAAUCUUCGAUCAUAGAUCCUCGAUCCUUGAUGUCAUCGCGUACAUCACAAACAUAGACUAACAGUCUAUCCAUUCAUCAACAUUUAUGUUAACUACACCAUAUAAACCAAUCACUAACAACUUAGUAUCCUUUGGAGCAUCAUCGUCAUUACGAUCAUCAUCACAUGUACCUCCAUCAUGAAUAUCUCCAUCAUGAACAUCACCAUGAGCAUCCACAAUACCUUAAACACCAUGGUGAAAAAAAUCAGUCACACUCCUAUGCCCUACCUCACCCACUUGUGGCCUCCCAACAACCUAUCUGUAGCCUCCUCCCUAGAUCUGCUCGAGUAGUCCCAUAAUUCAGCUAAGGAACAUGUCUUUCUACCACACAAGGACAAGGAAAACACCAUCACCCCACACAAGGAAGGUUCAAUACCUGAACAAUCCUCCCUUUUCGCACACAAGGCUAAAGGGAGCGCCUAUAUGUAGACAAUAUCAAGAUUUAUUAGGUACAACAUGUAGACCUACCCCCCACUUUUAUGCUCAUCAACCAUACACUCAAGUUUACCCUCAACACUCACUCAUGCUCCAAUCUCAAACACAAGUCAAAAUUGAGUCUAAACAUAGCCAUUAAUCUCAUUCUCUGAUUAUCAUCACGUUCUACAGCUCCUCGAGCUUGGUCCACGUUUCCUCUUCAUCAAAUUCGCUAUUUUUAACAAAAAUGCACUAGGAUAAUCGAUUAUCAUAAGUGAUAAUCGAUUAUUCCCGAGAAGUUCACAUUUACACAAAAUAUACUGUGAUAAUCAAUUGUCAUUGAUGAUAAUCGAUUAUUUCAGUGGCUUUAAUACAUCAUAUUUCCAUAUUCAUCACACAUGAAAGGAAAAUUUAUUAUCAUACCAGAUAAUCGAUUAUUCUCGAGACAAAACUAAAAACCAAUGCAUAAAUAGUCGUUUAUUGUUGAAUCAAACUACAUCCCAGAUAUAAUUUAAGUGCUCAAAACACACAUACAUCAACCCUAGAUCACGAGGGAACACAUACCCAAUACAUCAUGCAUGCAUUCAAGCCUUAUAUACCCUUAUGAACAGACCCUAAUGCAUACAUUACAUCACUUGAACCAUUCAUAACAGCUCGAUGACAAGACAACUCAACGAGUUAACUCGACAACCCGACAACUCGACGAACCAAAUUGUAAAAAUCAACUCGUUUAGAAGUGACGCUAACCUAUUUUUUAUAAACCAAAAUGAGACUAAGCUUAAACAAACCGAAUUGAGUCGUUUUUAUCACCCUACCCUACAUGUAAUAAAUGAAUUUUGAACUAAUUUUUAAUAAUUUGUUUUUUUUACAAUAAUAUUUUUAAAGUUUAGAAUUCAAUUUAUCUUUCCAAAGAAAAAUUAGAUUAAAAACAAUUUGAUAUCAUUAUCUAAUCAUAAAUCUAAUUAUUAAAGCUUGAACUUUUCUAUUGUUAAUAAAAAACGCUUUUAUAAUAUCAAUUUAUUAAAAGUAAUAAUUAUAAAAAUUAAAAAUACUAAAAAAUAUGUUUGAAGGGUCUAGCGCAUGUCCUUGUGCUGGACACCUUUACUUCUUCUUUUAUAAAAAUUAAAAAUACUAAAAAAUAUGUUUGAAGGGUCUAGCGCAUGUCCUUGUGCUGGACACCUUUACUUCUUCUUUUAUAAAAAUUAAAAAUACUAUAUAUGUGGCUUAAAAUCUUAGCGCACUCCUUUUUCUCUUGAUUUCAUUCCCCUAUAUUCUCUCAUUUCUAAACUAUUAUUACUGUUCCAUUUCCCAGAGUGUCAAGACGGUAAUUCACAUAGGUUGGUGGGGGCAUCCUCUCAACAAAAACGGCACCAACAAUAUAAAGUAAGAGAAGCCGAAUACUUGGAACCAAAAGCAGCAGAGGCAUUGGAAAAAUAGAGAGAUCCUUUCCUUCUCUCUUGCUUUCCUUUGACGCUUCUGACCCUUUUACCUUCCAAAACGCCUUUCUGUUCUCUUCUCUGACCUAAUGGCUUUCUCCGACUCUUCUUCUGGUCGCAACUCUCUCAUCCCCUCCUUCCUAUACUCCUCUUCCUCCAAGACGCUUCCUCUCCACCGUAUGCUCCACUCCACCGCCGCCGCCGCCGCCGCCGCCUCACCCUCGUCACCGCCGGCAAACAUCGAUGCCGGAUCGCGCGGCUUCAUGAUUCCCUCUCCCAGCGAGUCACGCAAGAUCGAGCUUUAUUCGCCUGCCUUCUACGCCGCCUGUACUGCCGGUGGAAUCCUCAGCUGUGGCCUCACUCACAUGGCCGUCACUCCUCUUGACCUUGUCAAGUGUAAUAUGCAGGUCUCUCUAUCUUUCUUCCUGUCUCUCUAUUUCUCUCUAUCUCCAUAUGUUUGUUUAUCUCGAUCUGACUUGUUGUCCUUAGAUUUAACUAUUUUCGCUCGAUUGUGUGGUGUUUUCCCCACUUGUCUUCCUUCUUGUUAGAUCUGCGAUUUUCUUUGAAGUAUUUUCCGGUAUUAGGUCGUGAUUGUUGUGUCUUAGUUAAUUAGAUCUGCUAGGUCUGGCUGUUUUGUUUAGUUGAACAAUCGUUAGCCUCGUAUGUCGUGUAAUUUCUAGUCCAUUUCGUCUUUUUUCUACUUUAUGAUAUGUGCUAUUCAUGUAUUUCUAGUUUAGCGAGUCUACUAUGUAUUUUUGGAUUUUGUAGUUGUAGUAGUCUUUUAUUACGUUUAGGAGCUGAGAAUGAUUCCGCGGGAGAACCAUAUUCUUCGUUAGGCGAAUAAUUAGGUGAAGGACAUUGAAGUUUGGUACAUUAUGAAGUGCGGAAUCUGUCAUUAGUGUUGUGAUUUUGUGUUGUGACGUUAAGGAUCCAGGUUCUAGAUAAUCUCGGUGGUUGAUAAUAAAAUUUAAUUGCUGACAUCGCUUGCACUGCACAUGAAUAGCAUAUUAUGGAUUUGUUGGAAUAUCAGGAGUUAGUUUUCUCAUAAACUAUUCAUGUUUAUUGUCUUUGUUUACUUUAGAGGAGACCGGGCUUAAAGUCAAUAGCUUGAUUAUGUGCAUACCAGUGCAAUUGAAUUUGGAAUUGUUUACUUGUUUUACCUAGGGUUUGUGUUUUAAUGUUUACUUGUUGAUUUCAGAUCGACCCUGCUAAGUACAAGAACAUCACAUCUGGAUUUGGGGUUUUGCUUAAGGAGCAGGGCAUCAGGGGCUUUUUCCGUGGUUGGGUGCCUACCUUGCUUGGUUACAGUGCACAGGGUGCUUGCAAAUUCGGAUUCUACGAGUUCUUUAAGAAGUAUUACUCCGAUAUUGCUGGUCCAGAGUAUGCUAGCAAGUACAAGACCUUGAUUUACCUUGCUGGUUCCGCUUCUGCUGAGGUUAUUGCUGAUGUUGCUCUUUGCCCCUUCGAGGCUGUGAAGGUCCGUGUCCAAACACAGCCUGGUUUUGCCAGGGGUUUGGCUGAUGGGCUCCCAAAAUUUGUGAAAUCUGAAGGAACUUUGGGGUAUGAUUACAAAUACUGUUAACUCCUAUAAUAUUUUGGUAGAGGAUGUGUUUGAAAUCAUAGUAUGGUGGUCUAUGAUUGGAUUUAAGAUUAGGAUGUCAUCUAUUGAAUGUCUUGUGAUUUCAGGCUGUACAAGGGAAUAGUGCCUCUGUGGGGACGACAGAUUCCAUGUAAGUUGGCCAUUAUAUAAUUUGCAUUAUAGUUUUUAGUGCCCCUAAAUUUGCUGUUUGUGCAUUGUUCAGUAUUUCUUGAGAUGCUGGACUAGUGGUUUUUGUUUGUAAUCAAGAGUUAUGCCCUAUUCUGGGUGGUUGCAAGUUUUUGGUUUUCAACACCAAUUUGAAUAUUGGUGUUGAAGUUAGAAAUUUUGUGCUAUAUUGUUUGACCUUUGUUUUAUAUACAACUUGGUGGUAUAUAAAAGGUCCCGGUACCUGAUAUCAUGACUUGUAUGACAUAAAAAGUUCUUUCCUGCAGACACAAUGAUGAAAUUUGCUUCAUUUGAGACCAUAGUGGAGCUGAUCUAUAAGCAUGCCAUUCCUACUCCCAAGAAUGAGUGCAGCAAAAACCUGCAACUCGGUGUCAGUUUUGCCGGUGGAUAUAUUGCUGGUGUGCUUUGUGCAAUCGUGUCUCAUCCUGCUGAUAAUCUUGUCUCUUUCCUGAACAAUGCUAAAGGAGCAACAGUUGGUGAUGUGAGUGUCAGACUUGGAGCCAUUGUUGUGUAGUUGUUUCUAACAAUAUCUGUUCAUCUGUUUAUGCAAGUUUCUUUAAUGCUACGUACCAUGUAAUGCAGGCGGUGAGUAAGCUUGGUUUGUGGGGUCUCUUCACCCGUGGUCUUCCCCUCCGUAUUGUGAUGAUUGGAACUCUUACUGGUGCCCAAUGGGGAAUAUAUGAUGCUUUCAAAGUCUUUGUUGGGCUGUAAGUUUACACAAUUGCUAUUACAUGAUAGGGUUCUACACUUUGUUAUAUGUUUCGUUAUUUAUAUGAUGUGCUGAUGAACAUUUCCCCACCUUCCCAGGCCAACAACUGGUGGUCCUGCUCCUGCCGCUGCUCCAGCUCCAGCAAAGGCGUAAAAAUGUCCAGUGAUGGCACUCAAUAGUUUGUUUACGAAAGUUAGAAGGCAGUGAAUAGGGACCAUAAAUAAACAGAGGACUGAAGUUGCUUGGGUGGAACUCAAGCUUCGUUGGAUAAUAUUCUUUUCAAGUUCAGACAUUGUUUCCAUUUUUAUUGUAUGAGUAUGUCAAGUUUUUGGGAGGAUGGUUUUGCUCGCAUCCUUCCCCUUUUUUGAGAACUUUGUAGCUAGGAAUGAUAUAAUUUAUAGCAUGUUUGGUUCGCCACAUGCCAUUGCCAACCGGGAAUACACAUUUGUUUUGUUGUCAGUGCAAUAAGCACAGACGCCUAUGCAAUGCCGAGAUUGAGAUCAUUUUUAUUGUUUGUUGCCUGGAAAUUGUCAAAUUACGUUUUAUAUUGCAAUGAUCGUUUCCAAGCUAGAUCCUGAAACAGUACUUUUUUCACUGGUUCUGUUGGCUAGUGCUAGAUUGAUUAGUUCUAGGGUUGUCAAGCCUAGUUUUUUGGUAAAAACAUGGAAAAGUAAUUGGUCAAAUUUGUCUGGUUGGGAAGAUGGUUGAACAAAAGAAAUUCGUUGGGAUUGUUGGAUUUGCAUUAUUAUUUUUUAUGUUUUUACUAUUAUAGUAGUUUUCAUGUUUUGUUAACUUUUUAUUGCAACAACUUUAAAAUACAUUUUAAUUUUAGAUGUGAAACAUUUUGUUAUUUAUUUUUCAAAUCUAAAUAAUCAAUAAUUCUUUUUUUCCUAUAACAAAAAGGUUUAAUUACAAUGCAUUCAUAAAAUUAUAGGUUUAAUACCUAUUUUGGUCCCUUCUUUGGGAGGGUUUGUUCAAAGUGAUCCCUCCUUUUUUUCAAAAGUUCACUUAAGUCCUACAUUUUGCAAAAACUGUUCAAAGUGGUCCCUCCUUUUUUCAAAAGUUCACUUAAGUCCUACAUUUUGCAAAAACUGUUCAAAGUGGUCCCUCCUUUUUUCAAAAGUUCACUUAAGUCCUACCUUUUGCAAAAACUGUUCAAAGNGGUCCCUCCUUUUUUCAAAAGUUCACUUAAGUCCUACCUUUUGCAAAAACUGUUCAAAGUGGUCCUUUUUGCUAACGGCCUUAACUUUCUUAACGGCACACUUUGAACAGUUUGCUGAGGUGUAACGUUUUGGCUGUUAGCAAAAAGGUAGGAAACUGUUCAAAGUGUGCCGUUAAGAAAGUUAAUGCCAUUAGCAAAAAGGACCACUUUGAACAGUUUUUGCAAAAGGUAGGACUUGAACUUUUGAAAAAAGGAGGGACCACUUUGAACAGUUUUUGCAAAAGGUAGGACUUAAGUGAACUUUUGAAAAAAGGAGGGACCACUUUGAACAAACCCUCCCAAAGGAGGGACCAAAAUAGGUAUUAAACCUAAAAUUAUAUUAGAAUCACCAAGGAAAUGCUCCCGUAUAUUUCAACAAUGUUCAGUGUUCGUAUAUUUCACAAGUAGUGGUCGAUUUCUACAUUUAUUAUGAAUUUAAAUAGAUAUUCUAAGUAAAGAAGCUAGUUUUUCAUAACAUGGUAACUGAAGGUGUAAAUCUUACUGGAAGACUUGUCAACAUUUAGUACUUAACCAAUUUACUGUGUCUGCAACAUUAUUGUCUUAAAGAAGUGAUGAUAUGACCUCAAAAACAAAAUUACACGUCAAAGUUAAUAUAUUGCAAAACUAAGUUAAUCUUAUGAAAGUUAGUUUAAAAUUGAUGAACAUCCACCACUGUGUUAUGCCUUUGAACAUUAAGCAUUAAAGAAAUCAUUCCUUCAAAACUAUGUGGACUUGUCUUAAUCACUUGUAACCAUCAUUGUAACUCCACGACCAUAAAUUAGAGACUAAAUCGGUAUUUAUGGAAAGUUAGACCAUUCCUUUUGGUGUGCGAUAAUCGGGUUGAAUUCUAUUAAGUAUGGUCCAACACUGUGCACUUCAUCUGAGAAAGGCCCAAUGCAUGCAGUGGCCCGUGAACAUGUUAUUUCCGAGAGUGGGUUGUCUGUGUGGCAUAACCCAGAUAAGAAAAGAAAGAAGAGAGAGGUCAGAGUGAAGGGCGCGAGAGACGAUGGAGAGAAAAACGAUCGGAGGCUCGUCGGACACGCUCAGGCACGGUGGUUACCGGUGCCGUAGAAGACAAAAAUAUAGAUCGCAGCAAAAGAGGUAAGAAAAACGUAUUCUUUUCUUAAUUCUGUAAACAUGAACAACUCUCUGGUUUUUCAUACAUCAAAGGGGAAAAAUGGAAGGAACUCUAUAUAUAGAGUUCCAUGGGGAAAAACGAAAACCGAAAAAACAGAAUAACUGUCUUUGGACAGUUAGGAGAACUAUAUGGUUCUCAAUAGCCUCCCCUCAAGCUGGACAAUGUAUAUUUACCAGUCCAAGCUUGGGUACAAUAGCUCCAAAUCUGACGCUGUGCGAGAAUUUUGUGAAGAUGUCGGUGAGUUGUUCGUCGGAUUGAACGGGAAGAAGAUGCAGAAGGCACUCUUGUAAUUUUUCACGAACCACGUGGCAAUCAAGCUCUAUGUGCUUGGUUUGUUUGUGGAAGCUCUGAUUAUGAGCUAUGUGGCGUGCAAAUUUGUUGUCACAAUACAAAAUAGGUACCCCAGAUUCUUCAGUUUGAAGGUCUUGUAGGAGAUAAUGGAGCCAUUGUAUUUCACAUACAGUGGCUGCAAGAGCCCUGUAUUCAACUUCAGUGGAGGAUCUGGACACAGUCUUCUGCUUUUUAGAUUUCCAGGAAAUGAGAGAUGACCCAAGGAAAAUACAGAACCCCGUAGUGGAUCUCCUUGUGUUGGGACAUGUUGCCCAGUCUGAGUCGCUAAAAGCCUUUAAAUGCUUAGGAGAAUCGGCUGCAAAAAUAACCCUUCAGAAGGUGAGGAUUUUAUAUAUCUGAGAACAUGUUGAAUAACCUGAUAAUGAUAGUAGGUGGGUGAUUGCAUAAAUUGACUGAGUAGAUUAACAGUAAAUCAUAAGUUAGGUCUGGUAUUAGUAAGGUAGAGUAACUUCCUUAUCAAUCUUCUAUAAGGUUUAGGAUUAUCCAGAUAGUUGUCUUCUUUGUAUAGUGAGCUGGUGUCUUUUAGGAAAGGAGUAGAAGAAGGCUUGCACCCCUGCAUCCCUGUUUCCUCAAGUAUGUCCAAAGCAUACUUCCUCUGACAUAAAUGAAUUCCCUUCUUGGAUCUAGCUACUUCAAGUCCAAUGAAGUAUUUAAGCUCUCCAAGGUUCUUAAUAUGAAACCUUUUGUGCAAAAGUUCUUUUAUGUAGUUGAUUUCCUCCAUAGAAUUUCCUGCCAGUACAAUGUCAUCCACAUAUACAAGCAAAGUAGUAAAACCUGUAGCAGUUCUUUUGGUAAACAAUGAGUGGUUGGAUUUAGAUUAAUUGUAGUUAACAUAAAUUAGAUAGGAGGAUAAUUUUUCAAACCACUGCCUACUGGCUUGUUUUAAGCCAUAUAGAGAUUUAGUCAGCUUGCAAACCUGUCCCUCUUUAUGGGUGUUCAGACCUGGGGGUAAUUGCAUAUAAACCUCUUCAUUUAAAUCUCCAUGUAGAAAAGCAUUGUCUACAUCAAGUUGAUGUAGAAACCAAUUGUUUGAGACUGCAAGGGCAAUGAGAAGCCUAACAGUGGUAAGUUUGGCAAUAGGGGAAAAUGUGUCGAGGUAGUUUAUUCCUUCCUGUUGAGUAUAUCCCUUUGCCACUAAUCGGGCUUUGUGCCUUUCAAUACUGCCAUCUGCUCUAUACUUAGUUUUAUAUACCCAUUUUUACCCUAUGGAAGUUUUUCCAGGAGGUAGCUGAGUUAGAAUCCAAGUAUUAUUGUCUUGUAAAGCUUUAAUCUCCUUUUGCAUAGCUUCCACCCAUUCAUUCUUGACCUUAGCUUCAUUAUAAGACUGUGGUUCUUUAUUGUUAGUAACUGCCAUGAUGUAUUUUGAGUGUUUUUCUGACAAAUUACUGCAACAUAACAAAUUAUAAAUCGGGUAAGGAGUUUUAAAACCAUUUCUCACAAAUAAGGAUUGAUGAACCUGAUGAACAUAGUCUUUUAGGUAUUCUGGAGUCUUUCUGAGCGUGUCUGAUUUUCUGUUUCCAUGAUUUUCUUGAUUAUCAAUGGUGUUGUUGUUGUUGUCUCUGUCAGUAGAGGUCUGUUGCCGUCCUUCUUGAUUAAAAACAUUUAAUUCAUCGUGUCUGUCUAAUGAUCCCUUAAAAGAUCAUUGAGAGAGUCAGCUUUCUCUUCUUCAGUGAUAGUAUCCUGUCUGUUUCCUUGCAGACUAUUGUAAGGAAAAACAUCUUCAUGAAAUAUGACAUUCCUGCUUGUGAAAAGUUCUUUGGUACUUAAAUCUAAUACAAUGUACCCUUUAACACCACUCUUAUAUCCUAGAAAAAUUCCUUUUCUAGCUCUAGGAUCAAGUUUAUUUCUGUUGUUUUCUAGAGUAGAAGCAAAACAUAAACAUCCAAAAACCUUGAGAUCCAAAUAAGUAGGCGAUUCAUUAUAAAGCAUGUCAUAAGGAGUUUUAUCAUCAAGAAUGGGUGAAGGCAUUCUGUUUAUCAAAUAGACAGCAUGCCCAACAACAUAUGACCAAUAAGCAUUAGGUAUAUUUGAUUGAAAAAGGAGACUGCGUGUUACAUUAAGUAUGUGUUGAUGUUUCCUUUCAACAACAGAGUUUUGUUCAGGUGUCUCAACAUAGCUUUUUUGAUGAUUAAUUCCAUGCAUGUCAUAAAAAUUUUCACAUUUAAAUUCAGGUCCAUUGUUAGAUCUAAUGUUUUUAACCAUUUUGUUGAACUGAUUCUUGAUUUUAAUGAUAAAAUUCUGCAGUAAGUCUCUUGUCUGUCCUUUAUUGUUCAUUAGAAAAACCCACAUAUGCCUACUAUAAUCAUCUACUAUGGUGAGGAAGUAUCUAUGGCCAUGUACAGAAAUUGUGUUUAGAGGACCCCAUAUAUCACAGUGAAUGAUUUCAAAGCAUUCAGUAGUAGUAGAAAUACUCUUUGGAAAAGAUAACUUGUGUUGCUUGGCAUAAUGACAAGUGUCACAAACAGAAUUAGCAUCUAUCUUAACAUAAGGAAACUUUUCACAUAUAUGUCUUACAACUCUAUGUCCUAGGUGGCCUAGUCUAAGAUGCCACAGGUUAACAUCAACAUUCUUAUAAGAGAAAACAAUUUUUGAAGUGUAUCUUUGAUCAGGUUUAGGGAAAACUUGUAGAUAAUAGAGCCUGUUCCAAGACUUAGCACAUCCAAUCAUCUUCAAUGUACAAUUCUCCCUUAUCUGACAAUUCUUAGAUGAAAAAGUUAGGCUGCAAUUCAUAUCUCUGAUAAGACUUUGUACAGAUAUCAAAUUAAAACAAAAAUCUGGUAUAUAAAGAACAUUGAAAAUGAUAAAAUCUUUGGUAAACUGCAUUGUUCCUGCAUGCUCAGCAAUAAGUAUAGUGUUAUUUGGCAGUUUUAUAGAAAUUGGUUUAAUCUUGUAGAAGGUAAUAAAGUUGGUUCUGUCAUGAGUAACGUGAUCUGUAGCACCAGUAUCAAUAAUCCAAGAAAAAUUACCUUGUUCAUUCUCAGUUUCAUUUCUCUGAACUUGAUUGACCUUGUGUGUGAGUGGUUCAUCAAUUUUGUCUAUCAUUUUGAGUAGUUUAUGCAUCUGCUCUGGUGUAAAGGAAUUAAAAUUGUUACCAUUGUUGACCUGUUGGGUUUUCUGAGUGCCCUCUGAUUCAAUAUUGUUUUGGCAAGCAUUGACAGUCGUCCAGUCAUUUCUUUUGUCUUCUUUCUUAUACGAAGGUGGGUCCGUGUUUAGAAUAACACUCAUCUACAGUAUGGUUCAUUUUGUUGCAAUAUGAACAUUGUUUCCCAUAAUUGGGAUUUCUUCCCCUUCCUCUGCCUUGACCACGGAGUCCAGUACCCCUUCCUUGAUUUCUCCAAUUCUGAUCAGGUUGCCAAAAUUUUGGCCUCUGUGGGGGUUUGUUUUUCUUGUCUUUCUUGCUGGAUGAUAAGCGAUCACUCCCCGCCUUCGUUAGUGCCCGGGUGUCACAUGCUCACCAGCGAUCACUCUGAUACCAUUUGUAACGCCCCGGCAACUUACAGGGACUACUGUCUGCCCCCACACAUCAACACGAGGCUUUCCAGUGUGCUUUGUCCUCACUCACACACUUUCCGAGAAAACUUCCCGAAAGGUCACCCAUCCCAUAAUUACUCUAGGCUAAGCACGCUUCACCAUGGAGUUCUUAUGAGUUAGGCUACCGAAAAGCAAAUGCAUUUGUUGAUAUGAGUAGUCAAAUCAAUUCCUUUAAGCUAUCCUUCAACUGUAUAGUCCCAUACCUAUACAAUCUCCAGAUCCCUCUCAUUCCGGUGUAUGUUCGAUUCAUCCAUGUGCCCCUUCCACUCGAAGCCUUCCAGGAGCCACUCCUUGUCCGUGCCCCCUGCACCAUGCCUCUUGCACCGGCGAUCACUCCCCGCCUUUGUCAGUGCCCGGGUGUCACACAAGUAGGUAUAGGUCUCAAAGAUUCCAGCUCCUCCCAUAGGAUUUUCAAAUCUGUAAAAAAUUGACUCACCCUCCUUUCACCUUGUCUAAUGGAAUGUAUAUCUUGUAACAAGUCAGAGAUUUUAAAAUAAUCUCCCUUAGAAAAUCUUUCCUUGAGCUCAUCCCAUAACUCUUUAUCCUCUUCAAUGUAAAUCACACUUUCAGCAAUGUGUGGAGACAAUGUCUUCGUUAUCCAUGAUAAAAUCAUCACGUUACAUCUUUCCCAGGCGUCAUAAACAACACCAACUUUCUGGGGUCUUUUUAUGGAUCCAUCAAUGAAUUUUACCUUAUUCUUGGAAAGCAGAGCUCUCCUCAUGCUUCUGCUCCAAGAUGAGUAGUUAUUCUCGUUUAGAACUUGAGUAAUCAGAGUGAAGCCUGGGUUUUCACCUGGGUGUAGAUAGUAAGGACUGGCUGGAUUGAAUGCUUGGUCAGCUUGAUCCAUGGCAGAAGAAAGAAAGCAACAAGAAGGCCCAAGAAGAUACCAAGAACAACAAAAGAACAACGGAAGUAGAGCAGACACUAGACCUGCUCUGAUACCAUAUCAAGCAUGGCCCAACACUGUGCACUUAAUCUGAGAAAGGCCCAAUGCAUGCAGUGGCCCGUGAACAUGUUAUUUCCGAGAGUGGGUUGUCUGCAUGGCAUAACCUAGAUGAGAAAAGAAAGAAGAGAGAGGUUAGAGCGAAGGGCGCGAGAGGCGAUGGAGAGAGAAACGAUCGGAGUCUCGUUGGAGACGCUCAGGCACGGUGGUUACCGGUGCCGUAGAAGACAAAAAUAUAGAUCGCAGCAAAAGAGGUAAGAAAAACGUAUUCUUUUCUUAUUUCUGUAAACAUGAACAACUCUCUGGUUUUUCAUACAUCAAAGGGGAAAAAGGAAAGGAACUCUAUAUACAGAGUUCCAUGGGAAAAAACGAAAACUGGAAAAACAAAAUAAUUGUCUUUGGACAGUUAGAAGAACUAUAUGGUUUUCAAUAAAUUCCUUCUUAUUAGCAUAAAACCGAAAAUAAAAUGUUAACAAAGAAUCUUUUCUUUUCAGCAUCUUAAUGAAUGGAUAAUUUGCAUUUCAAUUCCUUUAGUACACUUCAUAAGGAAAAUCAUUAAUUGAAUUCUAAAUUGAAAGGUUUGUGUGAACUUAUUGUUACAAUUACGCACUUCUCAAAUAUACAUUUAUUUUCUAAAAGAAACUGAGGUUUUGAGUUGUUGGGUUAAAUAAUUUUGAUUAUUAUAUUAUUCAUGUUAGAGAAUAAAUUCAAGAAUGUUUGAAGAGAGUUUCUCCUUACACCAUCACAUAUUUCUUCAUGCACCUCUUUAAUUUUUUUUUUCAAAAAUACUCUUAAGUAAAUAUUUUUUACUUUUAUCAUUUACUUUUUUACUUUAAUUUAAAAUCCUAAAUCUUCUUUUCCUUUUUUCUCAUCCAUGUGCUAUACCCCACCCCACCCCGCACAGAUCUCAUUUCUCUUUUUCUCUCUUCCCGCUUUGCUCUCCUCCUCUUCCAUUUUCGUUUCCUUGUUGCUUCCAUUUUCAUUGCUUCCAUUGACUGAGGUGUUUGGUUCGUUUGUUGAGGAGGAAUGUGCUUGCUUCGUUUGCGGUUGGUUUGGUCUCUCCACACUUCGAUCUAUGUUGGUUUGUUCUUCUCUUUUAUAUGGUUAAUGCAUUUGAUGUUGGUUUGCAUGUUUGUUUGGUUUGUAUGUAUAUUUAGGUGCCCUAUUACCCUCUGUGAACAUGCUAAAUUGGUUAUGUGUUGUGUAUGUUGUGCACCGUGAAAAAAAGGAAGAGA